rnacentral:lncRNA from 1 species
UGGCUGAUGUUUAGGGUUGAUUAGAUUAGUUAGCUCAGUUGGCUGCUAGACUUUAGGAGUGCAUACAUGGGUAUGACGUGCUCUGCACAUUUAGGAUUGAAGUAUUGUGUUGCAGCACUCAGUGACGUUAAUUUAGGGCAUUUCAGUGUCAGUUCCACUAUAUUUCGGGGGACAUUUAACAGUGCAAUUUCAUGGUUAUUACAGUGUAAUUUCAAGGUUCUUGUACUGUAAGUUCAGAGAAUUACAAUGUUAGUUUAUGUCAAUUCCCGUGCAUUUUACUGUGUAAUUUAAGUGCAAUGGAAAUUAUAGUGUAAAUUCAGUGUAAUUUACUAUGUAAAUUUACGGAAAUUACAAUGUAAUUCAUGUGCAACUUUUAGUGUAAUUUACACUGUAAUUUCAACGGGUUUACAGUAGAAUAAUUUAAGUGUAAUUACAGUGUGCACUUUAGAGCAAUCAUACUAUAUAUUUAGUGAAUUUAAAGUAUCACUCCAUACCUUUCGGGUUUGUCUUUUUUCUCUACAAGUUACUGCUAUACUGUUGAUUGAUUCUACCCUUGCGUAAGAAACUUUGAUGAGCACAUAAUUUUCUACUAUGUAAUUUGAGCAGCUUGGUAACCGUAAUUUUCAGUUUCCUUUGACCCUAGGCCCUUGUGCUUUAGAAUUGCUAUUUUUUGUCAGUGUACAUGCUAGAUCAUGUGGUUUAUGAUACUUCUCUGGUCCUUAUAAACAAAGUGACAUGUUUGUGCUGUGGAAUAGAAAGAAUAUUUCAGUGUCUCUCUUUAGGCCUUUUGUCGAAUUGUUAUGUGGUCCAGCGCAGCCUUACGAAACCGGGUUCUAUGCAGUUCAUGUACAGUGCAAAACUCAUUAUUGCAGGUCAGGCAUGUUGCAUGCUUUGGGUCAUUGACAUGCAGGAAAGAAGGAAAAAGGACAUAGAAGUGUCAUUUUGUUAUUGGUCAAGAAAUUUGAAUAAUGUCCAACUGAUUUCAGUUGAAUGAUAAAUAGACAAUCCCUUGUUUAAUCAGUAGAUAUACACCAUUAACUCAAAUAGCAAAGAAAUACUAGUCCACUUAUAAUCGAUUAUUGCGCAUGAUGCAUCCAUCCAUUCUAUCGGAGAGGCUGUGUUUUUUUUCUUCUUGUGCUAAGGUUGAUAGCAUCACAUAUCUUAUGCUUUUGUUUCUCAAGUAGAGCCUUGAGAUAGAUGUGUCUGCAACCGUCCUCGAAUGGUUGUGCAAUAAUAAUGGUCCUAGCUAAUUACUAGUAUGCACUGCUUAUAAAACAACUUGCUGCUCGUUUCACUUUGAGUAUGCUGUUGCUGCUAAAGUAGCAACAACAACAGCCAUGCUUUGGUUCCCCAAAAUUCAGAUGGCACUGGCAUCUCUACAUACACACACAUAUGAAUAUGCACCUCGGUUUGGUUCAGUUUGCAUGUGUACCGUUGCUUUAACUUUGACUGAAACUAUCUUGGUGGCACUUGCAUCAAUGUUGUGCUCUGCCCUUGUAUAUGUCCUUGGAGAAGAUGACCGUUGGACUGUAGGGGACGAACAACCUUGUCCUGCUCGAGGAGGAGGAGGAUGGCCACCCCGAGCUCGAGGACGACACGGCAACAGGUAGCACUCACCUCCCUACCAAGGUGAAGGUCCGAUCCGCAUGUUUAGAUGGUCUGCUCUUGUCUUGUGAUCUGAGGGGAGAAGAAAGCCAUUGGCCUCAAUUAUAUUUGCAUGUGAGGGGAGCGAUCCUUUUGGUAGAUGCAGAGUAUAGAUUAGUGUUGGGUUUCGUAGUAAUUUCAAAAAAAUCCCUACGCACACGCAAGAUCAUGUGAUGCAUAGCAACGAGGGGAGAGUGUGAUCUACAUACCUAGUAGAUCGACAACGGAAGCGUUUGGUUGAUGUAGUCGUACGUCUUCACGAUCCAACCGAUCAAGCACCGAAACUACGACACCUCCGAGUUCGAGCACACGUUCAGCUCGAUGACGAUCCCCGGACUCCGAUCCAGCAAAGUGUCGGGGAAGAGUUCCGUCAGCACGACGGCGUGGUGAUGAUCUUGAUGCACUACAGCAGCAGGGCUUCGCCUAAACUCCGCUACAGUAUUAUCGAGGACUAUGGUGGCUGGGGGCGCCGCACACGGCUAAGGAAUAGAUCACGUGGAUCAACUUGUGUGUUUCUGGGGUGCCUCUGCCUCAGUAUAUAAAGGACUAGAGGGGGGGAGGCUGGCCGGCCAAGGGUGGCGCGCCAGGAGAGUCCUACUCCCUGUGGGAGUAGGAUCCCCCCCCCCAAUCCUAGUUGGAAUAGGAUUCGCGGAGGGGUAAAAGAGAGAGGGGGGGGGGGGCGGCCACCUCUCCUUGUCCUAAUAGGACUAGGGGAGGGAGGGAGGCGCGCAGCCCAUCUUGGUCAGCCCCUUCUCUUUUCCACUAAGGCCCACUAAGGCCCAUAUAGCUCCCGGGGGGUUCCGGUAACCUCCCGGUACUCCGGUAAAAUCCCGAUUUCACCCGGAACACUUCCGAUAUCCAAACAUAGGCUUCCAAUAUAUCAAUCUUUAUGUCUCGACCAUUUAGAGACUCCUCGUCAUGUCCGUGAUCACAUCCGGGACUCCGAACAACCUUCGGUACAUCAAAAUGCAUAAACUCAUAAUAUAACUGUCAUCGUAACCUAAAGCGUGCGGACCCUACGGGUUCGAGAACAAUGUAGACAUGACCGAGACACGUCUCCGGUCAAUAACCAAUAGCGGGACCUGGAUGCCCAUAUUGGCUCCUACAUAUUCUACGAAGAUCUUUAGCGGUCAGACCGCAUAACAACAUACGUUGUUCCCUUUGUCAUCGGUAUGUUACUUGCCCGAGAUUCGAUCGUCGGUAUUCCAAUACCUAGUUCAAUCUCGUUACCGGCAAGUCUCUUUACUCGUUCUGUAAUACAUCAUCCCGCAACUAACUCAUUUAGUUGCAAUGCUUGCAAGGCUUAAGUGAUGUGCAUUACCGAGAGGGCCCAGAGAUACCUCUCCGACAAUCGGAGUGACAAAACCUAAUCUCAAAAUACGCCAACCCAACAUGUACUUUUGGAGACACCUAUAGUACUCCUUUAUAAUCACCCAGUUACGUUGUGACGUUUGGUAGUAUCCAAAGUGUUCCUCCGGUAAACGGGAGUUGCAUAAUCUCAUAGUUAUAGGAACAUGUAUAAGUCAUGAAGAAAGCAAUAGCAACAUACUAAACGAUCGGGUGCUAAGCUAAUGGAAUGGGUCAUGUCAAUCAGAUCAUUCUCUUAAUGAUGUGAUCCCGUUAAUCAAAUAACAACUCAUUGUUCAUGGUUAGGAAACAUAACCAUCUUUGAUUAACGAGCUAGUCAAGUAGAGGCAUACUAGUGACACUUUGUUUGUCUACGUAUUCACACAUGUAUUAUGUUUCCGGUUAAUACAAUUCUAGCAUGAAUAAUAAACAUUUAUCAUGAUUAUAAGGAAAUAAAUAAUAACUUUAUUAUUGCCUCUAGGGCAUAUUUCCUUCAGUCUCCCACUUGCACUAGAGUCAGUAAUCUAGAUUACACCGUAAUGGUUCUAACACCCAUGGAGUCUUGGUGCUGAUCAUGUUUUGCUCGUGGAAGAGGCUUAGUCAAUGGGUCUGCAACAUUCAGAUCCGUAUGUAUCUUGCAAAUCUCUAUGUCUCCCACCUGGACUAGAUCCCGUAUGGAAUUGAAGCGUCUCUUGAUGUGCUUGGUUCUCUUGUGAAAUCUGGAUUCCUUUGCCAAGGCAAUUGCACCAGUAUUGUCACAAAAGAUUUUCAUUGGACCCGAUGCACUGGGUAUGACACCUAGAUCGGAUAUGAGCUCCUUCAUCUGGACUCCUUCAUUUGCUGCUUCCGAAGCAGCUAUGUACUCCGCUUCACAUGUAGAUCCCGCUACAACGCUUUGUUUAGAACUGCACCAACUGACAGCUCCACCGUUUAAUGUAAACACGCAUCCGGUUUGCGAUUUAGAAUCGUCCGGAUCAGUGUCAAAGCUUGCAUCAACGUAACCAUUUACGACGAGCUCUUUGUCACCUCCAUAUACGAGAAGCAUAUCCUUAGUCCUUUUCAGGUAUUUCAGGAUGUUCUUGACCGCUGUCCAGUGAUCCACUCCUGGAUUACUUUGGUACCUCUCUGCUAGACUUAUAGCAAGGCACACAUCAGGUCUGGUACACAGCAUUGCAUACAUGAUAGAUCCUAUCGCUGAUGCAUAGGGAACAUCUUUCAUAUUCUCUCUAUCUUCUGUAGUGGUCGGGCAAUGAGUCUUACUCAAUUUCACACCUUGUAACACAGGCAAGAAUCCUUUCUUUGCUUGAUCCAUUUUGAACUUCUUCAAAAUUUUGUCAAGGUAUGUUGUUUGUGAAAGUCCAAUUAAGCUUUUUGAUCUAUCUCUAUAGAUCUUAAUGCCUAAUAUGUAAGCAGCUUCACCGAGGUCUUUCGUUGAAAAAUUCUUAUUCAAGUAUCCCUUUAUGCUAUCCAGAAAUUCUAUAUCAUUUCCAAUUAAUAAUAUGUCAUCCACAUAUAAUAUCAGAAAUGCUACAGAGCUCCCACUCACUUUCUUGUAAAUACAGGCUUCUCCAAAAGUCUGUAUAAAACCAAAUGCUUUGAUCACACUAUCAAAACAUUUAUUCCAACUCCGAGAGGCUUGCACCAGUCCAUAAAUGGAUCGCUGGAGCUUGCACACUUUGUUAGCUCCCUUUGGAUCGACAAAACCUUCUUGUUGCAUCAUAUACAACUCUUCUUCCAGAAUUCCAUUCAGGAAUGCAGUUUUGACAUCCAUCUGCCAAAUUUCAUAAUCAUAAAAUGCGGCAAUUGCUAACAUGAUUCGGACAGACUUAAGCAUCGCUACGGGUGAGAAGGUCUCAUCGUAGUCAAUCCCUUGAACUUGCCGAAAACCUUUUGCGACAAGUCGAGCUUUGUAGACAGUAAUAUUACCGUCAGCGUCAGUCUUCUUCUUGAAGAUCCAUUUAUUCUCAAUUGCUUGCCGAUCAUCGGGCAAGUCAACCAAAGUCCAUACUUUGUUCUCAUAAAUGGAUCCCAUCUCAGAUUUCAUGGCUUCAAGCCACUUUGCGGAAUCUGGGCUCACCAUUGCUUCUUCAUAGUUCAUAGGUUCAUCAUGAUCUAGCAUCAUGACUUCCAGAAUGGGAUUACCGUACCACUCUGGCGUGGAUCUUACUCUGGUUGAUCUACGAGGUUCAGUAGUAUCUUGUUCUGAUGUUUCAUGAUCAUUAUCAUUGACUUCCUCACUAACUGGUGUAGGUGUCACAGAAACAGUUUUCUGUGAUGUACUACUUUCCAAUAAGGGAGCAGGUACAGUUACCUCGUCAAGUUCUACUUUCCUCCCACUCACUUCUUUGGAGAGAAACUCCUUCUCCAGAAAGUUUCCGAAUUUAGCAACAAAAGUCUUGCCUUCGGAUCUGUGAUAGAAGGUGUAUCCAAUAGUUUCCUUUGGAUAUCCUAUGAAGACACAUUUCUCCGAUUUGGGUUCGAGCUUAUCAGGUUGAAGCUUUUUCACAUAAGCAUCACAGCCCCAAACUUUCAGAAACGACAACUUUGGUUUCUUGCCAAACCACAGUUCAUAAGGCGUCGUCUCAAUGGAUUUUGAUGGUGCCCUAUUUAACGUGAAUGUGGCCGUCUCUAGAGCGUAUCCCCAAAACAAUAGCGGUAAAUCAGUAAGAGACAUCAUAGAUCGCACCAUAUCUAGUAAAGUACGAUUACGACGUUCGGACACACCAUUACGCUGAGGUGUUCCGGGUGGCGUGAGUUGCGAAACUAUUCCACAAUUUUUCAAAUGUACACCAAACUCGUAACUCAAAUAUUCUCCUCCACGAUCAGAUCGUAGAAAUUUUAUUUUCUUGUUACGAUGAUUUUCAAUUUCACUCUGAAAUUCCUUGAACUUUUCAAAUGUUUCAGACUUAUGUUUCAUUAAGUAGAUAUACCCAUAUCUGCUUAAAUUAUCUGUGAAGGUGAGAAAAUAAUGAUAUCCGCCAUGAGCCUCAAUAUUCAUCGGACCACAUACAUCUGUAUGUAUGAUUUCCAACAAUUCUGUUGCUCUCUCCAUAGUACCGGAGAACGGUGUUUUGGUCAUCUUGCCCAAGAGGCACGGUUCGCAAGUACCAAGUGAUUCAUAAUCAAGUGGUUCCAAAAGUCCAUCAGAAUGGAGUUUCUUCAUGCGCUUUACACCGAUAUGACCUAAACGGCAGUGCCACAAAUAAGUUGCACUCUCAUUAUCAACUCUACAUCUUUUGGCUUCAACAUUAUGAAUAUGUGUGUUACUACUAUCGAGAUUCAACAAGAAUAGACCACUCUUCAAGGGUGCAUGACCAUAAAAGAUAUUACUCAUAUAAAUAGAACAACCAUUAUUCUCUGAUUUAAAUGAAUAACCGUCUCGCAUCAAACAAGAUCCAGAUAUAAUGUUCAUGCUUAACGCUGGCACCAAAUAACAAUUAUUUAGGUCUAAUACUAAUCCCGAAGGUAGAUGUAGAGGUAGCGUGCCGACUGCGAUCACAUCGACUUUGGAACCGUUUCCCACGCGCAUCAUCACCUCGUCCUUAACCAAUCUUCGCUUGAUCUGUAGUCCCUGUUUCGAGUUGCAAAUAUUAGCAACAGAACCAGUAUCAAAUACCCAGGUGCUACUGCGAGCAUUAGUAAGGUACACAUCAAUAACAUGUAUAUCACAUAUACCUUUGUUCACCUUGCCAUCCUUCUUAUCCGCCAAAUACUUGGGGCAGUUCCGCUUCCAGUGACCAGUCUGCUUGCAAUAGAAGCACUCAGUUUCAGGCUUAGGUCCAGGUUUGGGUUUCUUCUCUUGAGUAGCAACUUGCUUGCCGUUCUUUUUGAAGUUCCCCUUCUUCUUCCCUUUGCCCUUUUUCUUGAAACUAGUGGUCUUGUUGACCAUCAACACUUGAUGCUCCUUCUUGAUUUCUACCUCCGCAGCUUUCAGCAUCGCGAAGAGCUCGGGAAUAGUCUUGUUCAUCCCUUGCAUAUUAUAGUUCAUCACGAAGCUCUUGUAGCUUGGUGGCAGUGAUUGAAGAAUUCUGUCAAUGACGCAAUCAUCUGGAAGAUUAACUCCCAAUUGAAUCAAGUGAUUAUUAUACCCAGACAUUUUGAGUAUAUGCUCACUGACAGAACUGUUCUCCUCCAUCUUGCAGCUAUAGAACUUAUUGGAGACUUCAUAUCUCUCAAUCCGGGCAUUUGCUUGAAAUAUUAACUUCAACACCUGGAACAUCUCAUAUGCUCCAUGACGUUCAAAACGUCGUUGAAGUCCCGAUUCUAAGCCGUAAAGCAUGGCACACUGAACUAUCAAGUAGUCAUCAGCUUUGCUCUGCCAGACGUUCAUAACAUCCGGCGUUGCUCCUGUAGUAGGCCUGGCACCCAGCGGUGCUUCCAGGACGUAAUUCUUCUGUGCAGCAAUGAGGAUAAUCCUCAAGUUACGGACCCAGUCUGUGUAAUUGCUACCAUCAUCUUUCAACUUUGCUUUCUCAAGGAACGCAUUAAAAUUCAACGGAACAACAGCACGAGCCAUCUAUCUACAAUCAAACAUAAACAAGCAAGAUACUAAUCAGGUACUAAGUUUCAUGAUAAAUUUAAGUUCAGUUAAUCAAAUUAAUUAAAGAACUCCCACUUAGAUAGACAUCCCUCUAAUCCUCUAAGUGAUUACGUGAUCCAAAUCAACUAAACCAUAACCGAUCAUCACGUGAGAUGGAGUAGUUUUCAAUGGUGAACAUCGUUAUGUUGAUCAUAUCUACUAUAUGAUUCACGCUCGACCUUUCGGUCUCCGUGUUCCGAGGCCAUAUCUGUAUAUGCUUGGCUCGUCAAGUAUAACCUGAGUAUUCUGCGUGUGCAACUGUUUUGCACCCGUUUUAUUUGAACGUAGAACCUAUCACACGCGAUCAUCACGUGGUGUCUCAGCACGAAGAACUUUCGCAACGGUGCAUACAUAGGGAGAACACUUCUUGAUAAUUUAGUGAGAGAUCAUCUUAUAAUGCUACCGUCAAUCAAAGCAAGAUAAGAUGCAUAAAAGGAUAAACAUCACAUGCAAUCAAUAUAAGUGAUAUGAUAUGGCCAUCAUCUUGUGCUUGUGAUCUCCAUCUCCGAAGGACCGUCGUGAUCACCAUCGUCACCAGCGUGACACCUUGAUCUCCAUCGUAGCAUCAUUGUCGUCUCGCCAAGCUUGUGCUUCUACAACUAUCGCUACCGCUUAGUGAUAAAAGUAAAGCAUUACAUCGCGAUUGCAUUGCAUACAAUAAAACGACAACCAUAAGGCUCCUGCCAGUUGCCGAUAACUCGGUUACAAAACAUGAUCAUCUCAUACAAUAAAAUUCAGCAUCAUGUCUUGGCCAUAUCACAUCACAACAUGCCCUGCAAAAACAAGUUAGACGUCCUCUACUUUGUUGUUGCAAGUUUUACGUGGCUGCUACGGGCUUAAGCAAGAACCAAUCUUACCUACGCAUCAAAACCACAACGAUAGUUUGUUAAUUUGACUCCAUUUUAACCUUCGCAAGGACCGGGCAUAGCCAUACUCGAUUUAACUAAAGUUGGAGAGACAGUCGCACGCAAGCCACCUAUGUGCAAAGCACGUCGGGGGAACCGGUCUCGUGUAAGCGUACGCGUAAUGUUGGUCCGGGUCGUCUCGUCCAACAAUGCCGCCGAACCAAAGUAUGACAUGUUGGUAGGCAGUAUGACUUAUAUCGCCCACAACUCACUUGUGUUCUACUCGUGCAUAUAACAUCAACAUAAAUAACCUAGGCUCGGAUGCCACUGUUGGGUUUCGUAGUAAUUUCAAAAAAUUUCCUACGCACACGCAAGAUCAUGUGAUGCAUAGCAACGAGGGGAGAGUGUGAUCUACAUACCUAGUAGAUCGACAACGGAAGCGUUUGGUUGAUGUAGUCGUACGUCUUCACGAUCCAACCGAUCAAGCACCGAAACUACGGCACCUCCGAGUUCGAGCACACGUUCAGCUCGAUGACGAUCCCCGGACUCCGAUCCAGCAAAGUGUCGGGGAAGAGUUCCGUCAGCACGACGGCGUGGUGACGAUCUUGAUGCACUAUAGCAGCAGGGCUUCGCCUAAACUCCGCUAUAGUAUUAUCGAGGACUAUGGCGGCUGGGGGCGCCGCACACGGCUAAGGAAUAGAUCACGUGGAUCAACUUGUGUGUUUCUGGGGUGCCUCUGCCUCAGUAUAUAAAGGACUAGAGGGGGGAGGCUGGCCGGCCAAGGGUGGCGCGCCAGGAGAGUCCUACUCCCUGUGGGAGUAGGAUCCCCCCCAAUCCUAGUUGGAAUAGGAUUCGCGGAGGGGGAAAAGAGAGAGGGGGGGCACCUCUCCUUGUCCUAAUAGGACUAGGGGAGGGAGGGAGGCGCGCAGCCCAUCUUGGGCAGCCCCUUUUUUUUCCACUAAGGCCCACUAAGGCCCAUAUAGCUCCCGGGGUGUUCCGGUAACCUCCCGGUACUCCAGUAAAAUCCCGAUUUCACCCGGAACACUUCCGAUAUCCAAACAUAGGCUUCCAAUAUAUCAAUCUUUAUGUCUCGACCAUUUAGAGACUCCUCGUCAUGUCCGUGAUCACAUCCGGGACUCCGAACAACCUUCGGUACAUCAAAAUGCAUAAACUCAUAAUAUAACUGUCAUCGUAACCUUAAGCGUGCGGACCCUACGGGUUUGAGAACAAUGUAGACAUGACCGAGACACGUCUCCGGUCAAUAACCAAUAGCGGGACCUGGAUGCCCAUAUUGGCUCCUACAUAUUCUACGAAGAUCUUUAUCGGUCAGACCACAUAACAACAUACGUUGUUCCCUUUGUCAUCGGUAUGUUACUUGCCCGAGAUUCGAUCGUCGGUAUUCCAAUACCUAGUUCAAUCUCGUUACCGGCAAGUCUCUUUACUCGUUCUGUAAUACAUCAUCCUGCAACUAACUCAUUUAGUUGCAAUGCUUGCAAGGCUUAAGUGAUGUGCAUUACCGAGAUGGCCCAGAGAUACCUCUCCGACAAUCGGAGUGACAAAACCUAAUCUCGAAAUACGCCAACCCAACAUGUACCUUUGGAGACACCUGUAGUACUCCUUUAUAAUCACCCAGUUACGUUGUGACAUUUGGUAGUACCCAAAGUGUUCCUCCGGUAAACGGGAGUUGCAUAAUCUCAUAGUUAUAGGAAUAUGUAUAAGUCAUCAAGAAAGCAAUAGCAACAUACUAAACGAUCGGGUGCUAAGCUAAUGGAAUGGGUCAUGUCAAUCAGAUCAUUCUCUUAAUGAUGUGAUCCCGUUAAUCAAAUAACAACUCAUUGUUCAUGGUUAGGAAACAUAACCAUCUUUGAUUAACGAGCUAGUCAAGUAGAGGCAUACUAGUGACACUUUGUUUGUCUACGUAUUCACACAUGUAUUAUGUUUCCGGUUAAUACAAUUCUAGCAUGAAUAAUAAACAUUUAUCAUGAUUAUAAGGAAAUAAAUAAUAACUUUAUUAUUGCCUCUAGGGCAUAUUUCCUUCAAUUAGAUAUUCCACAAAACUCACCACACGAGUAUACUACCUAUAUCCACAAAAUUCACCACACGAGCAUACUACCCAUGUCCAAAUGUGGGUGUGAUACUUUCGACAUGAAACAUGAAUAUCAGGUUGGGAGUUUGGAGUUUAAUAAAAUAACGCAGCAAGGCGAUCAUCGGUAGGGAUGCACCUUUGAGGCGGCAAGGAGAGCUUCUCAAAGGCAGUACACAUGGCUUAUUACUGCUUGUAUGUGAGUACGCAGAUGUGGCGUCUAUAGAUAGAGGGUUAGGGGCGCAACGCAAGCGGCAGUAGGGGAUACACAACCUGAUUUGAUUUGGUCAAUCACGGGAAAUGGGAGAAGGCCUAGGGUGCAAAGUUUGGAUCGGUGGGUUGGUAGCGUUAGGCAUAAUAGAGAUCAAACCUUUUUCAUAGGUGUAUGUAGGUUAUUUCCUUGAAGCAUUUUAUCAAAAUGGUGUAGGUGAGUAAUAUCUCUCAACUUAAAUGUGAAGGGGAGAUAUUAUUUUCUUGUAGAGGCCGAGGAAUACAUGGCGUACCGCUACAUAUGCAACCAUGAUUUUUUGUGGAUGGUUACGAGAGAACCUGAAAGAUACCAUGGACCGAAGCAUGGGCAGAUGAAGUUCCAACGCCGAAGGGUAAGGAGACGGGCCCGCGUCAUUUACGUCGGGAAUAUGCGACCUUGAUUCUUUGUGGAUGGUGAUGCCAAGACUAUAGGAUAAGGUGGAUCCGGACACAUGAGCAGAUGAAGUGCCUGACACGAAGUAGGUUAAGGAGCUGGACCCAAGUCAUCUACACCGCAAAUUGGUCGAAGGUGUGCCGCGAAUGAUAGAUGUACUUGAGGGGGGAGAAAGCCUGUGAAAAGAACAUACGGUUGCUCGAUGAUGACACAUGUCUUGAGAGGAUGGCGAGAACCCUAGAUAUGGUUAAGGCAUGCCACGAGAACAUCACCCCGGUCGUGAGAUUCUCAGUGGUGUGCGGCAACCGAAGCCAAAAGGGCACCCCCGCAAGACCUUGAAACGCCAGAGCGGUGGGCACACAAGCAAUGGUGAGGAAAAUCACAUAAGGUACCAAGCAAGGCCAUCCUGAUCAGGGCUCCAUUGCCAAGCUUAUGUCCACCACUGCGAUUCAGACAAACUUUCAACUGGCGUCUUUGUCUUCUCAAGAUUUCCACGAUCCCAUCAGGAUGUAUAUAUGUACUUUGUUUAUUUUGAAAAUUAAUAUAUCACCAAAGAAAUUGUAGUACUUGUCAUUCUUUUAAUUACUUAGUAGUUUGCAUGAUAGACUCAAUCUUAUAUUUACUAAUUAGAGGCACCAAAUAAGCGACCACGUUAAUCCUCAAAAACUAAGAAUAUUAUCCAUCCGAUCUCCAUAUUAAGUAUCUAUAGCCGUCCAUUGGACAACUCAAGAGUCCUUGGUUACUAUCCCACGUCAUGCUCCAUGUAAUGUGAAAAAAAAUCAUCUCCUUGGCCAAAUCCAUCCCACGUCAUGCUCCAUGUAAUGUGAAAAAAAAUCAUCUCCCUGGCCAAAUUCUUCCUCCCCCGAUCUAUCAUGUGAGGCACUUGCGCAUCAUCCACAAAUCCCUAGCGCAAAUCCAUCCCACGUCAUGCUCCAUGUAAUCUGAAAAAAAUCAUCUCCCUGGCCAAAUUCUUCCUCCCCCGAUCUAUCAUGUGAGGCACUUGCGCAUCAUCCACAAAUCCCUAGCGCUGCUCUUGCAGGUCGUCCUCCUCCUUCCUAUCUUUUGCUGUCUUAAUGCAAAACGAUUCCGUGAGAUCCUUGUGAUCCUCUUCAUCUUCACGUAGAAAUCUGAACUGUCCCAACCACGCUGCAGAUCUGUGGUCCGUCUUGGACAAAGAGAAGGCCCUUUCAAUCUCCACAGAUGCCAUGCCCCAACCAAACCGCAACCCAUGAUAAACGAUGUUGUUGAGAAGGAGGCGCUACCUAAGUCUGAUCGGACAUUUGCCAUUGUUGGGGAAGCUACAAGUCGAAGAACUAUGGUAGACUGAUUGCAGGUAAUUAAGGAGCUAGCAACGAUCCAAUAGGUUUUUGUUAUUAGGAAUUUUUAUGUAGUGCGACUUGAUCUCAAAGAACAAGUACACCAUUAGAGUUUGUUUUGGAGGAUUUUGAUGAUGUGCGCUUAGUUACAGACUUAUCUAAAUACGUAUAACUAGGAUGGACAAUAUUUGUAGGAGCCAUACAAUCCAAUUAGGGGAUUCAGUUUGUCAAAGAUGUUUCCACAUAUCCCUAGCGCUGCUCUUCUAGGUUGCCCCCUGCUUCCUAUCUACGGUCUUCAAGUAAAGAGAUUUAAUGAGUCUCUUGCUGCAGAAAUUUCAACUGCCACAAGAAGGCUGCAGACUUGCGGUUCAUCUUGGCUGAGGUGUCAUACAAUCCAGUUAAGGGAUUCCAUUCAUUGAAGAUGUGGCUGUACUUUCACACAACAAACUCAAGCACAUCUUCUUAUGUUCUUAGAAACUAGAUGAGUCACUGGUAGAAAAAGGGCCUAUAGUCCCGGUUCGUAAGGGCCUUUAGUCCCGGUUCCUGAACUGGGACUAAAGUGUCGGUACUAAUGCCCUGUACCUUUAGUCCCGGUUCAAUCCAGAACCGGGACUGAUGGGCCUCCACGUGGGCAGUGCGCAGAGCCCAGGCAGGAUACCCUUUGGUCCCGGUUGGUGGCACCAACCGGGACCAAUAGGCAUCCACGCGUCAGCAUUUCUGUGGCUGGGUUUUUUGUUUUUUUUGAAAGGGGUGGUUUGGGGGUUUUGGGGGGUUAAUUUAGGUGUUUCAUAUAUUGUGUUAGCUAGCUAUAAUUAAUAGAGAGAAGUGUCCUCUCUUACGUCCGUGCUUGGUCGACGCUAUGUACUAUACAUACGUAUAGAGAGGACUAGACACGCUAGUUAGCUAGUAAGCAAACGAAGGAAACAGAAGAUCGUCAUGAACAUAUAUGCAUACAGAGAGAAGUGAUAUCGACCACCUCUCAUUCUCCGAGAGAUUGGUCGAACAACAAGUUCUCGUAUAUCUAUCCGACACUAACGGCUACAUAUAUACAAUAAUUAUCUCUUACAAAUAUAAUCAUAUGGACUUAUGGUCCACAUAGUAUUCUCCGUCUUCAGCGAUCACUUGGUCAAGAAAGAAUGCUGCCAAUUCCUCUUGAAUUGCUCGCAUGCGAGCUGGUGCUAGGAGUUCAUCCCGCUUCCGAAACAUCUAAUUUGAAGAAGGGGGUCAAUACAUAUAUAUAUGAAUGAAUGAAACUCAAUACAAAUGAUGGUAAUAAAAUAAAAUUGUGAAUGUUGUUAUUUACGUACUUCAUAUUGUUCGUUAGAGUACCCGCCCCGCUCACAGGUCGUGUGGCGGAUGGACUCGUAGAUGUAGUAUCCACAGAAAUCAUUCCCUUGUUCCUGCCACAACCACUUUACAAGAAAUAGAGGUCAAUCAAACUGAUAAGCAAGAAUGCUAAAUGGUAUUGAUGAAACUAGCGCUUGAAUCACUAGGAGAUGCGCGGAACAUUCUACUAUAGUACUUACUUUCGGGUGUCUAAAUUCCAGCUCCUUCGGCAGUCCCGGAACUGUUUUGGUGAAUUUUCUCCAAACCCUGCCGGACAAAGAAAACAAUUACUUGAUAUCAGGAAAUGAACAAAGUUGCUGAUAUGGUGGAUAAUGAUCGAUUUAACUUACUUCUUGAGGAUUUCAGUCAUGUCCGCAUACUCCUGGGGAUCUUUUCGUUUAGAGUCCAAGACGGUUACUACUCCCUGCUCAAGCCUAAUCUCUAGGAGAAUAUAGUGGAAACUGCACACGCAUGCAUAACUCAUCAAUUACAUUACUAUAACCUGGACUAAUAUAUAAGGGAAACUGAAUAUGCACAGGACAGUAACACUCACUCGAAGUUGUAAGGAAAGAGUAUUAUAUCUUUGUUUUCAUUUUUUUGAAUGAUUGUAGCAAGUUGGCCUCGGUAUCUGUGGCAUGAAAUUUAACCUGAGUUGCAUCUAUGAGAUAUGUGUUAAUGAACCCAAUAUCACCGAUUUGUCUUUUCUUCAAUUCGGCGAUCUUCAUUCUGCAUAAUAUAGUGAGGAUAAUUAUAAAUACAUGCAAUGAAAGAGAUGAGCUAUAUAGAGAGACUUAAUGACAGAAGUAGUAGUACUUACAGACAGUAGCAGGUGAUCGUUGUUUUAUCGAGGGCCAAUUGAUUGAAAAACUGAUAGAACUCCUGAAAUGGAAUAGGCAACAGUUCAAUUCCAACGAGGUCAUGCUCCGGUUUAACUCUCGCAUACAAAGUACUCCUCCCCCCAGACUCUCUGCAGAUUUUCAAGUACCAAUCAUGUAAUCUUCGCAUCAUCGUUGUUAAAGAUUUUUCAUCUUUGACGAGAGGCUUCCCGUACUCGUAUCUGUGUAUCUGCACAUCCAUGGUAUCAUAAUGUACAUCGUCGGGCAGGUAAUCGUCAACAUUGCCAUAACCGGGCCCCAUCCUCGGAUCGACGAUGUCGCUAGGCACCUUGAGAGGGGAGGGGCACGAUUGCUUCGCUUGUUCGCUGAGCUGGGCAAUUUGUUUCCCAGCUGCUCGUCGUUCUUUCAGCCUUUGAUCACUGACUGUACUUCCCGACCGCUCCGCUUCGGCCCAUGUCUUUGCAAUAAUGCGCUCAUAGUUGCCUUUCGGCGGAGACUUGGGUGGUUUUGCCAGGGCAGCCAGAGUGCGCUUCACUUUCACCGGAUCUACCUUCUCCUCCGGAGGUGGAUGUCUCUUUGCUCUCAACCCUUGAAACCAGUCAUCCACUUUGGUUCGCGCGAUCUCAGCGUUCUCCUCCAGGGUUCUCUCAUAUGGUAACUUCUCUGGAGUCUUCAGAGAAGGACCGAAUCUGUAUGUCCUCCCGCCUCUGGUUGUACUGCUAGACGCAGACCGAGCAGACGGAGCGGUCUUCUUUACUUGCUUACGAGGCGGAGGAGAAGGACUACGACGCGCCGCAGCAGCUGGAGCGGUGGCAGGUCUCUUCCACCCUUGCUGACGAGGCGGAGAAGGAGGAGGCUGGCUGCUUGGGCGCGUCGGUGCAGGCGGAGAAGGAGGCGGAGUGCCGCCACACGCAGGAGAAGGAGCCGGCCGAGGGCCCUGAUCGUCACUCGCCGGAGGAGGAGGCAGUGGAGGAGGCGGAGUGCCCUGACUCACCGGAGGAGGAGGAGGAGGCAGAGGCGUCCAGUUCGGAAGGUUGAUGAGCUCCUUCCGCCAUAGGCAUGGAGUCUUGAGAGCAGACCCCAGCCGAGUCUCCCCUUCACCGGUAGGGUGGUCAAGCUGGAGGUUCUCAAAUCCCUCCGUUAUUUCAUCCACCAUCACCCUAGCAUAUCCUUCUGGAAUCGGCCGGCAGUGAAAAGUUGCGCCGGGUUCAGUAGGAUAAACAGAGCCAACAGCCGCCUUGACCUUCAAAAUCAUCCAUUGCGUCAUAAGGUGGCAAUUUUGAGACUCCGUGAUAGCAUCCACGGGAUAGCUGGAAGGAGCCAUCAAGGCAUGCUCCGGCUGAAGCAGCUCGGUGGAAGCCACGCUGCUUCUGCGCUAAGAUGGCGGGGUAGCUUCGGGGGAGGCUUCGGCAGUACGUUUGCUGCGAUUUGCUUCUCGUUCCUCUAUCGCGUCUACCCUUGCUUGCAGCGCCUGCAUUUGGGUCUGCUACACUUUUUUCCUCCUCUCAUGGGAUUUGUAACCACCUGCGUCCGGAAACCCAACCUUCCACGGAAAGGAGCCUGGCGUGCCCCGUGUCCGUCCAGGGUGCUCAGGAUUCCCGAGGGCCAUUGUGAGCUCGUUGUUCUCUCUGUCUGGAAAGAACUUCCCUUGCUGCGCUGCUUCGAUAUACUGCUUAAGCUUCCUGACUGGUAUGUCCAUUUGAUCGUUCGUCCAAAUGCACUUCCCUGUUACAGGGUCCAAGGUUCCGCCAGCCCCGAAGAACCAAGUCCGGCAACGGUCUGGCCAGGUAAUUGUCUCUGGUUCGAUCCCUUUAUCAACCAGAUCAUUCUCAGUCUUGGCCCACUUAGGCCGGGCUAUGAGGUAGCCACCUGACCCCGUGCGAUGGUGAAGCUUCUUCUUCGCAGCAUUUUGCUUAUUUGUCGCCGACAUCUUCUUACUCUUUUCCGAUGUCUUGUGGGCCACAAAUGCGGGCCAGUGAUCUCUGAUCCUCUCAUAUCUGCCCUUGAAUUCUGGUGUCUCAUUAUUUUCUACAAACUUAUUCAGCUCUUUCUUCCACUUCCUGAAUAGUUCCGCCAUCCUCUUAAGAGCAAAAGACUUGAUUAAUUUCUCUUUAACUGGGUUCUCUGGAUUAUCCUCUGGCGGUAGGGUGAAAUUUGACUUCAGCUCGGUCCAAAGAUCAUUUUUCUGCAUAUCAUUGACAUAAGACACCUCAGGGUCUUCUGUAGCCGGCUUAAACCAUUGAUGGAUGCUUAUCGGGAUCUUGUCCCUACCAGAACCCCACACUGAGCAACAAAUGCGUUCUUUGUUCGGAUGGGUUCAAUCGGUUGGCCGUCGGGCGCGAUUUCGUUGUUCACCCUCUCCAUCCAGACCAUCGGUUUCAUUGAGAAACAACGAGACGGCAUCACUUCCUUCUGUGAUUAUGUCCCUCAACAACGCUUCUUUUGCUUCGUCUAGGCGGUGUCCAUAGUUUCUACAAAUAUUUACAACAUGGCAAUUAUUAUUCAAACAUGACAGAUGGAUAUAUUAGUGCCAAACGUAGAACUAGCUACCUAAUCAUAGUAAGCUAUCGGGAGGGGGUAUAUAUCGACAACGACGACACUACAUCUAUGUCCCUUGAUGACCCUCUUUUUGUUUCUUCCUCUUCUUUUUUAUCCUCUUCUUCCUCUCAUGUUCGAGAGGAUCGCGGAGGGGUCGGGAGGUUGCGUAGUGUCAAAGGAUUCAACAAAACCAUGUCUUCAUCAUUAGGCGAAAGUAACAUGUGCAUGAUGGUACGAAGCUCUUCAAAGUUGUUCUGGAACGGAGUCCCAGAUAGGAUAAUUCGUUUUUUGGUACAAAGUUCAGCAAGAGCCUUCCGAAUAUCGCUAUUUGGAAGGCCUUUCCUGAAUUCAUACCAAAAGGCGAAUUAUCCUAUCCGGGACUCCAUUCCAGAACAACUUUGCAGAACUUCGUACCAACAUGCCCUGGUUACUUCCGGCUAAUGAUGAAGGCAUGGAUUUCUUCAAUACUUUGACACUAGGAAACCUCUCUCGACCCCUCGGCGAUCCUCGACCCCUCGAACCCUCGACGACCCUGGAACCCUCGACCCCUCGGUGAUCCUCUUCUUCCUCUCAUGUUCGAGAGGAUCGCCGAGGGGUCGGGAGGUUGCGUAGUGUCAAAGGAUUCAACAAAACCAUGUCUUCAUCAUUAGGCGAAAGUAACAUGUGCAGGAUGGUAUGAAGCUCUUCAAAGUUGUUCUGGAACAGAGUCCCAGAUAGGAUAAUUCACUUUUUGGUACAAAGUUCAGCAAGAGCCUUCCGAAUAUCGCUAUUUGGAAGGCCUUUGCUGAAUUCGUACCAAAAGGCGGAUUAUUCUAUCCGGGACUCCAUUCCAGAACAACUUUGCAGAACUUCGUACCAACAUGCCCUGGUUACUUCCGGCUAAUGAUGAAGGCAUGGAUUUCUUCAAUACUUUGACACUAGGAAACCUCUCUCGACCCCUCGGCGAUCCUCGACCCCUCGAACCCUCGACGAGCCUGGAACCCUCGACCCCUCGGUGAUCCUCUUCUUCCUCUCAUGUUUGAGAGGAUCGCGGAGGGGUCGGGAGGUUGCGUAGUGUCAAAGGAUUCAACAAAACCAUGUCUUCAUCAUUAGGCGAAAGUAACAUGUGCAUGAUGGUACGAAGCUCUUCAAAGUUGUUCCGGAACGGAGUCCCAGAUAGGAUAAUUCGCUUUUUGGUACAAAGUUCAGCAAGAGCCUUCUGAAUAUCGCUAUUUGGAAGGCCUUUGCUGAAUUCGUACCAAAAGGCGGAUUAUCCUAUCCGGGACUCCAUUCCAGAACAACUUUGCAGAACUUCAUACCAACAUGCCCUGGUUACUUCCGACUAAUGAUGAAGGCAUGGAUUUCUUCAAUACUUUGACACUAGGAAACCUCUCUUGACCCCUCAGCGAUCCUCGACCCCUCGAACCCUCGACGACCCUGGAACCCUCGACCCCUAGAUGACCCUGGAAUCCUCGACCCUCGACCCUAUAGAACUCUCGAACCCUCGACCCUGAAACCCUCGACCCUUGACCCCUUAACGACCCUCGACCCUCUACCCUAGUUUCCGACCCUCGACCCCUCGGCGAUCCUCGACACCCUCGUUCCCGAUAAAAAUUAAGAAGAAGAAGAAAAAAAAGAGGAGAAAAAAAAGGAGAAGAAGCUCCUCUAUUCCUUCUUCUUCUCCUCUUUUUUUCUUCUUCUUCCUCUUCUUCCUCUCCUCGUCUUCUCCUUCUUCUUCACCUUCUUUCUCUACUUAUUUUCCUUUUCCUUAUUUUACUUUUUCCUCUCCACUAACAUAAAAUGCACUAACCUAAAAUGCAACAAACAUAAAAGGCACUAAAUCGAUCAACUAACCUAAAAUCAGUGAUAAAAUGCACUAACCUAAAAUCGAUAUCUACUAACAACUUAAAAAAAUUAAUACAUAUAUGAAAAAUGCAUAUAUGAAGAAAAAACAUCAUCAUAUCAUCAACAGAGAAAAACAUCAUCAUAUCAUCAACAGAAAAGAACAUCAUCAUAUCAUCAACCUAAAAUCAGUGAUAAAGGGCGCCGGCGGCCGGACCGAAGGUGGCGGCGUGUGGUCGGGGCAACGGCGAUGGGGUUGGGGAAGGGGCGGCGCGCGCGGCGACGGCGACGGCGACGUGGUCGGGGAAGGGGCAGCGCGCGCGGCGAUGACGACGGGGUCGGGGAACAGGUGGCGCGCACGGCGAAGGCGACGGGGUCGAGGCAGGGGCGGCGCGNNNNNNNNNNNNNNNNNNNNNNNNNNNNNNNNNNNNNNNNNNNNNNNNNNNNNNNNNNNNNNNNNNNNNNNNNNNNNNNNNNNNNNNNNNNNNNNNNNNNNNNNNNNNNNNNNNNNNNNNNNNNNNNNNNNNNNNNNNNNNNNNNNNNNNNNNNNNNNNNNNNNNNNNNNNNNNNNNNNNNNNNNNNNNNNNNNNNNNNNNNNNNNNNNNNNNNNNNNNNNNNNNNNNNNNNNNNNNNNNNNNNNNNNNNNNNNNNNNNNNNNNNNNNNNNNNNNNNNNNNNNNNNNNNNNNNNNNNNNNNNNNNNNNNNNNNNNNNNNNNNNNNNNNNNNNNNNNNNNNNNNNNNNNNNNNNNNNNNNNNNNNNNNNNNNNNNNNNNNNNNNNNNNNNNNNNNNNNNNNNNNNNNNNNNNNNNNNNNNNNNNNNNNNNNNNNNNNNNNNNNNNNNNNNNNNNNNNNNNNNNNNNNNNNNNNNNNNNNNNNNNNNNNNNNNNNNNNNNNNNNNNNNNNNNNNNNNNNNNNNNNNNNNNNNNNNNNNNNNNNNNNNNNNNNNNNNNNNNNNNNNNNNNNNNNNNNNNNNNNNNNNNNNNNNNNNNNNNNNNNNNNNNNNNNNNNNNNNNNNNNNNNNNNNNNNGGCCAAUUUUCAGCAUCCCAAAGGGCGGGAAGCGGCGGCCUUUGGUCCCGGUUGGUGGCACCAACCGGGACUAAAGGGGGCAUUAGUCCCGGGUCGUAGCACGAACCGGGACCAAAGGUGGGCAUUGGUCCCGGUUCGAGCCACCAACCGGGACCAAUGGCCUUGCACAGCGGCGUGGUGGUGGGAGUUUAGUCCCACCUCGCUAGUUGACAGCGCCCAACACCUGUUUAUAAGCUCUGCUGCCUCCUUCCUCUCGAACUUCUCUGAACUGCAGGCCUAUGGGCGUAAUCUGACACUGCUUUGCCUGUGGGCCUAUUGGGCCUUCUGCGGGCCUGAAUCCUGGCCCAUGUUGGGUUUCUAGUCGUAUUUAGGCCAUGGUGGCCCAAUAGGUGGCAAUUUUUUUAUUUUUUUUCCAAUUUUUUGUUUUGUUUUUUGCAUUAUUUAUUUCCUUUUGUUUUUUGCUUUAUUUUUAAUUCUUUUUGCUUUUAGGUCAGAAAAAUUAUAAACUUUCUGUUAGUGCCAUUACUUUUCAAAUUUGAAUAGUUAAAAUUUGAAUUCUUUGAAAUUUCUGUGAAUCACAAGUUUGUGAUUAACUUUACUAUAAAAAUAUAUUUUUUUUCCAGUUUUUCUGUUUUGUUUUUUGCAUUAUUUAUUUUCNNNNNNNNNNNNNNNNNNNNNNNNNNNNNNNNNNNNNNNNNNNNNNNNNNNNNNNNNNNNNNNNNNNNNNNNNNNNNNNNNNNNNNNNNNNNNNNNNNNNNNNNNNNNNNNNNNNNNNNNNNNNNNNNNNNNNNNNNNNNNNNNNNNNNNNNNNNNNNNNNNNNNNNNNNNNNNNNNNNNNNNNNNNNNNNNNNNNNNNNNNNNNNNNNNNNNNNNNNNNNNNNNNNNNNNNNNNNNNNNNNNNNNNNNNNNNNNNNNNNNNNNNNNNNNNNNNNNNNNNNNNNNNNNNNNNNNNNNNNNNNNNNNNNNNNUUUUUUCCAAUUUUUUGUUUUGUUUUCUGCAUUUUUUUUGUUUUUGGUUUAUUUUUUAAUUCUUUUUGCUUUUUGUUUUAGAAAAAUUAUAAAUUAUCUAUUAGUGCCAUUUUUUCAAAUUUGAAAACACUUUUUCUGUUUUUUGUUUUCUUUGUUUCUUUAUUUAUUUUAUUUUGUUUCUACUUACAACAAAAUACUGAUUGUUGCUAUUUUUAUUUUUUACCAAUUUUUUUGUUUUGUUUUCUGCAUUAUUUAUUUCCUUUUGUUUUUGCUUUAUUUUUUAAUUCUUUUUGAUUUUAGGUCAGUAAAAUUAUAAACUUUUUGUUAGUGCCAUUAGUUUUAGAAAAAUUAUAAACUUUCUGUUAGUGCCAUUAGUUUUCAAAUUUGAAUAGUUAAAAUUUGAAUUCUUUGAAAAUUGUUUGAAUCACAAGUUUGUGAUUAACUUACUAAAAAAUGAGAAUAGAUGAAAGUUGAAAGUUUCUGUUAGUGCCAUUAGUUUUAGAAAGUUGAAAGUUGAAAGUUAAAAGUUGGCAUGGGCCAGGGACUAAUGGUCAUGGUAUUACGAGGGCCGAACCAUAAGACAUGAAAGCAUUUCAAAUGAAUUCUAAAAAAGUUGAAAGUUGGGAUGGUAUCAUAAUUUCACCCACAUAGCAUGUGCAUGUACAAAACGGACAAUGGUAGCAUGUUCGUGUGUUGCAAAGUUGCGGGAGAAAGUCUUCACGUUUUCUUCGCUUUUGUCAUUUGCUUAUUGCGCCGUAACCAUGGAUAAUCUUCAUUGUUUAUCAGGAUGCUUGGGUCAGCCUUGACAUUGAAGGGAGGAAUUUCAUGAAACUUUUCAUAAUCUUCAGACAUGUCUGUCUUGCCGUCCACUCCCAGGAUGUCCCUUUUUCCUGAAAGAACUAUGUGGCGCUUUGGCUCAUCGUAUGAUGUAUUCGCUUCCUUAUCUUUUCUUUUUCUCGGUUUGGUAGACAUGUCCUUCACAUAGAUAACCUGUGCCACAUCAUUGGCUAGGACGAACGGUUUGUUAGUGUACCCAAGAUUUUUCAGAUCCACUGUUGUCAUUCCGUACUGUGGGUCUACCUGUACCCCGCUGCCUAACAGAUUGACCCAUUUGCACUUAAACAAAGGGACCUUAAAAUUAGGUCCGUAGUCAAGUUCCCAUAUGUCCACUAUGUAACCAUAAUAUGUAUCCUUUCCGCUCUCAGUUGCUGGAUCAAAGCAGACAGCGCUGUUUUGGUUGGUGCUCUUUUGAUCUUGGGCGAUCGUGUAAAAUGUAUUCCCAUUCAUCUCGUAUCCUUUGUAAGUGAAUACAGUCAAAGAUGGUCCCCUGGUCAACAAGUACAACUCAUCACAAACAGUGUUGUCACCUCUGAGACGUGUUUCCAACCAACUGCUAAAAGUCCUGAUGUGUUCACAUGUAAUCCGGUCGUCGCACUGCUCCGGGUGUUUGGAGCGCAGACUGUUCUUGUGUUCAUCGACAUACGGGGUCACCAAGGUAGAGUUCUGUAGAACUAUGUAGUGUGCUUGAGACCAAGAAUAUCCGUCCCUGCAUAUUAUUGAGUCUCUUCCAAGAGUGCCUUUUCCAGUCAGUCUCCCCUCAUACCGCGAUUUAGGGAGACCUAUCUUGUUAAGGCCAGGAAUGAAGUCAACACAAAACCCGAUAACAUCCUCUGUUUGAUGGUCCAUGGAGAUGCUUCCUUCUGGCCUAGCGCGAUUACGGACAUAUUUCUUUAGGACUCCCAUGAACCUCUCAAAGGGGAACAUAUUGUGUAGAAAUACGGGCCCCAGGAUGACAAUCUCGUCGACUAGAUGAACUAGGACGUGCGUCAUGAUAUUGAAGAAGGAUGGUGGGAACACCAGCUCGAAACUGACAAGACAUUGCGCCACAUCACUCGUUAGCCUUGGUACGAUUUCUGGAUCGAUCACCUUCUGAGAGAUUGCAUUGAGGAAUGCACAUAGCUUCACAAUGGCUAAUCGGACGUUUUCCGGUAGAAGCCCCCUCAAUGCAACCAGAAGCAGUUGCGUCAUAAUCACGUGGCAGUCAUGAGACUUUAGGUUCUGAAACUUUUUCUCUGGCAUAUUUAUUAUUCCCUUUAUAUUCGACAAGAAGCCAGUCGUGACCUUCAUACUGAGCAGGCAUUUAAAGAAGAUUUCUUUCUCUUCUUUCGUAAGAGCGUAGCUGGCAGGACCUUUAUACUGCUUCGGAGGCAUGCCGUCUUUUUCGUGCAAACGUUGCAGGUCCUCCCAUGCCUCAGGUGUAUCUUUUGUCUUCCCAUACACGCCCAAGAAGCCUAGCAGGUUCACGCAAAGGUUCUUCGUCACGUGCAUCACGUCAAUUGAGGAGCGGACCUCUAGGUCUUUCCAGUAGGGUAGGUCCCAAAAUAUAGAUUUCUUCUUCCACAUGGGUGCGUGUCCCUCAGCGUCAUUCGGAAUAGCUAGUCCACCGAGACCCUUUCCAAAGAUUACGUAGUGUAAAUCAUUGACCAUAGCAAGCACGUGAUCACCGGUGCGCAUGGCGGGCUUCUUCCGGUGAUCUGCAACGCCUUUGAAAUGCUUGCCUUUCUUUCGACAUUGAUGGUUGGUCAGAAGAAAUCGACGAUGGCCCAGGUACACAUUCUUCCUACAUUUGUCCAGGUAUAUACUUUCAGUGUCAUCUAAACAGUGCGUGCAUGCGUGGUAUCCUUUGUUUGUCUGUCCUGAAAGGUUACUGAGAGCGGGCUAAUCGUUGAUGGUCAUGAACAGCAACGCCUUAAGGUUAAAUUCCUCCUGUCUGUGCUCAUCCCACGUACGUACACCAUUUCCAUUCCAAAGCUGUAAAAGUUCUUCAACUAAUGGCCUUAGGUACACAUCAAUGUCGUUGCCGGGUUGCUUAGGGCCUUGGAUGAGAACUGGCAUCAUAAUGAACUUCCGCUUCAUGCACAUCCAAGGAGGAAGGUUAUACAUACAUAGAGUCACAGGCUAGGUGCUGUGAUUGCUGCUCUGCUCCCCGAAAGGAUUAAUUCCAUCCGCGCUUAAGGCAAACCAUACAUUCCUUGGGUCCUUUGCAAACUCAUCCCAGUACUUUCUCUCGAUUUUUCUCCACUGCGACCUGUCAGCGGGUGCUCUCAACUUCCCAUCUUUAUUUCGGUUCUCACUGUGCCAUCGCAUCAACUUGGCAUGCUCUUUGUUUUUUAACAGACGUUUCAACCGUGGUAUUAUAGGAGCAUACCACAUCACCUUCACAGGAACCCUCUUCCUGGGGGGCUCGUCGUCAACAUCACCAGGGUCAUCUCGUCUGAUCUUAUACCGCAAUGCACCGCAUAUCGGGCAUGCGUUCAGAUCCUUGUAUGCACCGCGGUAGAGGAUGCAGUCAUUAGGGCAUGUAUGUAUAUUCUCCACCUCCAAUCCUAGAGGGCAUACGACCUUCUUUGCUGCGUAUGUACUGUCGGGCAAUUCGUUAUCCUUUGGAAGCUUCUUCUUCAAUAUUUUCAGUAGCUUCUCAAAUCCUUCGUCAGCCACAGCAUUCUCUGCCUUCCACUGCAGCAAUUCCAGUACGGUACCAAGCUUUGUGUUGCCAUCUUCGCAAUUGGGGUAUAACCCUUUUUUGUGCUCCUCUAACAUGCGAUCGAACUUCAGCUUCUCCUUUUGACUAAUGCAUUGCGCCCUUGCAUCGACAAUGACCCGGCGGAGAUCAUCAUCAUCGGGCACAUCGUCUGGUUCCUCUUGAUCUUCAGCAGCUUCACCCAUUGUAGCAUCAUUGGGCACAUCGUCUGGUUCCUCUUGAUCUUCACCAGCUCCCCCGUUGCAGCAUCACCGUAUUCAGGGGCCACAUAGUUGUCAUCAUACUCUUCUUCUUCACCGUCUUCCAUCAUAACCCCUAUUUAUCCGUGCCUCGUCCAAACAUUAUUAGUUUGGCAUGAAACCCUUGUAAAGCAGGUGGGAGUGAAGGAUUUUCUGGUUAGAGUAAGACCUCGUAUUCCCACAUUCAGUGCAUGGACAACACAUAAAACCAUUCUGCUUGUUUGCUUCAGCCGCAUCGAGAAACUCAUGCACGCCCUUAAUGUACUCGCGGGUGUGUCUGUCAUCGUACAUCCGUUGCCGGUUCAUCUUCGUGCAUUAUAUAUAAUUAAGUGUCCAAAUUAAUAGAAGUUCAUCAUCACAUUAAAACCAAAGUGCAUACAUUCUCAUCUAACAACAUAUAGCUCUCCAGAGCAUCUAAUUAAUUAAACCAUACAUUGAAACUAUGUAAAACAUUUCAAUGUGAAAACAAAUGCGAUCAUAAUCGCAACCAAGGUAACAAUUGAUCCAACGGCAUAAUGAUACCAAGCCUCGGUAUGAAUGGCAUAUUUUCUAAUCUUUCUAAUCUUCAAGCACAUUGCAUCCAUCUUGAUCUUGUGAUCAUCGACGACAUCCGCAACAUGCAACUCCAAUAUCAUCUUCUCCUCCUCAUUUUUUUAUUUUUUCCUUCAACAAAUUGUUUUCUUCUUCAACUAAAUUUAACCUCUCGACAAUAGGGUCGGUUGGCAUUUCCGAUUCACAUACAUCCUAGAUAAAUAAAAUCUAUGUCACGUUGGUCGGCAUAAUUUUCAUAAACAAUAAAUGAGCCAAUAGUUAUAAAGAUAAUAUACAUACCACAUCCGAAUCAUAGACAGGAUGAGGGCCGACGGGGGCGGAUACCAAGACCAUCGCACUAUAUAAGAUGCAAUAAUAAAUGUAAGAAAAUGAUACAAGUAUCUAUCUAAACAUACAAGUAAGAAUAUUUUUCCUUUCAGAAAGAAGAUAAGAACAAGAGGCUCACCACGGUGGUGUCGGUGAUGAGAUCGGCGCGGGUGAUCGACGGCGGUGAAGACGGGGACGAGGCGUGACGAACCGCUAAAUCUAGACAAAUCUCGAGGAAAAUGGAGCUUGGAGGUCGAGCUUCGAGAGGAGAAAGCUUAAGUAGUGUGGCUCGGGCAUUCCAUCGAACACCUCAUGUGCAUAGGAGGUGAGCUAGAGCACCACAAACCCCUCCCCUCGCCGGCCAGAGAAAAACAGAGCACUGGAGUGCUCUGCUCGCGGGCAAGGGUAUAUAUAGGCACCUCUUUGGUCCCGGUUCGUGGCAUGAACCGGGACUAAAGGUGGUGGGCCAGGAGCGAGGCCGAUUGGUCUCGGUUCAUCCCACCAACCGGGACCAAAAGGUCCAGAUGAACCGGGACCAAUGGCCCAUGUGGCCCGGCCGGCCCCCUAGGCUCACGAACCAGGACCAAUGCCCACAUUGGUCCCGGUUUUAGACUGAACCGGGACUAAUGGGCUGACCCGGCCUGGACCAUAGCCUUGUUUUCUACUAGUGAGUUGUUUUGGACUUUCUUUGGUCUACUCCUCUAUGCUUCUUAUUGGGAAAGUUAGUAUGCAAAAGUUAUGCCCAUCUUCUUAAAUUCGGAUGUAACUUUUCGAGUAGAUGAUUUUUCAUAUAAAAAACUUUUUCAUCCGAGUUAGUAUGCAAAAGUUAUGCCCAUUUUUACAAAUUUCAGAGAGAUUUUGCAAAUAAAGUCAAAAUUCACAUUUGCAAAUUUUCCCAACAACUAGACCACAUAUCACAUGGGAAACUUAUUUUCUUUUAUUUUUUUGACAUUUCCAUCAUUUUCUUUUAUUUUUUUUAAAACUGAAAAGGCGAUCCACAGGGGGGGGUAGAGUUUGAAAAUGGGACCUUUAGUACCGGUUCGUGGCACGAACCGGGACUUAAGGUCUCAACCCCAUUAGUCCCGGUUCGUGCCUCAAACCGGGACUAAAGGUCUAAUCUUUAGUCCCGGUUUGAGGCACGAACCGGGACCAAUGGUUGUGGGCCAGGAGCGAGGCCCAUCGGUCCCGGUUCAUCCCACCAACCGGGACCAAAAGGUCCAGAUGAACCGGGACCAAUGGCCCACGUGGCCCGGCCGGCCCCCUGGGCUCACGAACCGGGACCAAUGCCCCCAUUGGUCCCGGUUCUGGACUGAACCGGGACUAAUGGGCUGACCCGGCCUGGACCAAAGCCCUGUUUUCUACUAGUGAGUCCAAUCUUGUGUUUAUUCCUCCAUGUCGGCAAAGAGUCAGUAGUCAAUCUCCAAGCAAAAUUACGCACAGUGGGGGGGUACAUCACAUCUCCAUAUAUAUUGCCAGCAUUUUCUACUACCAUCUGGCGAUGUGCUAGACGCCUCUGCAGUAUUUCUGUGAGCUACUUCAAAAGCCAACAUAUAUCCUGAUUUGACCGUGAAGACGCCGAGCUUCCCCGGCCCCCAUGCAAUCACAUCCUCACCUAAUCUUGGAGAUGCCCGUAUCUUUAAUAGUUCUUCCACAUCAGCUGAUAAGAAAUACUGCUGAAGAAGUACCAAGUUCCAAGAACCAUUAUCAUUUAGCAAGUCGGACACAAAACGAAUGCGACAUCUUCCUUGCAGUGACACAGGUUUGUAUGAAAAGGGACUUGGAAUCCAGUUAUAUCUCCCCUUUGUUGGUAGUCAGAGUCACUAGGACAACUAACUGUGUUAGCAUCUAGAGUUGUAACAAGCCACAGUCCGCCUAUCUUGGGUGUGCAGCGAUGAUGCUACCAUCUCCUACUACAAAGUACACGCCUUGCACCGGAAACAGCGCAACCAUAUGACAUCUAUCCGAGUGGGCGACCACGUGGUGACCGGGCAUGAGGCCAUGGAUGAGGCCACCUACAACCACUUCUCCGAUGUGCUCGGAAGUACCACGGAGCAUGACAUCACGCUUGAUCUCCGCGUUUUGCGUGUUCAACACAAUGCUACUCCGUGCGGUGGACCUAGGCCUUCUUCGACGCCUUACCACUCGGCACGCGGCCUCGAGUAUAUCGCUAUACGCGGACGAUGUUGUCAUCUUUUGUCACCCGGACAACCACGACAUUACCACCGUGUGAACCAUCCUGCACAUAUUCGGGCUUCAUACAAACUUCGCCAAGUGCUCUGCCACCCCGAUCCAGUGCGAUGAUGACAACAACAUGAUGAUCACAUCUGAGAUGCCGUGCCCCAUAGCCCAAUUCCCCAUCACAUACCUCGGGUUGCCUCUCUCUGUCUGCAAGGCCUCCACGACUAGCUUGCUCCCGAUCAUCGACAAGCUCGGCCACAAGCUCUCCACUUGGCAUGCUUCCAUGAUGUCCAACGAGCAACGGCGACCGCCUUGCUCUCGUGCAUCACGUACUUAGUGCUAUCCCGACAUACUUCCUCACCGCCUUUGCUCUCAACCAAUCCAUCCUCAAGAAAUUCAACCGCAUCAUCCGCAGAUUCCUUUGGGCGGGAGGCACCGAAGGCAAUGGGGGUCAGUGCCGUGUUAACUAACAGCAAGUUUGCCGGCCAAUCUCUCUUGGCGGUCUUAGCAUCAGGGACAUUCAAAGGACCGGCAUCACCCUCCGUGUGUGGUUGCUUUGGUUACAGUGCACCGAUCCCUUGCAACCCUGGAGCCACUUACACAUACCUCACGACCCAGACGUGACUGCCAUCUUCAGCGCAUCUACGACCUGGGAUCUUGGGUCCGGCGUCACCUGCAGAUUCUGGUAGGACCACUUGAUAGAGGGUAGAUCCGUGGCUGAGAUCCCCCCAGUCCUCGCCUCGUCCCACGACACCGACGCAAGACUCGCACCAUUCGCGAGGGCCUCCACCUUAGAGCCUGGGUGGAAGAGAUUCAUGGAGCACUCGGACCGACGGCCAUGUUGCAAUAUGUUGAUCUUGAGCGUCGUGUGCGCCACAUUGACCAGAUGAGCCGGAUACACUCAAAUGGCGCUGGACCGCCUCCUCUAUGAAAUGUUUAUGAUGGGAGAAUUUAAAUUCUUCUUAGGUCUUCAAAUUCUUCAACAGCGCAAUGGCAUCUUCAUAUUUCAAGAGAAUACCUCAAGGAUGUAUUGUGGAAAUUCGGCAUGAAAGAUUGCAAAGGCGUCAAAAUCCCUAUGCCCACAAAUGGCCAUCUAUGCACUGAUGAAAAUGGUAUUGACUUUGAUCAAAAGAUAUACCGCUCCAUGAUUGGUUCUUUAUUGUAUUUAUGUGCAUCUAGGCCAGAUAUUAUUCUUAGUGUUUGCAUGUGUGCCUGAUUUCAACCUACACUGAAGGAAUCACACCAUAAGGCUGUGAAGCAUAUUCUUCGUUAUCUAGCUCACACACCAACACUUGGAUAUGGUAUCCCAAGGGCUCGGCUUUUGAUCUCAUUGGGUACUCACUCUAACUAUGCUGGUGAUCCUGUGGACCGCAAGUCAACAUCAGGCACAUGCCAUUUCCUCAGACGAUCCUUGGUCUGUUGGUCCUCGAAGAAACAGAACUGAGUAUCACUGUCUACUACUGAAGCUGAGUACAUUGCUGCUGGUUCUUGCUGUUCUCAAUUGCUAUGGAUGAAGCAAACCCUCAAGGACUACGGCGUCAAUGUAAAGAAUGUGCCUCUCUACUGUGACAAUGAGAGUGCCAUCAAGAUUGCUCAUAACCCACUUCACCAGUCGAAGACAAAGCACAUUCAGAUUUGUCAUCAUUUUCUUCGUGAUCAUGUAUUGAAGGGCGACAUUUCUAUUGAGCAUGUGAAGACUGGAGAACAGCUAGCCGGUAUCUUCACAAAGCCUUUGGAUGAGAAGAGAUCUAGCAAGUUGCGGUGUGAGCUAAAUAUCCUAGAAUCUUUGAAUGUCCUUUGAAAAGGACACACAUCCUAACACUUGUGCAAAGUUGAUGACUUAGACGUGCAACACACGGAGAAACGUUUUUCUUCAUUCAAUGAAGAUUAACACUCUAGGUGUGAACAAAUUAACGAAGAAUUUGAUUCUCAGAGCCCUUCAACAAUUGUACAUGGUGUUUGAAAUCAUCAUUCUUAUACGGUGGGUCACGCCACCACCAAAAGUUGAAAAUCUUGAAUUUGAGUUUUUACUCAUUUUUGAAUUUCCUCAGUUGUUCAAAUUCUUCAACUUUUCGAUGUCUUCACUCUUUCCGUUGUUGUUCUUCAUUGGCUAUAUAUAUAUAUAUAUAUAUAUAUAUAUAUAUAGGGUGGGUCUAUUAUGAUAACACCCUUUAAGACCCUUAUUCUGCUAACACCCAGCUUAUUCUGCUAACACUACCUACCUCGCCGUAGCUACAGACUAACCCAAAAAACAACUGGACCGAACUGCUCGCACAAAGGGAAAACCCAGCCCACCUUAUCUUCUCAUACCCACUCCCCCCCAAUUCCCUCUCUAUCUCUCCCGCAACCUCCCUUGCGCGGACGCCGCCAAACCACCACCUCCCCUGUGCCGCCGCACCGCAACCUCCUCUGUGCGGCCGAGUCCGCUCCCCGGCGACUCCUGAUCCGCAGCUCCCCCCAUCACCCCUGCCUUCCUCUGCGCGCCGCCGCUCCGGGUCACGGCCACCGCGUUCGACCACCAGCAGCACAUCAGUACGGCGGUAGUGCGGCCCCGCUUCCGUUCCUCCAUGGCCGACCCCCUACCUCCCACCUUCUCCCUCCUGCCCCGAUCGACAACCUCCAUCGCCGCCCCGGUCGUGUUGCCCCUCCAGACCCCACGCCGCCGGAUCCAGGCAACCACGCCGGCGUGCCCUUCCACGAGCUUUCCCGUCACGACCCUACCACGAGCUGCUCCAGCCCGACCCUGCUUCUUCGAGAACAGCACAGUGGCAACUCCCCUUAGUUCUCUCCUGCACCGGGGUCGCGAGCUCCGUUCACGGGCUCGUCGGAUCUCGUGAUUGGGGCGCUGGCGACGUGCUCUUCUACUCCACCGCGCCCCUCCUCUACUUCAGCUCCUGUGCCCGUGCCUCUCGUGGACUCAUCGGCGCAUAGGCCGCGCUGGAUCCAUGCUGGUUCGAGGCCCCGACGGCCUCCUCUUCCUGCUAAGUCACCGAGAUCCGUCGGGGUAUCAAGUUGUUUUGUCGGCCCAAUACUCCUUCUACCUUCCCUUGCCGGCGUUCGUGCAACUUCGGUGAACACCGCUACUCGCGCGCGGAUGACGACGAUGCAGUGGCACUGCAGUUCGCUUUGCAGGGGAUCCGUUGAUGCAGCCGUGGAGUUCGGCCCACAGGUGCAUGAAGUUAUCUUCCCCCCCUCCCACAGUUUACCCUUCCACAUGAGCCCCAUGCUGUAGUCCAUUGGGAAGAAGCUCAUGGUGCGGAUGUGCGGAUGCUUAGUGACAGUGCUGAUGCGUUUCAGAUUUUGUUUUUCUACAAUUUGUAGGCGAUGCUGGAGCCUUGCAGUCCAUUGCCUCGGGGGCGAGCAGUGGAGAGGACACACGUGCGUGCAGUUCCCUGUCCAUUGAAAAUGUAGAAGCCCAUCUUGCUGUAGUGUAUGUGAGCAUAUGGCCAGCAAGUGCUGCUCUUUUCCCAGAUUGAAAACAUUGCGGUGUGGUUGGCUGGCCAUCGACGUGCACUUCGCUUUGGGGGGGGGGGGGCAGUACGUUCUUUGUGGACGUGCACUUCGUUCGGCUCGAGCGGCAUGAAGCUCCGUUUGCGCGCAUGUGUGGCUCGGCUAACUAGUUUGUGCAGUUCGCAUGAUACCUUUAUUAUGUGAUGCCUCCCUAGUUGUUGGAGUUCACUUCUUUGUAUUUAUUGAAACAUCAUGUAGUGCACUGUGAAACUCUCUGUUGUUCACUUGUAAAAACAAAUAGCGGUUCCCUUUGUAAAAAAAGUGCAGCCCCUUAGUGGUUCACCUUGUAGAAAAUGAGAAAGAAAUCCCCAUGGGAGGUUCACUUCUUUUUCUAAUGCAAUUUGUUUAGUUUGUGGGAUGAUUGAAAAAAGAAGUUCACUCCACUUGUUUAGCAGCUCAUACCCCUUUGUAUGAAAUGCAAUUUGUUUCGUGUGUCUCAAAAUCAGUCAACUACAUCAACACGUGCAGUGCGUUUGGUUUUCGGAUGUGGUUCAUUUUUUAGAGUGAUGUUGUUCACUUGUGCCGAACAUGAAAGCGCAAAAAAAUUAGCAAAACAAUAAAAAUAGUAAUGCGGUUCACUACGAUAUAUGAUGUGGUUCGCUUGCUCGCGUCUCUGCGGUCCACUCUUGUUCAUAAAAAAAUUGAAAAAAAACAUCAAAAACUCGUCCGAGAAAAAUUUACAUCCGACAAAGGAAACCAUGAAGUUCACUUGCCUGUCUAAUGCAGUGCGGUUUCGUCCGAUGCAGUGCGGUUUUCUGUCGAAUGACGUUCACUCACCGAUUUGGGUGUCGCAAAAAACAGUGUCCGCAUUUUCGUAAUUUUAAAAUUGCUCUUAAACCGUAAGGAAUUAAAGAGAGUGUUCUACAUGAAAAAGUUGCGUCUCAUCGAUAUCUUUCCAAUGCCAUAUCAUUUGAAUCAUUUUGACAAGCAGUUUGUAAAAAUUUCGCAAAAAACGACCGCUGCCACUCAUCGUCCGCCGCACCAUUUUAAAAAUUAACUUAAAAACGUAAGGAAUCUCGAAACCAUUUCUACAUAUGAAAGUUGCGCCUUGUCCAUAGCUUUCCAACGACAUAUUACACACCUCAUUUCAAUAAACGGUACAAAAACUAGAGUGAAAACAGUAUCGAAAAUUGCAAAAAUUUCAAAAAACGUAAUUUCGCGAUUUAGUAAAUUUGAAACUGCUCUUAAACCGAAAAGAAUUAGAGAAAAUAAUAGAUAUGGAAAAGAUGCGCCUCAACGAUAUCUUUCCAACGGCGUAUCAUUUGCUUUAUUCCGAUGAGAGGUUUUGAAAAAAUCAUGAAAAUACGCUCGCUGCCACUCGUCGUCCGCAUCACCGUUUUUGAAACUGCUCUUAAACCGCGAGGAUCUCGAGAAGUGUUCAACAUGGCAAAGUUGCGCCUAAUCCAUAGCUUCUCCACAGUAUAUUACACGCGUCAUUCUGAUAAACGGUUAAAAAAUUAGAGCGAAAAAACUACCGAAAAUACACAGCGUGUAGUUUUUUCGACACGAAGUUCACUCGCCUGAGUACUGCAGUACACUUGGUUCAAACAAUGACGCGUGCUUGUGUUGAGCGUGCACUUGGUUUAAUAAAUAUUCUGCUAAUAUUAGCAUUAUAGACCGACUAUAUAUACAUCUGGGCUAUUCUGUUAUGCGUAACAGGAUAUUAUUCUGUUACCCUAUGGUGAAUUCAAGCGGUUGAACUGAUGCUUUCUAUUCCUGUUAAAAAUCGUCUUCUUUAGUUCAAAAGUUUUUGCAAUUUUUUUAUCAAAACAGGGCGUGUAAUAUAUCGUUGGAAAGCUCUUGACAUCCACAUUACAAUCUUAUAAUUUGUUUUUGCAAAAAAAUUAUGAUUUACGAGCAGUUUUGAAAAAACCGUUUUUUUCAAACGGAAAACGUGAAUCAUAUUUUGGACUUAAUUUUCAAAAGGUUUGUCGGAAUUGAGCAAAUGAGACGGCAUUGGAAAGCUUGUGAAAAUCCGCAUCUUCUAUAUUUCUACUAUUUUUUCAAAUUCUAUAUGAUUUAAAAGUAAUUUAAAAAACAAUGAAAUUUUGGGCGAAAUGUUUUUUCACUGUUUUUUUGCAAAUGGUUUGUAGGAUUGACACAAAUGAUAUGGUGUUGGAAAGCUAUGAAAAAUGCGCAAAUUUUGCGUAUAGAAAGUUUUUUCUAAUUCCUUACGGUUUAAAUACGAAUUCAAAUACGGUUAAAAUUGAUUUUGAACGUGUUUUUUAAAAAGUUUGUCGAAAUGGGGAAAAUAAUAUACCGUUGGAUAGCUAUCGAAAAUGCAAAACUUAGUCCUGUUGGACGUGUUCUCUACUUCGCAACCAUUUAAGAGUAAUCUUGAAUACGGCAUGACGGAUCCUGCUGUUUUCUCGUCUGAAAAACAAAUUAGUCGUACUGAUAUAUGUGUAUGUUUGUACUGAGCUAUUUUUUGUAGAGUAAUUUUAAAUGGUUCCGAAAAAAUGUACUUAUACUGAUGCUUGCAUGGUUUUGUACUAAACGUGUUUUCACUAACUAGGCUUUGCUCUGUUUUUUUGUGAGACCCAUCAUGCUGUUUUUUCGGGAGAAAAAAUAGAGUACUUGUACUGAUCUACGUGUGUGUUUGUACUGAUGUAUUCUUCGAAGAGUAAUUUUGAAAGGUUCCGAAAAAAGAGUACUUGAACUGAUGUCCGUAUGGGGUUGUACUGAGCGUUUUUUCACAGACUAGAGUUUACUCUAUUUUUUACCGAAAAUUGUUUCAUCAAUUGUUCGCAAAUGAUAGUACGAACUAAGAUAUGUGUUGGUUUGUACAGAGCAUUUGUUUCAUCAGUUGUUUGCAAUUGAUAGUACGAAUGGAGCUUUGUUCAUUUUUAUACUGAGCAUUCUUGUCAGUGCCAGGAUCUCCGAAUUUAUGUUGUUUUGUUCUGCGAACUUCCUCAAAAUUUUAUUGGUAAAUCACACCGUUUUUUUCUUUUGCUAAAUUUUUGUCCUCUGAACUUGUGACCUAUGGAGUUUGUACUGAUAUGAAUCGUUUUGCCGAACCGCCACAAUUUUUUGUGUAUUGAAUCACUAUAUAACUUAGAACCAAAUUUUUUUUCUUAACAUAUAUUUGAAUUGUUUCUAUAUGUACAUUGAAUUGCGGAAGAGUAGCAAUAGUUAUACAUACUUUAUGGAUAGUAAUACAUGAAUUUCUUGGUAAACUGAAGAAUGUACUCUGGACCGUAAUACAUGUCCUCUCGAGUUUGUACUGAUGUGAAUCCUUUUGAACUUGCUCUCGACGGUAAUACAUGCCCUCUCGAGUUUGUACUGAUGUGAAUCCAUUCGAACUUACGUGGCUUACAUCAUUGAACGGACUCUAUUCUUCUCACUACCACCAUUGUUCUGUCCAUUUCUUUUCGGACUUGCAUGGCUUACAUCGUUGAACGGGCUUAGGUGGAUAUGUACUAAUGAACUACUGUGAUUUGUAGCUCUCAGGAAAUGGAAUCCUUUCUUUCCCUGUUAUUCUGAAUACCAAACAGCAAAAAAUCAGUUCUCAUAAGCACGAAAAAAAUUAUAUAUGUACCCCUAAAUUUUGCAACUAUUUUGUCCUCUUUCAUUUUGAAAAAAGCAUACAAAAAGCAAAAGCACAAACUAUACAAAAGGUUUUAGACACCAAACCAGUAGAGAAUUAAAAAUAGGCAUCAGGCAGCAACUUGCGAAACAUAGCACGAGUCAUAUACAUACGCAUUUCAUCCCAUUAUACUUCUCCACCCGCAUGGAAAGUGAGAGAACCUCCCUACAUGCAUAUACAGGCAUCAAACUCCCUCUGUACCUAAACUAUAUUUUUGUUUGAUAUAUAUUGUGAACUCCUCUUGUCGAUGUACAUCAACCUGCUGUGCAGAGAGAUGAAAUGUAGUACAUCAGUCUAGCUUCAUUCAGCUAGAGAGAAACAUGAAAAAAUGUUCAGUUUUUUGGACGGCUUUCCUCUUUUUCUUUGUCCAAUUCUGCGCCACGACUGCCAGCAUCCUGCAUGCAAGCUUAAAAUUAAUUGAAGCCACCAAACAUGCACUUUCAUGAGACUUUGCUACUAUAAGUCAGCAAACAUAUCUUUUAGUAUUAAACCAAAGGCACACUUAUUACCCAUCACUCUUGUUCAGUUCAGAGCAUCAUCAAUAAGAUAAAGAUACGAAAACAUUAAGCCAAUAUAGAACAACUGGAUUGAUUUGAUUCAAAUUUUUUACUUUCAAUGCAUUGUAGGCAACAGCCGAUCCAAGUCAGAACUGAUGUGAUUUAUUCCAUCGAACUGAUAUGAAAGUUUAUCUAUACUGUUCUGUUUUUAACACACACGUUUUGAACUAUUCCCGCUUUUUUCAUUAUGAAUUGAUGACAUAAGACAUGUUGAACUGUUACACAAGAGCAAAAUUCAGAAAUACAUAACAAUGGUGUACUCAAAAUAUGUGCAUUUUAAGGAACAAAACUUUCUAAACCUUCUAUACGAAAAACUUCAACUAUCAGUCCAAAGAGAUUUUAAGUUAAACAAUCAUUUCCCUUACCGAGUGUUAAGGAAAACGAAACCAGAGAUGACCUCGCCGGCAGUAGGAGUAGCGAUCGCUGCCAAGGCGAUGCGUUGGUACAUGUACUAAAUAUCUGCUCAAACCUGUUGUAACAUCUACUUCAAGCUUUUUCUAAAGCAUUGUUGGGAGUAGAGGGUUUUAAAAGAAAAUACAGAGUGCCAAAGAAAGAAAGGAACAACCUGUUUAUCUAAAUGACUAUGAUAUUUGGCACACGUGUGCCAUAUAAGCAAAACUGCCACACCUCUAUUUCUUUCAUUUUAAAGUACCAUACGAUCCCUCGUUCUUUGACCCCGCCUCUUCCCAAAUUACCCCGCAGGCUCGCCUAAGAAACCUGCUUCUCCCACACAUCUCGGGCGCUUACCCCCGAGAAAACUGCCACUUCUUCACGUCUACCACAUGAUUUCUCCUCAGGACAAAGUUACCAUGAUAUUCAUAUGAAAGUUAUCAGGCCUGUGUUGCAUAACUUACCGUACUAUUUACAUAGAAUGUAUCAGGUACUAUGCUUCAACAACUACACCCUUUCAAAGUUACCACUGUGUUUUGUACACAAGUUAUAAGGUCUUCGAUGUGUAAAAUACUGUGGUACUUACACAUAAGUUAUCAGGGUAUAUGUACAUCAACCUCCCCCCGGUCAAAGUUACCAUGGGGGAUUGUACAUGAGUUACCGGGUCUACGGUUCGUAUAUUAUCAUGGUACUUGCACCUAAAAACCUGGGUGUGUUUCGGUAGCUUUUCUCAUAGGUCAAAAAUUACCAUGAUGUUUUUGCGUAACUUAUCACGCCUAUAGCACGUGUGCCCCUCGUGACACUAAACAUUAUGUGACUUUCCCGUGGCACGCCAUGUGUUGUGUUCAUCCAAGAGGCCCACGCGCGAGGCGAGUGUAUGUUUUUAACAACUUAUAUAUUUUCCUUUGGUAAAAAAGCUAUCAUCAUGUUUAUAUUGCAAGUUAUCGGUUAUGCGGUGCUUAUAUUAUCAUGUUAUUUACACAAAAAUUAUUGGGGAUGUUUUGAACAACUUUUUCCCGAGGCAAAAAGUUAUCAUGGUGAUUCUAGGUAACCUAUCAAGCCCAUAGUGCUUAAAAUAUCAUGCUAUUUACAUAAAAUUUAUCAGGGAUAUGUUUCAGCAACAAAUUCAACCCCCCCAUGGGUCAAAAAUUUAUCAUGGUGUUUAGUUAUCGCAGUGCAUAUGUUUUCAUACUAUUUACACAUAAAAAUGCCAUGGGAGGGAGGUAUACUACCGUGCUAUUUACACAGAAGUUACCGGAGUAUCUUAAAAAAAUUCCCUACGGUCAAAGUUACCAUGGUGCUUCUACCUCAGUUAUCAGAUGUGUGCUGCGUAUAUUACCAUCUAUUUACACAUAAACUAUCAGGUAUCUUUUCACAUUUGUUUUCCCCAAUGGUUAAAGUUACCACGAUGUUUGUAUCUAAAUUACCAGGUCUAUGGCGUGAAUGUUAUUGUACUAUUUACAGAAAUUAUCGGAGGGCGGGUUCAACAAAUUUAUUCCCAAUGAUCAAAGUUACCACGAUGCUUGAAACAAAGAGUUGCUAACAUAUUAAAGGCAAAAACAUGUCAAAACAGUAUUACCCUUAGAAUGUUCAACAAUGAGUAUCAUAGGUGAGGUGGUUAGCUCCCUUUGUUAAUUACCUGCAGACCAGAGAUCAAAUCCUAGUCUAAGCAUUAUUUUUGCUGAAAAUCGAGAAGGCAUGUGGGGCCAUAAAUGACCAUUAUGAAAAUUAGGAAGGCACAAGCAGGAGGAAUUGAUGACAUUGGAUGCGUGUGGCAGUUUCGCAAUCUGGCACACGGUUGCCAUAUACAUAUUUCGUUAUCUAAAUAGUGUGUGGAAUUGUUUAUACGGAUGAACAAAACAUUACUUGAAGUAGAGGUUCUUCCAAAAUAAAGAAAGAGCAUCUUGUAGGUUCAAGUUUGAGUAGUUGAGCCAGACAAUUUAUCGUAGGCGUUGUAUGUAAUAAUAAUUUAAUUAUUUUCAUAGGAGUACGACUCAUAGUAUCGGCAUGGAGGUCGUGAACAAAAGCAGAAGUAUCCUUAAUUUUUUAUUAGUGACUGUAAUUUUCCUUAUAAAGAACAUACUACUCUCGUGUAAACCCAUCCCUCUAUAUAUGUACUGUCAAUUUUUUGCAAAUCGAACAAAUUGCGUAUGUAGCAAGUGCUAGUAUCUUGAAAUGAAGUUAUGCGUAUGCCCCUAAGAGUAGGUGAAUAGAAAAGUCGAACCAAAAAUGGCUUUCUCCUAAUAGUAAUCGUGCUAGAACUCAUUCAAAGCUGAAGUGAACUAUAAUUAUAACCAGCCUUUGUCAAUAGAAGUCCUACUGAUCACAAAUUCCUCUAAUUUCCUCCAGACUCAAGAUCAAGAUGGUGGACAGUGCACGGAUAUUACAAAAUUAACAAUUCACAAUACGAAUUAAAUAUCACAAAUUGCAAGGCACAAGUUUUGAGCACAUACAAUCUUUCAUUGGUAGGUAGCACUACAACUUUGGAGGUCAACACAUUAGGCAAACUCUUUGGAAUUAAGAUAGUGAAAAGUAAAUGUAUGCGAAAGCAAGCUUCAGUUUGGUAAACCAUCAAGCCCAGAUUGCUGCACUCCGAAUUUCCUUUAGACUCGUACACUACCUUCAGUUCAGCAAGCUUUAUGUUCAGCAAGUGUGUAACAAAACAAGAAUUGAACUGGAAUAGAAUUUGAAAUUUGAACUGAAAUACAAUACGAAAACUAAACUAAGUGUACUUUCAGAUUUUCACAUGGACAUCAGUGCAUGAAGCACCAAUGAAAUUGAACUGAAACAAACUUUAGUUCAACAAACUUAUAUGAAGUUAUAUGAAGCAUGCUUGAAUGCGUUGACCCGAAGCAUGCUUGUAGGAGAGUAGUGGCACUGGAAGGGAGCCUUUUGCUGAACUUAUAUGAAGUUAUAUGUACUUGUCUAACUUAUAUGGAACUUAUAUGAAGCCUUUUGCUGAACUUAUAUGAAGUUGACCAGACAAGAUGAUACCGGGGCGCAUCAGAAUAUAGGAGAGUGGUGAUGCAAGUCAGUCACCGGCUGGGUAAUGAAGCGGGUGGUAUGCGGCAUGGAGACAACCAGAAAAUGGGACAUCCAGGGGUAGGGAGCGUCGUCGCUGAAGAUCAGAGAGUGUGGAGCGCAGGCGUGCGGUGUCCCCCGGCCGGCACCGGAGACGAAGGAGAUCGGGGAUAGUGCACUUUUUUCGUCAGCCUGCAAGAUGCUCAAGGACCAGGACAACAUGUAGUUUCAGAAUUACAGAUUGUGGUCAGCUAUAGGAUGUUUCUGGGACCAUGUUUUAGCUACGAGAGAGCAACAACAUCACAUCAUGAGAGAGAGGAUGCAUCAUCAAAAAUUCAGGAGAAAGAUCAGAGCAGAGCAGAAGUAAAUAUGUUUUGAGGAGAUGAACUGACCAGGAUUUAAAUGAACUCUCACUAGCAGUAAUUUUUGUACUUUGCAUGUAGUACUACAUGGACUUGCUGUAAAAUACAUGGACCAUGUAGUAAUUUUGAAGUUAAUUAUAUGAUCAUCUCAGGGAGCUCAAGUUGUACUGAAAGCUCAAGUUGGACUAAAACUCACUCGAUAAUUGAAACUCCUAGGGCGAGGGGUGGGAUCCAGGGUGCUGCUAGCAAUGAACGGCCUGGGGUGGUGGCGUUGAAUGGCCUGGAGUGGUGGCUGUGAACAGCCAGGGUGCUCCGGCGGCAGAGCCCCACCGGAGAUGGUGAUGCAAGCAGGAGGUUGGGAAGCAGUGGUGCCGGUGGUCGGGGUCGUCCAAUGCACAUGGCACACCAGUACAGGAAGUUGAUUCAUCACCCAUCCACAGUUUUUUUCCUUUUUGGAAUCCAUUGAACUGAAAAAAGCUACAUGUGAGCUGAAAGUAUGAAAAUAACAUAUCUUUGAAAGAAUAAAGAACUAGCUUUAACAUAUCUAUGAAAGAAUACACCUCCGAGGAACUAGCUUUGAACAUAUCUCUGAAAGAAUAGAGAGCAUGCAAAGUUCAAGGAAAGAAUAAGCAAAAUGGCACACUAGUACGCAGUAGUACGAGUCCAGUCAUGUACGUGCUAGUAUUAGAUUUGAAUAGUAGCUAGAAUUGAAGUUCAGGUAACCAUGGCACACACAUCAUACAGUUUCAGUCAUGUAUGCACACACACUGUAAUAGUCGCUGCAAUUAAAGUUCAAAUAACCACGGCACCCAUAACAGAACAAGAAUCAGUCUAGCAGCUAGGCAAGCAAGCUUCAUCAGCAUGAAUACACAUCAGCGGCAAGCUAGAACAUGCUAGUAGGCUGUAGAAGUCUCCUUGUAUUUUUUCAAACAGAAGUGCUUUAGCUCAGUUCAGUAGUAAGGCAUGGAAAAAGAAAAGCAAUGGAAUAAACUAUAACCGAGCCAAAUAUGUAAUUUCAACAAACUAGACCUCAUUGCUUGACUUCAGUCGUAAUACACGAUCAUCAGUUCAAUAUAAACAGACUAAUGUUAAGAUCAUCGUACAUCCAUUGCCGGUUCAUCUGCGUGCAUUAUAUAUAAUUAACUAAUUAAGUGUGUCAAAAACCAUUACAGAACAGCAUGAAUACAGAAGACCAAAUUAAUAGAAGUUCAUCAUCACAUUAAAACCAAAGUACAGUAGUGAUCAAAUGUUAUUACUGAAAAAAUAAAUACAUAAAGUUCAUACAUAUAUAGUUCUCAUUGAACAACAUAUAUAUAGCUCUCUAGAGCAUCUAAUUAAACCAUACAUUGAAACAAUGUAAAACAUUUCAAUGCAACAACAAAUGCGAUCAUAAUCGCAACUAAGGUAACAAUCGAUCCAACGGCAUAAUGAUGCCAAGCCUCGGUAUGAAUGGCAUAUUUUCUAAUCUUUCUAAUCUUCAAGCGCAUUGCAUCCAUCUUGAUCUUGUGAUCAUUGACGACAUCCGCAACAUGCAACUCCAAUCCCAUCUUCUCCUCCUUAAUUCUUUUCAAUUUUUUCUUCAGGUAAUUGUUUUCUUCUUCAACUAAAUUUAACCUCUCAACAAUAGGGUCGGUUGGAAUUUCCGGUUCACAUACCUCCUUGAUAAAAACAUCUAUGUCACGUUGGUCGGCAUAAUUUUCAUACACACUAAUGAACACAAUAGUUAUAAAAUAUAAUAUAUACCACAUCCAAAUCAUAGACAGGACGAGGGCCGACGGAGGCGGAUACCAAAACCAUCACACUAUAUAAUAACAAAAAAUAAUAAAAGUAAGAAAAUUAUACAAGUAUCUAUCUAAAUCAUACAAGUAAGAACUUUUUUCUUUUAGAAGAUAAGAACAAGAGGCUCACCACGGUGGUGCCGGCGACGAGAUCGGCGCGGGCGAUCAACGGCGGUGAGGACGGGGACGGGACAGGAUGGACCACCAAACCUAGACAAAUCUUAAGGAAAAUGGAGUUUGGACAAGGAGCUUCGAGAGGAGAAAGCUUAAGUAUGUCUCGGGCAUUUCACCGAACACCUCAUGUGCAUAGGAGGUGAGCUAGAGCACCACAAAGCUCUCCCACGGCCGGCCAAAAAACAGAGCAAUGCACUGCUCUGCUCGCGGGCAGGGGGAUAUAUAGGCCUCUCUUUAGUCCCGAUUUGUGGCUAGAGCCGGGACUAAAGGACCCCAUUUGGUCCUGGUUCCAACCACCAACCGGGAUUAAAGGUUGUGGGCCAGGAGCGAGGCCCAUUGGUCCUGGUUCGUGUCUGGAAGCGGGACCAAAGGGGUCAGACGAAUCGGGACCAAUGGCCCCCGAGGCCCGGCCGGUGCCCUGGCUUUACAAACCGGGAUUGAUGCACCCAUUAGUCCCGGUUCAUAGGGAAACCGGGAUUAAUGCCCUUUUCAGACCUGGACCAAAGCCCUAUUUUCUACUAGUGUUGUAGGCCUCGCUCACAUGAAGUAAGAACGGUCGGUGACGAUGCCUCAUAAAGUCCAUGGGGUGCAAUCAUAGUUGGUGGUGCAGGGGAGGAAGUAACCUUCUUUGAUGGGGAUUCCAUCACACGCUUGUUUGUCAUGUAGACGCGUCCUCUUAAUUUCUAUUCAGCUUUACAGGCAAGACGAAACAAAUGAUCGAUAGAAUAUAGUCUUCAUGCAUUAUUAUGUCUUGUAUAUCAUGGUUUAAACCUUUCCAAAAUCGAUUCAGAAAAUCUUCUUCGCAUUCUUCUAAGCCAGAACGAAACAAAGCAAUACACAAAUUGUCAUAAUAUUCUUCAACAGUGAUAUUGUCUUGUGCUAAACAUUGUAAUUUUCUAAGAAAAUCACUGGCAUGAUAUGAAGAACAAAUCGGUCUCGCAUAACAAGUUUUAAAUCUUUCCAAGUAGAAGACCUAUUAUCAAUAUUUUUCCUGCAAUAAUUUCUCCACCAAACUGAAGCAAAACCUAAAAACACUUUAGUGACAAUAUUUAUUUUCUUAUGCUUGGGAAGUUCAUGGCUAGCAAAUAUUUCUUCUACCUCAAUUUCCCAAUCAAUAUAUGAAUCAGGGUCAUAUUUACCCUUAAAAUUUGGCAAAGAGGUAACAUGAUGAUGUGUGUCUCUACCAUGAUGUAUAUCAUGUGACGAUCGUCGUACCUUUUGUGGUGGGAAAGAGUGAUCUUUAUCAAUAUAUGGCAAGUCAUCUCCCACAAUAGACGCACCCCAACUGUCAACCGCUCUAAAAUCUGCCAUGGUUAGUACCACACAAAAAACAAAAAUAAUAAGUAUAAUGUUUCUAUAGUACUAUUUGGUGGUGGCAGAAAAAUUAUCUCAAAACUCUAGCAAUUACCAAGCUCUUACCAGAUCUUACCGUGCUGCAGUGGUUGUCGGCCUUUGGCGCCUUCAAAAGUUAUCAAAGUUGGAUAUAGUGAUUGCCUAAUCACCGAACAAGGUACAAUAUAGAAAGUGGAGCUUGGUGAAGGUUUUCUCAACUCACAAUAUCGGUGGCACAAUUUUCCUGAAAGUAAUGCAAGAUAAUAAUUGCUCAAACUCCUAACUAGUGUUGGUAGUCGACUAGUAAGAGCUAAAAUAAUCUAAGCCCAGAUAUUGAAUCAAGUGAGAGGGAACUGACGAAAAUAUAAUAGCUCCAAGUAGCUAGAUAUAAGUGAGGUAUGAACGUAGUGUAUGGCAACCAAGAGCAGAGAAAAAAAUCCAACACUUAUCACUUAUAUGAACAGAGCAGGCUGAACAGCAAAAGAGAUUGUUCAAAAGAUGCUAGCUGGCCAAAACUUUGCAUAAACUUUUUUUUAUUCUUUUUUCUGAAUUUUCCUUUUUUCAACUUUCAGGUCGGCCGCUAGUAGAAGUCACGGACACAAAUAUCUGACCAAACAGGUAUGAAGGGGUGGCCGGGGCACGUCCGGUGUAGCCCAUCGGCGCUGUCCAGCGGUAAAAGAUCUCAUGCCAUUGCUGAAAUUCACGUCCCCCACCCAGGGCAUUUUGGUCAUUUUGCAUCUGUGCCCUUUUCCGAUUCGCUGCCUCCUCCCCCAAUGAUUUCCUCCCUCAUUUUUCUCUCCCUCACAUCUCUCUCUCUCGAGAGAGAGCCGUUGCCGCCAGUCAUCCUCCCCGUCCGCCGCCGCCGCCGCCAACCAUCCGCAGCCGCGCCACCAUCCCCUCCCCGUUCCUCUCCCGUAGCUGAGCCAGCCAUGGCCGGGAAGAAGUGCAAGUCCUCUUCCUUCCUCCCUCACCCCUGAUCUGAAUCCUCUCCUGGAACCCCAGCCAGCCGCACGCAUCCCAUAUGGCACUGCCCAGCUCGCAGCCCUCGGCCGUCGAGCCAUCGCGAGGCUCCUCGCGCAAGCACACAACCUCCUCAAAGGCUGCGCUCGAGGCCGACCUGGAGUUCACCGUCACCAAGGAAAGGUAAGGGGAGGGGAGGGGAUGGAAGGGAUUGAGCGACCAGGUGAGGCAGUGCCCAGAUCCACAGGGCCAUCGACACUUCGUCAUCGACCUCAUCCGCGACCGUCCUCGAGGUCGGCCAUGGUGGUCCGGCCCGGCAACAACCAUGGAAGGAGACGCCCGAAUCCCUGGCCCUCCAAGUACGCGCCUACUGCAGGCCAUCUCCGGCGAGCUCAUCCACAGAUCUCCAACUAUGGUGCGUGCGCAUGAUACCUCAACCCCUUGUCUUGUCGGUUUCUUCAUCUCCCCUCCUUGUAAUUCCUUGGUUUGUUUUGUGCGCAGUUGCUCCGAUCUGGAAGAGGUGGUGGAGCUUUUGUUGUUGCUGCUGCAGGUGAACGAGGCACCACCCCCUCUUUCUACUUCUGGACACAACCUGGUGGUGAUUGCUCAUUUCAGUGUUAAAAAAUUCAGUUCAAUUCAGUCAUGUUCUUUUUCUUUUGUGGGGAAAUUCAGUCACAUUGAAUGUUCAACUUUUAGAGUUAACAAACUGUUGUUAUGACCACUGUGGUUUAGAUGUUCAGAAAUUCAGACAAGUGGUAUGAUGAAAUGAGCCACCUUUUAACCCCCUACUAAACCUACCGUGAACGUGUAGAGAGCCAAUGCAGGGAGGUGUGGACAUUUUACCAUGUUCAUAGGAAGAAAUCAACAUAAAAUACACAGCUUGUAGAUGAUUCGUCAACCACCAUCAAACACGACUUGUAACUUUCUGGACUAAACUGAACAGUGCAAUUGACUCAAAAUAAAACGGAACCGUGCAAUUGACUCAAAAAUAAAUAGUAAAUAUACUUUGGUUGUGUCUGCAGAAUUGCAUUAUGGAAAGAUGUGUGUGAGGUUACCCCAUCGCCACUGGUUCCAACUUUGUCCAUCAUGUCGCUCUGAUGAGAAGACCUCGUCCAUGUUUCAUUAAUAGGGCAGAGUGCUGCUGAAGUAUCUAUGUUGAACAAUUAUAACAGUACCAAGUAAGUUUGCUCCAAUUGCAUUUGAUGCAGAAGGCACAACACCGCCAUCAUGCGUCAGGUUCAGUAGAAGGCACGACACCGCCACGCUCUCCUCCACUACAAUGCCACGCACCCGGUAAUUAAACAUGCUUUCUCUUCAUUNNNNNNNNNNNNNNNNNNNNNNNNNNNNNNNNNNNNNNNNNNNNNNNNNNNNNNNNNNNNNNNNNNNNNNNNNNNNNNNNNNNNNNNNNNNNNNNNNNNNNNNNNNNNNNNNNNNNNNNNNNNNNNNNNNNNNNNNNNNNNNNNNNNNNNNNNNNNNNNNNNNNNNNNNNNNNNNNNNNNNNNNNNNNNNNNNNNNNNNNNNNNNNNNNNNNNNNNNNNNNNNNNNNNNNCCCAGGCGCCUUUUCUUCUGCCGGCGAGCUAAAAAUGGGAAAAAAUAGGCCCAGCCAUGCCCCCCAAGACCUCAAAAAGGUGCCAGAGAACCCAGGCCACACCCAACGCGCUGGGGGGCUGCUGGGGGCGCUGGCGGAAGCAACAGCCAAUCAUAUUCCUCCAUGUAUCAUUUUUUUCUGGUCCACUCAUUCACUUUUUGCCUGGCGACUGUCCUGGGGGAACCAACGGCUGGGAAACCGUCCUCGCGUUUCAUUCGGCGAAGGUGUAUUGCCCCCCAGGACGUGCUAUAUUUGGCCCGGCGAUUGUCCUGGGGGGCUCCAACGGCUGGAGAUGCUCUAAUUCAUUGUAUUUGCAUGUUUCCAGCAGCCAUGUAUCAAAAAAGCUUCAGCUUUGGGUUGUUGAUUUAGCAGCAUCAAUCAUUAAUUGUUCUGCUAUAUAUGUUCUUAACCAUGACAACCUGAUUAGGCUCUUAGUUUAUUAUGGUCUUUGUUCUGGGUGGAUCUCUGACUAUUCUGGGUGGGCAUGAAUCUCUUCUUUGUUUCUUCAUCUCCUCUUAUUCUGAUUCCUGCGUUUGUUUUAUGUGAAGGUUGCUCCGAUGAGGACAAGCUGCUUCUGCAGGUGGACGGGCCCUCAAGGCUGCUCUGCCUAUUCCUCAUGCUACCCCCACACGUGGUGAGCCCCACCCGUUCUCGAGCUACCCCUGCAAAUCUGAUGUGAUGUGCACAAAAUACUUGCAAUUGUUCUCGACACAAGAGCAUGUCAUGUAUUGUUCUAUUUGAAUGUGCAAUUUCAUUGCUUCUGUGCUGUUUGAUUCUUGCUUCACAAGAGGGCAAUCAUGGAUAUAAACUGCGCUUCCUUUCAAGUUGAAUAGUAAUGAUCACCAUUUGGUUCCAUUUUCUCCUCUGCAUCCAGUGUUCACUCUCUCAUAGAUGUCCAUAUAUACACAGUUCUGAUCUCCUUUUUUCUGUGGCUCCAUACAGCGAACACAAAGCCGUCGAUGCAUUGAGGGCUCAAUGUCGUCUCCGUCGGCUGAGCGGCAAGCCGGGGUUGGGCCUGCACACCGUCUAUUAGCACCCUCCCGCGUCUCCAUUCACGGAUCUGCAGGUCAACCCCUCUCCUCCUCCUAUCCAUGCAUCUUCUUUUCCAGAGCUAGGUGUAUGGUUGCAUGGCAAUUUGUGUUUUGGGGCUCACCAUGUUCUGCUUGCCUUGGUUGGCCAAUGAGGCUUUCCUUUUCUGGUAAAGGCCAAAUGUACUAUUCUCUAUGCUUUAUAUUUUUGUAGUUCCUUUGUUUCCAUGCUUGUUUUUUGAUGGGGUGUAAAUAUAUGCUUUUUUGUUCCUUGUCUGGAUUCAGGUAGGGCCUAACAUUAUUGUUCCUUUGUGCAUGGAAAUGUUGGUGGUUUUGUUCCUUUGUCUAUGGAAGGGGGCCUUGAUUAGAAUUUCUAACGUUUGAGUUGUAAUUAGUGUUUUUGUUACACAUGAAAACAUAUGGUUGUUUGUCCAAUCACAUAUGAAAAAGAGAGGAUUGUUUGUCCAAUAAUUUUCUUUCUCUGUGAUAGUUUUACUAGAAAUAAAGCAUAGUCACUAUUACAUCCUAUUUUAUAUCUUGUUGUGUCGUGAUAUCUGUAUAGGCUCUGUCUACGUCCUUUUGACAUUCCAAGUUUUGUUUUUCUAUGGCUCAAUUAGUUACCCCGUAUCAAGAGAAAUUUAACUGGUAUUUGCGGCAGAGUUAGCUGAAUUCAUGAAGCAAUGAUUUAGUUAUUAUUAAAGCUGAAACACAACAUGUUUUGACAAAUGCGUUCUAAGUAAAGCCUCCAACUAACAUAACCAAAAACAUAUUCUUUAGGUUUAUCAUCUAUUGAAGUAUUAUGUAGAAUUUAAAAUCAUACGAGGCAAAGCAAAUGAGCUCUAUGCACUUUCCAUGUAGCACAGAACAAAAAUAAUCAUGUAUAUUUUGGAUGCACCUAGAUAUACUCAUCAGCAAGGCUGAGGUUAUAGGGCACUCACCCACAUUGUCGAUAUCUCCGUCACUAUGAUCACCCACAUGAUGGACAAUUCCCUUCUUUCUUUUCUCUGUGGAUAUUGACACUUAAUGCUAUUACUGUGUGCAUAUAUGUACUGUGAUCCAUUCUCAUUCUUCAUAUCUUGAGAAACUAUCUCAAGAUACUCGCGUUUGUGUUUUGGAGAAAUCCUAUUCUAUGAUUAAUAUAUCGAGUAUGGAUGGCGCGAUAUCACCUCUCUUUAUGAUGAUGUUCUUACAGAAUAUAGGUUUUAUGGUAACAAGUCUUAGCCAACACCUAUACUGAUGCUCAGACCAGAUGAUUAUAGUCUCUCCUUGCUAUUUUUCUUGAGGUGUGUACAUCUAUCUAGACAAUUCAAUUAAAAUAUAUAUUCCAUACAAACCAUCAAUACAUGUUAGUUGACUUUGAAACUAAUCAGUAAAAGGUUGUCCCUUUCGCAUUUUAUGGACAUAAAGAUUUGGUGUUGAUUGUCGAUCUUUAGUUAACACAUGACCUUACAACCGUAGGGAGUGGGGAAAAACUUAUAUGUUUGGCACAUUUGAAGAACAUAUCAUAGUAACAAAGUUUUGGUAAACAAUGUCCUAGAUCUCAACCAUAUAGAAAUACUAAAUAUAUGUUUAUUUGUAUAUGGAUUAAUUAUACAGACUUAUAAAACCUUGUGCACGGCACAUAAAAGAAAUUUGAAAUAACUAUUAUUUCAAUAUUUGCUUUUUCAGUUGAGCAUAAUAGUUUAUAGCCUGAUAGGCUUGGACAUAAUUGUCUACAUGUACUGCUCAGUAGGCGACAUCCUUUGGGAAAUUGAGGAUGUCCUCGUGCAUUUUCUAAAUACAAUUGUGGCAGCUCUGAGGAAGGAGGGGAGGAAUAAUCUCGCGGGAGAGUUCGGUGCAGAGGAAGAAGAACAAGAUAUUAUUUAUUUCUUGUGAACAGUCAAGCUUGUGCAUUGUCCCACUGUAAGUUAUUUCAACAAUACUAGUAACUGUUAUCUCUGGCCAUCUGUCGCGACAUUUUCUUUAACCACCAAUGCAUAUUUAUUUUCUUGUUAAUAACUCUCAUAAUUGCCUGCUACUGUUUCAGUUCUGGGGCCAGGCAACCUUGAAUCCAACGUCCACCUGCAGGCUACAUCUCAGGUAGGAUAAAAAGAUUGCAGUGAACUUGAUGGGUAUAUCAUUAUUGUUGCCUCCUAAUUUGUGUGAUGAGAAAAUGUGUAGAUUGUGUGUAAAUCCGAGAUGCCUAAAACAGUUGGGAAGUGAACUUGUUACCUCGGUUCAGUUUAAUGGCAUGUUAAACUCGAUGCACUUUCUGGACUGUGACAUUUUUCCUGAAAUUUUGGAAGUGACUGCUAAUGUAGUCUAAAUAGAGUGACUGAGUAGUUACUUCCUCACAAGAGUUGACUUCCCGUUAUUACUUGCUAAGAUGGAUUGGUGGUUUUUAUGUUAGAUGAAAAAUAUUACAUCAAUCUUUACGGCUUUUUAUGGGCAAGUGAUUCCGAGUCCAUAAUAAGGAAUAAUAUAGCCCCAGUGCUGUGAUAAUGUUAAAACAUUUACCUCUUUUAUCGGUUCAAGUAAUGUAUUUGCUGCGAAAAAAUGGUCUUAUAUCAAAUAAUAGCCUAGAGCUUUUGGAGUGUUAUUACUUGUAUUUGUUGCUUGGAUGUAUAAACCUUCAGCAGACUGUCAGUUUUGCUUUUAUAUAAUCUGUUUGUUUAAGUCUGCUGCAUAUUGGUCAAAAGCUCAUGCUAAUUGAUGAUGUUAGGUGAUGAUCUUGUAUCUAACAGUGAUUUCUGAAUGCAUGCUAAAGAAAACUCAUGAACAUCAUGGCGCCUUGUUGAUGGGGUGAUCAAUAGCUACAAUAUUGGGACCCUGCACUUAAAUUGUAGGUCUGAUUUUGUUUUGGAGUUCUCCUGCUACCCACAAGCUCAGAUAGUUCUUUUGUUUGUGCAGGGGAAAUUGCAAAGCAUAUUAUGAAUUGUUACAAGAAACUAUUUCCGCUGUUUUGGUGCAAGGAUGUUGCUUUUUAGUAUGCUUCCCGUAUCUUGGUAUCUUGGAAUAAUAAACAGAUAGAUGUCGUGUACCAAGAUUGUUCCUUGUUGUUAAGAGGGAUACAAAUAUUAUACAAGAAUUUUUCUGAUGACUCCUAAAGCAUAUUUGGAUAUACAGCAAAGUAUAUUGUCGCUUCCCUGUUAGUAAAACAAUUAUGUUAGAAAUUUGGUUGGCAGCCCCUACAUUUGGCUGAUUGCUAGCUGACUGGAUUACUCAUGUUUGCCGACUCUGGUAACUUACGCCUACCAAGAACUACAUGAAUUUUGUGUCUUGCUGCAGUGAACAUUACCAAACUAAUUCUAAAGGUGUUAUAAUCAUGUUUUCUUUUGCAUUAUCAACUUUUAACUUUUGUCAUUUGUUAACACAUUCCUUUUGCAUUAUCAACUUUUAACUAUUGUCAUUUGUUAACACGAUUAUUUAGCAUGUUCACUAUGCAAGUACUCCCUCCGUCCGAAAAUACUUGUCAUCAAAAUAGAUAAAAAGAAAUGUAUCUAGAACUAAUAUACAUCUAAAUACAUCCCCUUUUAUUCAUUUUGGUGACAAGUAUUUCCAGACGGAGGGAGUAGUAAUAAUAGGAGCUAUUUAUUUGCCAGAUAACUAACACUAUUCAUAAGGCAUAAGGGUUAGAAAAAGAACUGUAUUCUUGCUGUGUUGAUUUUCGUAUGGCACACUAUGGAUUCUUUGUGUAACACAUAAUGUCGAUCAACAUGUGUUUACAACGCAGGGAGGAGCCGCGCGACAAGGCAGUCAGACCAAACUCUCUAUCCAUAUAUAUAGGUAGUCUGAUGUUAUGCCAUAGCCGAACCAUAUAUGUUUCGUGUACUGCUCUAUCAAUCUGGUCUUUUGGUAUAUUAGACUCUAUCCUUUGUAAUGAACUUAUUGUCAUGGGCGAUCGUUAUGACUGGAUCGUAUGGUAUGGAUCGGGUCUUUAUGCUUUGUGAUGAAAUAUCAUAUUAUCCUGUUCACCAGUUUGGUUUGGUUUUGAGCUAAAACGUAUAAAAAUACAUGGCUUACAACAAUGGAUAUAUGUGAUGAUAUAUUGAGUGAUUAAGCAUAAUUUUAGACUUUCGGUGCUGGACCAAUGGGAUGCAUGGGGUAAUUGAAUGUUUCUUCUUCACUUUAUUAUUAUCGGUUGGGAUCAGCACUCUCGCGCGAUCUAGUUAUGACGAUGCUGCCUAUACAAAGCAAACCUACGUGGCUAUAAAGUGGAGCACCAUGGCGAACAAGAAACUGGCGCUUGAGGACAGACACGAGUGGAACUGAUGUUUGAUGCAACACGGCGCUGCUGUACGCGUCAGGGCGGACAACAACGACGUGUAACAGAUGGGAUGUCGGAUUGCACGCAAAACAAAGGAAUCCAAUGCAAUUUUGAUAGUUUUUUUUUUCAGAUUAUGGACGAGCUUGCGGCGGAAACUAUGGUGGAGAAAAAAAAGUUCGAUCUAGUAGACAAAAUUUUCUCGUACAAAUCUAAACCAGCACUAUUUGUAGGAUGAUGCAACCAAAAAUUCAACUACGCAAGUACUAGAUGCAAAAAUUGCUAAAGGCUAAAAAGAUAGGUGCAAAGGAUGAACUAAUCUUUCUUUCUUUUUUGGCUUUUUUUGGGUUAUAGGACAUGAAAAAUAAACUAAUCUAACAAAACUGUAAAUCUCUCACCGAUGAAACUAAAAACUGAUACCACUUAUGUGACGGCGGUCUGAUGUUUCGAUGAGAGUGAGGAUAACUAUCAAUUUGGUGGAUUCUGAUCUUGACGAUCCGGCUAUACAAUACCCGACGAUAUGCCUCGACAAUCGCUAAACCAAUCUCCAAUGGUUAUUGACCUUGCCGUAGGCACGGUCAACCUGAACGACGAGGUUUAAGGUCCUGCAAGCAACUAAAGAACCGGCAAGAACAAAGGUGAAUUGCAAUCUGAAAUUACGAAUGAAAAAUUAAGCACAUGAACUAGAUCAAAAGUUGGGGUUUCACUUUGGAUCUGACAAGGCGGUAGUCCUACACGUUUCAUAGAUGCGAAAUUGUAGCAUGGCUAAACAAUACAAUAAAACCCGCGUAAACCCUAAAAUAUGAUGACUAUUUAUUAAAGGCCGGCGUGGAGAACGCUUCGUCUAUUUUCUUGGAAGUCAAGACGGGCCUGCUAAUUGGCCGGACCCACACGCGAUCUGAUUUGAAAAUAAACUUCUCAUAUCAAUCUGGUGGCAAACUGCCUCAUCGGUACUGUAGGCCCAGAUGCGCAACACACAAGGCCAUGCAUGGGCGCAAAACCUAUACGGUGCCCUCAGCGGCCGAUACCAUGUUAACGGUACAGGGCGCAGAACGUCGUGAGACAGUUCGGUCCAUAUCCGGUGUGGGCGUUAGAGCAUUAAGAGGACCUUUCCCUAGUACGAGAGAACUGGGAAGGACGCACUUCUGGUGUAUCAGUACACCCCCUUGUCACGAUGGGCCGGCCCACAUUCUUUUUUUUCUAUAUUAAAGACGUCAAAAAAACUGAAUGUAAGCACUAUGAUUCAAACCGGCAAUCGACCGGUUCAACACACACCACCUAACCAAUAGGCCACCUGCUGUUGACGUGGUUAGUUAUAGCUUUUCCUUCUUUUCUUCUUUGUACCUUCUUUUUUGUUUUUUUGUUGGAACGGUUUUGUUAGUUUUUAUUAUUUUCCAUAUUAAUUUUUUUCAAUAAUACAACAUUUUUCGUUUCAAUUUCGUGAACUUUUUUAAAAUUCGAUAUUUUUUUCCAAAAUUCAAUGAACUUAUUUUCAAAUUCGAUGAACUUUUUACAAAUUGGAUGAACUUUUUUCAAAUUUGAUGAACCUUUUUUCAAACUCGAUAUUUGUUUUCAAAUUUGCCAACUUUUUUGAAAAUUCUUGUACAAUUAUGAAUUCAUGAAUUUUUUGAUUUUUUUUUAAUUUUGCAAAUUUUCCCUUGUUAGUUUUUUUGAACAGCAGUGGUUUUUUCGACAAGUGCUUGCAAGAGAAAAAAGGCUAGCAAAGGAGCGAGCAGCGACCGAUUGAGCCAGCAGCAGCGGUCGAGCGAGCAGUCGAGCGAUUAGCGAUCGAGCGAGCCAGCAGCGGCGGCCGAGCGAGCAGUUGAGCGAUUAGCGAUCGAGCGAACAAAUGCAUGUUGAUUCGAUAAUGCUCAAGUGUAAAUCUUCUGUAUUAAACUUCGCAUCUUCACCCGAGGUUUGUGCAUAUAAAAUAUUGUGUUGUAUUUUUGUUUCGGAUAACAAAAUAAUAAUUCACAUAAUUUCUAUUAGAAUUCACCUCAUAAUUAUCUUUACGCGCAAUAAUUGUGGUUAUAUCCGUACGGGUCAUGUUUAUAUCAGGUCGUUAAUCUUCUUCUUCUUGUCCGCAAGCCACUUCUUCACAUGCUCAUCCAAGAGGGUUUCGUCUGCCAAUAUGAUCAUCGCAUCCACCACGUCCUGUGAGAGUUGCAACCCCUCCUUCUCAAGCUCUAUGUAGCCAAAUGUCUUGGCCUUGUCGAGUUCCCAUUUGAUCACCACCCCUUGGUGGUCCACCAUGUCCGAACCUCCUUGCGCCGCCGCCUCCCUCUCUCGCUGCAGGCGUUGCCGCAACUUCCGGGCGGCGUCCUCCGCCUUGCAAGUCGGAGCCGAUGAAGGGACGCCGACGGACAAGGCGGACUGCGUCUUCGUCACGGUGGUGGAUCGGGACCGGUGGUGAGGAUUGGGAGCAAGGGUGGAGGACGGCGAGGGUUCGGGCGCGGGAAAAGUUGGAGGGCGGCGGGAGGAGGAGAAAGGGUUUGGUGCAUUUGGCGCAAUUUUCGAUGGGGUCGGGCUGGCGGGUCCGACGUGGCGGGCGCGCCCGGGCGCCCCAUAUUUGGGCUACAUAUGAGGGGUGCUGGUUAGCCCAGGCGUUCGAGGCCCGUUUAAGGAGCCCGUCUGGAUCGAAAAAUCGUGACCGGGUGGCCCACCCGGGUGUAUGAGCCAUGCUUGAGGUGCCCGACUGUAGAUGCUCUAAUCAUGUAGAUCCGGCGCUCAAAGGCUCCACCCUCCCCCACGGCUUGGGUUCGGGCGCCUCCCCAAAACUUCGUCGGGAUCCGCCACAACCGGCACGGCGAGGCCAGAGGUGGCCGGAUCCGGCACAGGUUGGUCUCUCCCCUCCUUCUUCGCCCACCCUCUCCUCCUUACCUCACGCCACUUGUCUUCCCUUUUUUGCAGGUCGCCAUGGCGCGAACGGCGAUGACGGCAGGAGGGGCACACACAUCCGUGGAAUGGGACGCCGCCAUGGAGAUGGAGAUCCUUCUUCACACCACGCAGAGGCCCCAUACUUUGCUCUACAUGUGCAACUUUUGUGGGCUGCGCGGUGUGUCACUUUGUGUGAGAAACAACCUGACAUGAUUUAGUACAUUCUCCCGCCCUAUUAACAAGAGUGCUUAGUUAAUAGUUUGCAAGACAAUUGUUCCUUUAACCAUUUGUUAGUUGUAGCCAACAAAUAAUGACUUACCAGAAAAAUAAGAUUACGCAAGAUUAUAAUUCGCUACUCAGGAUUUGAAAUCCUUUAUAAUUUCAACCACGCCCACUUUAGGCAUUAAUGAUGUUAGAGAAGAAUGAGUAUCACAUAUUAGGUACCACAACAGAAAUGAGUAUCACAUAUUAGGUACCACAAGAGAAAUGAGUAUCACAUAUUAGGUAUCUCAUGAGGUACAUUUUUUUAAUCUAAAUUUGUUUAAGUAUUGAAAUAGUGCAAAUCUACUACAAUGUUAAGAUGUCAGCAUAUCAGAACUUCGCAAUCAAGAAAAGAAAUCAUGUUAUGGGAGCAUCUGCUUCUCGCAUUAGUUUUUCUGUUGUUAAUUUCUGUAAUUUUCCAAUACUUCGCUACUAAGGGUUUUCGGAGCAUGAAUAUUGCAAUGAUAUUCCUUUCAGGUGUAGGAAGGUAGUUGCGAUGUGCAGAAUACGUGGUGGGUGAGAUUGAUCAAUCGUGCAUGUGUUAACUUAUAAAAAACAUAACUUAGAGAGCUAAAUUUUGGUCGAAAACAGGAUUCUGACGGGGGUUUUAGAGACAUUUCGUUCGUGGUACUUCAUUCUGCUUUUAGGUCGACGAAAGCGUGCACCUAACUUUUAGUAUAUUCUAAUAAUUUUGGACCUAAUAAUCAUAACAAAUGUGCAGUAGCAUGAUAAUGAUUUGACUUAUCCAAGUCCUUCAAGUUGAAGAGAAGUAUAUACAUUCCUCAUAUGUAAUAACCAAUCAUGAUUCCAUUUUUCCUUCUUAGGUAAUAUAUGUCUAACUAGGUUAUUACAUAUGUUCCCUAAAUUUUACUCCUUUCAUAAUAAUCAAUCUAACUAGGUUCUAAUUCCCAUGACCUCUAAAUGUGAUGCACAUUUUUCUCUACUGGGUAUGUGGUUCCUUCUAAGCGUUUCUUCAAAAUCCAUAUUAUAAUUCCAAUUGUAUCGACUCAUAGUGUCAAUCAUAUUUCUAUAUAUGGCGUAUAAUGAUUAGUUGGGACAUAUUGAAGAUUCCAGUCCAAGUUCUAAUAUAUUUCAAACUCAUAACAUAGUAUAGUAUAGAGUAUUGUACAUUCGUGUUUCGAAAAUCACUAGACCGUGCGGGCGCACGGGUUGAUGACUAGUUCAUUUAACUAGGCAAGUAGUUGCACUGCAUUUCGUUCGUGCGGCUAAUUAACCUUCUGAUCUUUAGCAUAUGGGAUCAAUUGGACAAAUAUCUCCUUAACUCCCGACUCUUGGUGUCGAUGUGCAUGUCACACAUGUGAUGCAUGAAACAUGCUCACCACACUUCACUCGCUCACAAGUACUGUCAAGCUUCUAUGUAUCAUAGGACGAGAUAGGACAGCAUGGGGCUGUCCACACGAGGCACAUGCACAGUCUACGGCUUAGGGUUGGUGGAUCCGCGCCAAACUAGUUGCCGGCAUUAAGGGUAGAUAUCGUGUGCUCUCCUUCCAUCUCUACGCACGCAUGAGGACCUAUAGCAUGCAUGCAAUGCAAUGCAAUAUACUCCCUCCGUUCCUAAAUAUAAGUUUUUUUUAGAGAUUUCACUAUAGACUACAUACGGAUGCAUAUAUACAUAUUUUAGAGUGUAGAUUCACUCAUUUUGCUUCGCAUGUAGUCUCUUAUUGCAAUCUCUAAAAAGACUUACAUUUCGAAACGUAAAAUAAGACUUACACAGGGAAAAGAAGGAAUAAAUACUCCCUCCGUUCCGAAAUGUAAGUCUUUUUAGAGAUUGCAAUAAGAGACUAUAUACGAAGCAAAAUGAGUGAAUCUACACUCUAAAAUAUGUAUAUAUGCAUCCGUAUGUAGUCUAUAGUGAAAUCUCUAAAAAAAAAUUAUAUUUAGGAACGGAGGGAGUAUAUUGCAUUGCAUUGCAUGCAUGCUAUAGGCCCUCAUGCGUACGUAGAGAUGGAAGGAGAGCACACGAUAUCUACCCUUAAUGCCGGCAACUAGUUUGGCGCGGAUCCACCAACCCUAAGCCAUAGACUGUGCAUGUGCCUCGUGUGGACAGCCCCAUGCUGUCCUAUCUCGUCCUAUGAUACAUAGAAGCUUGACAAUACUUGUGAGCGAGUGAAGUGCGGUGAGCAUGUUUCAUGCAUCACAUGUGUGACAUGCACAUCGACACCAAGAGUCGGGAGUUAAGGAGAUAUUUGUCCAAUUUAUGCCAUAUGCUAAAGAUGAGAAGGUUAAUUAGCCGCACGAACGAAAUGCAGUGUAACUACUUGCCUAGUUAAAUGAACUAGUCAUCAACCCGUGCGCCCGCACGGUCUAGUGAUUUUCGAAACAUGAAUGUACAAUACUCUAUACUAUACUAUGAGUUCGAAAUAUAUUAGAACUUGGACUGGAAUCUUCAAUAUGUCCCAACUAAUCAUUAUACGCCAUAUAUAGAAAUAUGAUUGACACUAUGAGACGAUACAAUUGGAAUUAUAAUAUGGAUUUUGAAGAAACGCUUAGAAGGAACCACAUACCCAGUAGAGAAAAAUGAGCAUCACAUUUAGAGGUCAUGGGAAUUAGAACCUAGUUAGAUUGAUUAUUAUGGAAGGAAUAAAAUUUAGGGAAUAUAUGUAAUAACCUAGUUAGACAUAUAUUACCUAAGAAGGAAAAAUGGAAUCAUGAUUGGUUAUUACAUAUGAGGAAUGUAUAUACUUCUCUUCAACUUGAAGGACUUGGAUAAGUCAAAUCAUUAUCAUGCUACUGCACAUUUGUUAUGAUUAUUAGGUCCAAAAUUAUUAGAAUAUACUAAAAGUUAGGUGCACGCUUUCAUCGACCUAAAAGCAGAAUGAAGUACCACGAACGAAAUGUCUCUAAAACCCCCGUCGGAAUCCUGUUUUCGACCAAAAUUUAGCCCUCUAAGUUAUGUUUUUUAUAAGUUAACACAUGCAUGAUUGAUCAAUCUCACCCACCACGUAUUCUGCACAUCGCAACUACCUUCCUACACCUGAAAGGAAUAUCAUUGCAAUAUUCAUGCUCCUAAAACCCUUAGUAGCAAAGUAUUGGAAAAUUACAAAAAUUAACAACAGAAAAACUAAUGCGAGAAACAGAUGCUCCCAUAACAUGAUUUCUUUUCUUGAUUGCGAAGUUCUGAUAUGCUGACAUCUUCACAUUGUAGUAGAUUUGCACUAUUUCAAUACUUAAACAAAUUUAGAUUAAAAAAAAUGUACCUCAUGAGAUACCUAAUAUGUGAUACUCAUUUCUGUUGUGGUACCUAAUAUGUGAUACUCAUUCUUCUCUAACAUCAUUAAUGCCUAAAGUGGGCGUGGUUGAAAUUAUAAAGGAGUUCAAAUCCUGAGUAGUGAAUUAUAAUCUUGUGUAAUCUUAUUUUUCUGGUAAGUCAUUAUUUGUUGGCUACAACUAACAAAUUAUUAAAGAAACAAUUGUCUUGCAAACUAUUAACUAAGCACUCUUGUUAAUAGGGCGGGAGAAUGUACUAAAUCAUGUCAGGUUGUUUCUCACACAAAGUGACACAGCGUGCAGCCCACAAAAGUUGCACAUGUAGAGCAAAGUAUGGCUAAAACGAAAAGGAGCAGAUACUUGGAACUUGAGCUGAUUUUCGCCCAAACUUCCUGUUGUACUGUUUGAUCAGAAUUUUUUCUCUCAUUGUGUAGAUGCCUCACUGCAGCCCAUGAUUGCCACAACCAUGCCUUUUUCUCCCUGAGACAGGGGCAACAGGUUAUUGACGACCAAUGGAUGGGGGUCACCAAGAUCAAAACCGUCAAACAUCAAAGGACUAUGUUUGUACCUGAGAAGGAGAAACACUCUUACCCAUCUAAUUGAAAAGCUGCGAGCAGGCACUUACCAUAAAACACCAAAGAAGUACGUUUAUACCUGAGAAGGAGCCGAGUACAGAUCUCAGGCAACCCUACAGUUCAUGGUUGCAUCAGCUACGUGUUAGAGAUGAAGCAAACUUUAGUUGGCGUGGCACACAAUCCACACAACACCGAUGCCAUGGUUCUCCAUCAGCCCAGGCAGCACUGUAGUUGAUGGUUGCAUGAAGUUCGUGUUGGAGACGAAGCAAAUUAAACUGACUGUGGCACACAAUCUAGACAACAGGGAGAUGUCCUGGCUAUCCAUCGGCCGGUUGGAACUUGAUCGUCGCCGCUAGAUUGGGGGAAGGUUUUUGUUUUUUGUCUCUUUUAGAGAAUAUAAUAGAAGCAUAUCAAGAAGUCAAUAUAGUGGGGACACCCAUGUUCAGAACGCCAUAUAACUGGGUCGGUUGAAUCCUGCAUCAUACAUAACGAAGCAUAAAUUCUAGAAGGGCACUAUUCGUUUGAAACUUGUAUCUAAUUCAAGUUCUGUAGUCAGAACAAAAACAACACAACAAAAAGCAAAAUAAAUAUUACAUACCUGCUAGUUUGUCUUCUCUUUCGAUUCAAUGCGGCGAUCUAUUUUCAAUCAAUGUUCUUGUAGAUUUUUUUACUUGGCCUAAUGACCUAUACGAUAUGAAAUUGCCUGAGGCAGUGGAGACCUCCUAAAUUUAUCUCCUGGAUCGUGACACAAAUCCUAUUUUUUUUACUUGAGAAACAAAGUACCAACCACUGAUUUGGUUUGUUAGAGAUGGAAGUAACAGUAACAGUUAGCACUUGCUGCAUAAUAUAGACAGAAAUAAGAAGACAUGAAGAUGAAAAAACAUGGCAUUUUUAUUUUCCACACAGAGCUACUUCUUAACAGUGUUGAGGAGGUGAACGGACCAUGAUGUUAACUUGAGCAUCUUUUUAGAUCUCCCGUCUUCCUUCAAAUAGAUACUGCUAAGGUGUCAUCUUCUUGACUUCUUGAACGCAUAAACAUUCCAUGUCUGCAAAUAACAUAUAAAUAGGCUUGCAGACGACACUAUAGAUAAAUAAAAAUCAACAGAAUAGAGUAUUGUUUGUGCUUCUAUGAUGGACAUGGCCUAUAGGAUAAUUACAGAAGCAUAAAAUUGUAAGUACAGAUCCAAAUCGAACCUGUAGUUUUUCCCAAUAAGAAGCAUAGAGGAGUAGACCAAAGAAAGUCCAAAACAACUCAUCCAAUUUCUAAGAACAUAAGAAGAUGUGCUUGAAUUUGUUGUGCGAAAGUACAGCCACAUCUUCAAUGAAUGGAAUCCCUUAACUGGAUUGUAUGACACCUCAGCCAAGAUGAACCGCAGGUCUGCAGCCUUCUUGUGGCAGUUGAAAUUUCUGCAGCAAGAGAUUCAUUAAAUCGCUUUACUUGAAGACCGUAGAUAGGAAGCAGGGGGCAACCUAGAAGAGCAGCGCUAGGGAUAUGUGGAAACAUCUUUGACAAACUGAAUCCCCUAAUUGGAUUGUAUGGCUCCUACAAAUAUUGUCCAUCCUAGUUAUACGUAUUUAGAUAAGUCUGUAACUAAGCGCACAUCAUCAAAAUCCUCCAAAACGAACUCUAAUGGUGUACUUGUUCUUUGAGAUCAAGUCGCACUACAUAAAAAUUCCUAAUAACAAAAACCUAAUGGAUCGUUGCUAGCUCCUUAAUUACCUGCAAUUAGUCUACCAUAGUUCUUCGACUUGUAGCUUCCCCAACAAUGGCAUAUGUCCGAUCAGACUUAGGUAGCGCCUCCUUCUGAACAACAUCGUUUAUCAUGGGUUGCGGUUUGGUUGGGGCAUGGCAUCUGUGGAGAUUGAAAGGGCCUUCUCUUUGUCCAAGACGGACCACAGAUCUGCAGCGUGGUUGGGAGAGUUCAGAUUUCUACGUGAAGAUGAAGAGGAUCACAAGGAUCUCACGGAAUCGUUUUGCAUUAAGACAGCAAAAGAUAGGAAGGAGGAGGACGACCUGGAAGAGCAGCGCUAGGGAUUUGUGGAUGAUGUGCAAGUGCCUUACAUGAUAGAUCGGGGGAGGAAGAAUUUGGCCAGGGAGAUGAUUUUUUUCACAUUACAUGGAGCAUGAAGUGGGAUGGAUUUGCGCUAGGGAUUUGUGGAUGAUGCGCAAGUGCCUCACAUGAUAGAUCGGGGCAGGAAGAAUUUGGCCAGGGAGAUGAUUUUUUUCACAUUACAUGGAGCAUGACGUGGGAUGGAUUUGGCCAAGGAGAUGAUUUUUUUUUUCACAUUACAUGGAGCAUGACGUGGGAUAGUAACCCAGGACUCUUGAGUUGUCCAAUGGACGGCUACAGAUACUUAAUAUGGAGAUCGGAUGGAUAAUAUUCUUAGUUUUUGAGGAUUAACGUGGUCGCUUAUUUGGUGCCUCUAAUUAGUAAAUAUAAGAUUGAGUCUAUCAUGCAAACUACUAAGUAAUUAAAAGAAUGACAAGUACUACAAUUUCUUUGGUGAUAUAUUAAUUUUCAAAAUAAACAAAGUACAUAUAUACAUCCUGAUGGGACCGUGGAAAUCUUGAGAAGACAGAGACGCCAGUUGAAAGUUUGUCUGAAUCGCAGUGGUGGACAUAAGCUUGGCAAUGAAGCCCUGAUCAGGAUGGCCUUGCUUGGUACCUUAUGUGAUUUUCCUCACCAUUUCUUGUGCGCCGACCGCUCUGGCGUUUCAAGGUCUUGCGGGGGUGCCCUUUUGGCUUCGGUUGCCGCACACCACUGAGAAUCUUGCGACCGGGGUGAUGUUCUCGUGGCGUGCCUUAACCAUAUCUAGGGUUCUCGCCAUCCUCUCAAGACAUGUGUCAUCAUCGAGCAACCGUAUGUUCUUUUCACAGGCUUUCUCCCUCCUCAAGUACAUCUAUCAUUUGCGGCACACCUUCGACCAAUUUGCGGUGUAGAUGACUUGGGUCCAGCUCCUUAACCUACUUCGUGUCAGGCACUUCAUCUGCUCAUGUGUCCGGAUCCACCUUAUCCUAGUCUUGGCAUCACCAUCCACAAAGAAUCAAGGUCGCAUAUUCCCGACGUAAAUGACGCGGGCCCGUCUCCUUACCCUUCGGUGUUGGAACUUCAUGUGCCCAUGCUUCGGUCCAUGGUAUGUUUCAGGUUCUCUCGUAACCUUCCACAAAAAAUCAUGGUUGCAUAUGUAGCGGUACGCCAUGUAUUCCUCGGCCUCUACAAGGAAAUAAUAUCUCCCCUUCACAUUUAAGUUGAGAGAUAUUACCCACCUACACCAUUUUGAUAAAAUGCUUCAAGGAAAUAACCUACAUAUGCCUAUGAAAAAGGUUUGAACUCUAUUAUGCCUAACGCUACCAACCCACCGAUCCAAACUUUGCACCCUAGGCCUUCUCCCAUUUCCCGUGAUUGACCAAAUCAAAUCAGGUUGUGUAUCCCCUACUGCCGCUUGCGUUGCGCCCCUAACCCUCUAUCCAUAGACGCCACAUCUGCGUACUCACAUACAAGCAGUAAUAAGCCAUGUGUACUGCCUUUGAGAAGCUCUCCUUGCCGCCUCAAAGGUGCAUCCCUACCGAUGAUCGCCUUGCUGCGUUAUUUGAUUAAACUCCAAACUCCCAACCUGAUAUUCAUGUUUCAUGUCGAAAGUAUCACACCCACAUUUGGACAUAGGUAGUAUGCUCGUGUGGUGAAUUUUGUGGAUAUAGGUAGUAUACUCGUGUGGUGAGUUUUGUGGAAUAUCUAAUCAAUACUCUGCAUCUACCAAAAGGAUCGCUCCCCUCAAAUGCAAAUAUAAUUGAGGCCAAUGGCUUUCUUCUCCCCUCAGAUCACAAGACAAGAGCAGACCAUCUAAACAGGCAGAUCGGACCUUCACCUUGGUAGGGAGGUGAGUGCUACCUGUUGCCGUGUCGUCCUCGAGCUCGGGUGGCCAUCCUCCUCCUCCUCGAGCAGGACAAGGUUGUUCGUCCCCUACAGUCCAAUGGUCAUCUUCUCCAAGGACAUAUACAAGGGAGAGCACAACAUUGAUGCAAGUGCCACCAAGAUAGUUUCAGUCAAAGUUAAAGCAACGGUACACAUGCAAACUGAACCAAACCGAGGUGCAUAUUCAUAUGUGUGUGUGUAUGUAGAGAUGCCAGUGCCAUCUGAAUUUUGGGGAACCAAAGCAUGGCUGUUGUUGUUGCUACUUUAGCAGCAACAACAUACUCAAAGUGAAACGAGCAGCAAGUUGUUUUAUAAGCAGUGCAUACUAGUAAUUAGCUAGGACCAUUAUUAUUGCACAACCAUUCGAGGACGGUUGCAGACACAUCUAUCUCAAGGCUCUACUUGAGAAACAAAAGCAUAAGAUAUGUGAUGCUAUCAACCUUAGCACAAGAAGAAAAAAAACACAACCUCUCCGAUAGAAUGGAUGGAUGCAUCAUGCGCAAUCAUCGAUUAUAAGUGGACUAGUAUUUAUUUGCCAUUCGAGUUAAUGGUGUAUAUCUACUGAUUAAACAAGGGAUUGUCUAUUUGUCAUUCAACUGAAAUCAGUUGGACAUUAUUCAAAUUUCUUGACCAAUAACAAAAUGAUACUUCUAUGUCCUUUUUCCUUCUUUCCUGCAUGUCAAUGACCCAAAACACGCAACAGGCCUGACCUGCAAUAAUGAGUUUUGCACUGUACAUGAACUGCAUAGAACCCGGUUUCGUAAGGCUGCGCUGGACCACAUAACAAUUCGACAAAAGGCCUAAAGAGAGACACUGAAAUAUUCUUUCUGUUCCACAGCACAAAUAUGUCAAUUUGUUUAUAAGGACGAGAGAAGUAUCAUAAACCACAUGAUCUAGCAUGUACACUAACAAAAAAAUAGCAAUUCUAAAGCACAAGGGCCUAGGGUCAAAGGAAACUGAAAAUUACGGUUACCAAGCUGCUCAAAUUACAUAGUAGAAAAUUAUGUGCUCAGCAAAGUUUCUUACGCAAGGGUAGAAUCAAUCAACAGUAUAGCAGUAACUUGUAGGGAAAAAAGACAAACCCGAAAGGUAUGGAGUGAUACUUUAAAUUCACUAAAUAUAUAGUAUGAUUGCUCUAAAGUGCACACUGUAAUUACACUUAAAUUACUCUACUGUAAACCCUUUGAAAUUACAGUGUAAAUUACACUAAAAGUUGCACACGAAUUACAAUGUAAUUUCCGUAAAUUUACAUAGUAAAUUACACUGAAUUUACACUAUAAUUUCCAUUGCACUUAAAUUACACAGUAAAAUGCACGGGAAUUCACAUAAACUAACAUUGUAAUUCUCUGAACUUACAGUGCAAGAACCUUGAAAUUACACUGUAAUAACCAUGAAAUUGCACUGUUAAAUGUCCCGCGAAAUAUAGUGGAACUGACACUGAAAUGCCCUAAAUUAACGUCACUGAGUGCUGCAACACAAUACUUCAAUCCUAAAUGUGCAGAGCACGUCAUACCUAUGUAUGCACUCCUAAAGUCUAGCAGCCAACUGAGCUAACUAAUCUAAUCAACCCUAAACAGCAGCCAAUCAAGGGAUUAACCUCAAACUGCAGCAACCCCUAACUUCCCAUGUAUCAUCCAUGGGUGGAUGAAUCUGAAACAAAGCAUGGUGCAACUCAAAGUAGAGGAGGGGGGAGGGCAGAGGUAGUGGGUGGGGCCUGAGAAGAAGUCACCGAAGAAGGAGGGAGGCUCCAUGGGGCCUCUGCGUGGUGUGAAGAAGGAUCUCCAUCUUCAUGGCGGCGUCCCAUUCCACGGAUGUGUGUGCCCCUCCUGCCGUCAUCGCCGUCCGCGCCAUGGCGACCUGCAAAAAAGGGAAGACAAGUGGCGUGAGGUAAGGAGGAGAGGGUGGGCGAAGAAGGAGGGGAGAGACCAACCUGUGCCGGAUCCGGCCACCUCUGGCCUCGCCGUUGCCGGUUGUGGCGGAUCCCGACGAAGUUUUGGGGAGGCGCCCGAACCCAAGUCGUGGGGGAGGGUGGAGCCUUUGAGCGUCGGAUCUAGAUGAUUAGAGCAUCUACAGUCGGGCACCUCAAGCCUGGCUCAUACACCCGGGUGGGCCACCCGGUCACGAUUUUUCGAUCUAGACGGGCUCCUUAAAUGGGCCUCGAACGCCUGGGCUGAUCGGCACCCCUCAUAUCCAGCCCAAAUAUGGGGCGCCCGGGCGUGCCCGCCACGUCGGACCCGUCAGCCCGACCCCAUCGAAAAUUGCGCCAAAUGCACCAAACCCUUUCUCCUCCUCCCGCCGCCCUCCAACUUUUCCCGCGCCCGAACCCUCGCCGUCCUCCACCCUUGCUCCCAAUCCUCACCACCGGUCCCGAUCCACCACCGCGACGAAGACGCAGUCUGCCUUGUCCGUCGGCCUCCCUUCGUCGGCUCCGACUUGCAAGGCGGAGGACGCCGCCCGGAAGUUGCGGCAACGCCUGCAGCGAGAGAGGGAGGCGGCGGCGGUGCAAGGAGGUUCGGACAUGGUGGACCACCAAGGGGUGGCGAUCAAAUGGGAACUCGAGAAGGCCAAGACAUUUGGCUACAUAGAGCUUGAGAAGGAGAGGUUGCAACUCUUACAGGACGUGGUGGAUGCGAUGAUCAUGUUGGCAGACGAAACCCUCUUGGAUGAGCAUGUGAAGAAGUGGCUUGCGGACAAGAAGAAGAAGAUUAAUGACCUGAUAUAAACAUGACCCAUACGGAUAUAACCACAAUUAUUGCGCGUAAAGAUAAUUAUCAGGUGAAUUCUAAUAGAAAUUAUAUGAAUUAUUAUUUUGUUAUCCGAAACAAAAAUACAACACAAUAUUUUAUAUGCAGGAUUAAAGAAGACAUGCACAAACCUCGGGUGAAGAUGCGAAGUUUAAUACAGAAGAUUUACACUUGAGCAUUAUCGAAUCAACAUGCAUUUGUUCGCUCGAUCGCUAAUCGCUCAACUGCUCGCUCGGCCGCUGCUGCUGGCUCGCUCGAUCGCUAAUCGCUCGACUGCUCGCUCGACCGCUGCUGCUGGCUCAAUCGGUCGCUGCUCGCUCCUUUGCUAGCCUUUUUUUCUCUUGCAAGCACUUGUCGAAAAAACCAUUGCUGUUUGAAAAAACUAAAAAGGGAAAAUUUGCAAAAUUAAAAAAAAAUCAAAAAAUUCAUGAAUUCAUAAUUGUACAUGAAUUUUCAAAAAAGUUGGCAAAUUUGAAAACAAAUAUCGAGUUUGAAAAAAGGUUCAUCAAAUUUGAAAAAAGUUCAUCCAAUUUGUAAAAAGUUCAUCGAAUUUGAAAAUAAGUUCAUUGAAUUUUGAAAAAAAUAUCAAAUUUAAAAAAGUUCACGAAAUUGAAACGAAAAAUGUUGAAUUAUUGGAAAAAAUUAAGAAGGAAAAUAAUAAAAACUAACAAAACCGUUCCAACAAAAAAACAAAAAAAAGGUACAAAGAAGAAAAGAAGGAAAAGCUAUAACAUACCACGUCAACAGCAGGUGGCCUAUUGGUUAGGUGGUGUGUGUUGAACCGGUCGAUUGCCGGUUUGAAUCAUGGUACUUAUCUCAAUGUUCUAACGCCCACACCGGAUAUGGACCGAACUGUCUCACGACGUUCUGCGCCCUGUACCGUUAACACGGUAUCGGACGCUGAGGGCGCCGUAUAGGUUUUGCGCCCAUGCAUGGCCUUGUGUGUUGCGCACCUGGGCCUAUAGUACAGAUGAGGCAGUUUGCCACCAGAUUGAUAUGAGAAGUUUAUUUUCAAAUCAGAUCGCGUGUGGGUCGGCCAAUUAGCAGGCCCGUCUUGACUUCCAAGAAAAUAGACGAAGCGUUCUUCACGCCGGCCUUUAAUAAAUAGUCAUCAUAUUCUAGGGUUUACGCGGGUUUUAUUGUAUUGUUUAGCCAUGCUACAAUUUCGCAUCUAUGAGACGUGUAGGACUACCGUUUUGUUAGAUCCAAAGUGGAACCCCAACUUUUGAUCUAGUUCAUGUACUUAAUUUUUCAUUCGCAAUUUCAGAUUGCAAUUCACCUUUGUUCUUGCCGGUUCUUUAGUUGCUUGCAGGAACUCAAACAUCGUCGUUCAGGUUGACCGUGCCUACGGCAAGGUCAAUAACCAUUGGAGAUUGGUUUAGCGAUUGUCGAGGCAUAUCGUCGGGUAUUGUAUAGCCGGAUCGUCAAGAUCAUAAUCCACCAAAUUGAUAGUUAUCCUCACUCUCAUCGAAACAUCGGGCCGCCGUCACAUAAGUGGUAUCAGUUUUCAGUUUCAUCGGUGAGAGAUUUACAGUUUUGUUAGAUUAGUUUAUUUUUCAUGUCCUAUAACCCAAAAAAAAGCCAAAAAAGAAAGAAAGAUUAGUUCAUCCUUUGCACCUAUCUUUUUAGCCUUUAGCAAUUUUUGCAUCUAGUACUUCCGUAGUUGAAUUUUUGGUUGCAUCAUCCUACAAAUAGUGCUGGUUUAGAUUUGUACGAGAAAAUUUUGUCUACUAGAUUGAACUUUUUUUUCUCCAUCAUAGUUUCCGCCGCAAGCUCGUCCAUAAUCUGAAAAAAAAAACUAUCAAAAUUGCAUUGGAUUCCUUUGUUUUGCGUGCAAUCCGAAAUCUCAUCUGUUACACGUCGUUGUUGUCCGCCCUGACGCGUACAGCAGCGCCGUGUUGCAUCAAACAUCAAUUCCACUCAUGUCUGUCCUCAAGCGCCAGUUUCUUGUUCGCCAUGGUGCUCCACUUUAUAGCCACGUAGGUUUGCUUUGUAUAGGCAGCAUCAUCAUAACUAGAUCGCGCGAGAGUGCUGAUCCCAACCGAUAAUAAUAAAGUGAAGAAGAAACAUUCAAUUACCCCAUGCAUCCCAUUGGUCCAUCACCGAAAGUCUAAAAUUAUGCUUAAUCACUCAAUAUAUCAUCACAUAUAUCCAUUGUUGUAAGCCAUGUAUUUUCAUACGUUUUAGCUCAAAACCAAACCAAACUGGUGAACAUGAUAAUAUGAUAUUUCAUCACAAAGCAUAAAGACCCGAUUCAUACCAUACGAUCCAGUCAUAAUGAUCGCCCAUGACAAUAAGUUCAUUACAAAGGAUAGAGUCUAAUAUACCAAAAGACCAGAUUGAUAGAGCAGUACACGAAACGUAUAUGGUUCGGCUAUGGCAUAACAUCAGACUACCUAUAUAUAUGGAUAGAGAGUUUGGUCUGACUGCCUUGUCGCGCGGCUCCUCCCUGCGUUGUAAACACAUGUUGAUCGACAUUAUGUGUUACACAAAGAAUCCAUAGUGUGCCAUACGAAAAUCAACACAGCAAGAAUACAGUUCUUUUUCUAACCCUUAUGCCUUAUGAAUAGUGUUAGUUAUCUGGCAAAUAAAUAGCUCCUAUUAUUACUACUCCCUCCGUCCGGGAAUACUUGUCACCAAAAUGAAUAAAAGGGGAUGUAUUUAGAUGUAUAUUAGUUCUAGAUACAUUCCUUUUUAUCUAUUUUGAUGACAAGUAUUUUCGGACGGAGGGAGUACUCGCAUAGUGAACAUGCUAAAUAAUCGUGUUAACAAAUGACAAUAGUUAAAAGUUGAUAAUGCAAAAGGAAUGUGUUAACAAAUGACAAAAGUUAAAAGUUGAUAAUGCAAAAGAAAACAUGAUUAUAACACCUUUAGAAUUAGUUUGGUAAUGUUCACUGCAGCAAGACACAAAAUUCAUGUAGUUCUUGGUAGGCAUAAGUUACCAGAGUCCGCAAACAUGAGUAAUCCAGUCAGCUAGCAAUCAGCCAAAUGUAGGGCUGCCAACCAAAUUUCUAACAUAAUCGUUUUACUAACAGGGAAGCGACAAUAUACUUUGCUGGAUAUCCAAAUAUGCUUUAGGAGUCAUCAGAAAAAUUCUUGUAUAAUAUUGGUAUCCCUCUUAACAACAAGGAACAAUCUUGGUACACGACAUCUAUCUGUUUAUUAUUCCAAGAUACCAAGAUACGGGAAGCAUACUAAAAAGCAACAUCCUUGCACCAAAACAGCGGAAAUAGUUUCUUGUAACAAUUCAUAAUAUGCUUUGCAAUUUCCCCUGCACAAACAAAAGAACUAUCUGAGCUUGUGGGUAGCAGGAGAACUCCAAAACAAAAUCAGACCUACAAUUUAAGUGCAGGGUCCCAAUAUAGUAGCUAUUGAUCACCCCAUCAACAAGGCGCCAUGAUGUUCAUGAGUUUUCUUUAGCAUGCAUUCAGAAAUCACUGUUAGAUACAAGAUCAUCACCUAACAUCAUCAAUUAGCAUGAGCUUUUGACCAAUAUGCAGCAGACUUAAACAAACAGAUUAUAUAAAAGCAAAACUGACAGUCUGCUGAAGGUUUAUACAUCCAAGCAACAAAUACAAGUAAUAACACUCCAAAAGCUCUAGGCUAUUAUUUGAUAUAAGACCAUUUUUUCGCAGCAAAUACAUAACUUGAACCGAUAAAAGAGGUAAAUGUUUUAACAUUAUCACAGCACUGGGGCUAUAUUAUUCCUUAUUAUGGACUCGGAAUCACUUGCCCAUAAAAAGCCGUAAAGAUUGAUGUAAUAUUUUUCAUCUAACAUAAAAACCACCAAUCCAUCUUAGCAAGUAAUAACGGGAACUCAACUCUUGUGAGAAAGUAACUACUCAGUCACUCUAUUUAGACUACAUUUGCAGUCACUUCCAAAAUUUCAGGAAAAAUGUCACAGUCCAGAAAGUGCAUCGAGUUUAACAUGCCAUUAAACUGAACCGAGGUAACAAGUUCACUUCCCAACCGUUUUAGGCAUCUCGGAUUUACACACAAUCUACACAUUUGCUCAUCACACAAAUUAGGAGGCAACAAUAAUGAUAUACCCAUCAAGUUCACUGCAAUCUUUUUAUCCUACCUGAGAUGUAGCCUGCAGGUGGACGUUGGAUUCAAGGUUGCCUGGCCCCAGAACUGAAACAGUAGCAAGCAAUUAUGAGAGUUAUUAACAAGAAAAUAAAUAUGCAUUGGUAGUUAAAGAAAAUGUCGCGACAGAUGGCCAGAGAUAACAGUUACUACUAUUGUUGAAAUAACUUACAGUGGGACAAUGCACAAGCUUGACUGUUCACAAGAAAUAAAUAAUAUCUUGUUCUUCUUCCUCUACACCGAACUCUCCCGCGAGAUUAUUCCUCCCCUCCUUCCUCAGAUCUGCCACAAUUGUAUUUAGAAAAUGCACGAGGACAUCCUCAAUUUCCCAAAGGAUGUCGCCUACUGAGCAGUACAUGUAGACAAUUAUGUCCAAGCCUAUCAGGCUAUAAACUAUUAUGCUCAACUGAAAAAGCAAAUAUUGAAAUAAUAGUUAUUUCAAAUUUCUUUUAUGUGCGCUGCACAUGGUUUUAUAAGUCUGUAUAAUUAAUCCAUAUACAAAUAAACAUAUAUUUAGUAUUUCUAUAUGGUUGAGAUCUAGGACAUUGUUUACCAAAACUUUGUUACUAUGAUAUGUUCUUCAAAUGUGCCAAACAUACAAGUUUUUUCCCACUCCCUACGGUUGUAAGGUCAUGUGUUAACUAAAGAUCGACAGUCAACACCAAAUCUUUAUGUCUAUAAAAUGCGAAAGGGACAACCUUUUUACUGAUUAGUUUCAAAGUCAACUAACAUGUAUUGAUGGUUUGUAUGGAAUAUAUAUUUUAAUUAAAAUUGUCUAGAUAGAUGUACACACCUCAAGAAAAAUAGCAAGGAGAGACUAUAAUCAUCUGGUCUGAGCAUCAGUAUAGGUGUUGGCUAAGACUUGUUACCAUAAAACCUAUAUUCUGUAAGAACAUCAUCAUAAAGAGAGUUGAUAUCGCGGCAUCCAUACUCGAUAUAUUAAUCAUAGAAUAGGCUUUCUCCAAAACACAAACGCGAGUAUCUUGAGAUAGUUUCUCAAGAUAUGAAGAAUGAGAAUGGAUCACAGUACAUAUAUGCACACAGUAAUAGCAUUAUGUGUCAAUAGCCACAUAGAAAAGAAAGAAGGGAAUUGUCCAUCAUGUGGGUGAUCAUAGUGACGGAGAUAUCGACAAUGUGGGUGAGUGCCCUAUAACCUCAGCUUUGCUGAUGAGUAUAUCUAGGUGCAUCCAAAAUAUACAUGAUUAUUUUUGUUCUGUGCUACAUGGAAAGUGCAUAGAGCUCAUUUGCUUUGCCUCGUAAGAUUUUAAAUUCUACAUAAUACUUCAAUAGAUGAUAAACCUAAAGAAUAUGUUUUUGCUUAUGUUAGUUGGAGGCUUUACUUAGAACGCAUUUGUCAAAACAUGUUGUGUUUCAGCUUUAAUAAUAACUAAAUCGUUGCUUCAUGAAUUCAGCUAACUCUACCGCAAAUACCAGUUAAAUUUCUCUUGAUACGGGGUAACUAAUUGAGCCAUAGAAAAACAAAACUUGGAAUGUCAAAAGGACGUAGACAGAGUCUAUACAGAUAUCACGACACAACAAGAUAUAAAAUAGGAUGUAAUAGUGACUAUGCUUUAUUUCUAGUAAAACUAUCACAGAGAAAGAAAAUUGUUGGACAAACAAUCCUCUCUUUUUCAUAUGUGAUUGUACAAACAACCAUAUGUUUUCAUGUGUAACAAAAACACUAAUUACAACUCAAACGUUAGAAAUUCUAACCAAGGCCCCCUUCCAUACACAAAGGAACAAAACCACCAACAUUUCCAUGCACAAAGGAACAAUAAUGUUAGGCCCUACCUGAAUCCAGACAAGGAACAAAAAAGCAUAUAUUUACACCCCAUCAAAAAACAAGCAUGGAAACAAAGGAACUACAAAAAUAUACAGCAUAGAGAAUAGUAUAUUUGGCCUUUACCAGAAAAGGAAAGCCUCAUUGGCCAACCAGGGCAAGCAGAACAUGGUGAGCCCCAAAACACAAAUUGCCAUGCAACCAUACACCUAGCUCUGGAAAAGAAGAUGCGUGGAUAGGAGGAGAAGAGGGGUUGACAUGCAGAUCCGUGAAUGGAGACGCAGGAGGGUGCUGAUAGACGGGGUGCAGGCCCAACCCCGGCUUGCCGCUCAGCCGGCGGAGACGACAUUGAGCCCUCAAUGCAUCGACGACUUUGUGUUCGCUGUAUGGAGCCGCAGAAAAAGGAGAUCAGAACUGUGUAUAUAUGGACAUCUAUGAGAGAGUGAACACUGGAUGCAGAGGAGAAAAUGGAACCAAAUGGUGAUCAUUACUAUUCAACUUGAAAGGAAGCGCAGUUUAUAUCCAUGAUUUCCCUCUUGUGAAGCAAGCAUCAAACAACACAGAAGCAAUGAAAUUGCACAUUCAAAUAGAACAAUACAUGAAAUGCUCUUGUGUCGAGAACAAUUGCAAGUAUUUUGUGCACAUCACAUCAUAUUUGCAGGGGUAGCUCGAGAACGGGUGGGGCUCACCACGUGUGGGGGUAGCAGGAGGAAUAGGCAGAGCAGCCUUGAGGGCCCGUCCACCUGCAGAAGCAGCUUGUCCUCAUCGGAGCAACCUUCACAUAAAACAAACGCAGGAAUCAGAAUAAGAGGAGAUGAAGAAACAAAGAAGAGAUUCAUGCCCACCCAGAAUAGUCAGAGAUCCACCCAGAACAAAGACCAUAAUAAACUAAGAGCCUAAUCAGGUUGUCAUGGUUAAGAACAUAUAUAGCAGAACAAUUAAUGAUUGAUGCUGCUAAAUCAACAACCCAAAGCUGAAGCUUUUUUUAUACAUGGCUGCUAGAAACAUGCAAAUACAAUGAAUUAGAGCAUCUCCAGCCAUUGGAGCCCCCCAGGACAAUCGCCAGGCCAAAUAUAGCACGUCCUGGGGGGCAAUACACCUUCGCCGAAUGAAACGCGAGGACGUUUUCCCAGCCGUUGGUGCCCCCAGGACAGUCGCCAGGCAAAAAGUGAAUGAGUGGACCAGAAAAAAAUGAUACAUGGAGGAAUAUGAUUGGCUGUUGCUUCCGCCGGCGCCCCUAGCAGCCCCCCAGCGCGUUGGGUGUGGCCUGGGUUCACCGGCACCUUUUUGAGGUCUUGGGGGCAUGGCUGGGCCUUUUUUUGCCAUUUUUAGNNNNNNNNNNNNNNNNNNNNNNNNNNNNNNNNNNNNNNNNNNNNNNNNNNNNNNNNNNNNNNNNNNNNNNNNNNNNNNNNNNNNNNNNNNNNNNNNNNNNNNNNNNNNNNNNNNNNNNNNNNNNNNNNNNNNNNNNNNNNNNNNNNNNNNNNNNNNNNNNNNNNNNNNNNNNNNNNNNNNNNNNNNNNNNNNNNNNNNNNNNNNNNNNNNNNNNNNNNNNNNNNNNNNNNNNNNNNNNNNNNNNNNNNNNNNNNNNNNNNNNNNNNNNNNNNNNNNNNNNNNNNNNNNNNNNNNNNNNNNNNNNNGGGGGGCUGGAGAUGCUCUUACUACUUGAAUGAAGAGAAAGCAUGUUUAAUUACCGGGUGCGUGGCGUUGUAGUGGAGGAGAGCGUGGCGGUGUCGUGCCUUCUACUGAACCUGACGCAUGAUGGCGGUGUUGUGCCUUCUGCAUCAAAUGCAAUUGGAGCAAACUUACUUGGUACUGUUAUAAUUGUUCAACAUAGAUACUUCAACAGCACUCUGCCCUAUUAAUGAAACAUGGACGAGGUCUUCUCAUCAGAGCGACAUGAUGGACAAAGUUGGAACCAAUGGCGAUGGGGUAACCUCACACACAUCUUUCCAUAAUGCAAUUCUGCAGACACAACCAAAGUAUAUUUACUAUUUAUUUUUGAGUCAAUUGCACGGUUCAGUUUUAUUUUGAGUCAAUUGCACGGUUCAGUUUAGUCCAGAAAGUUACAAGUCGUGUUUGAUGGUGGUUGACGAAUCAUCUAUAAGCUAUGUAUUUUAUGUUGAUUUCUUCCUAUGAACAUGGUAAAAUGUCUACACCUCCCUGCAUUGGCUCUCUACACGUUCACAGUAGGUUUAGUAGGGGGUUAAAAGGUGGCUCAUUUCAUCAUACCACUUGUCUGAAUUUCUGAACAUCUAAACCACAGUGGUCAUAACAACAGUUUGUUAACUCUAAAAGUUAAACAUUGAAUGUGACUGAAUUUCCCCACAAAAGAAAAAGAACAUGACUGAAUUGAACUGAAUUUUUUAACACUGAAAUUAGCAAUCACCACCAGGUUGUGUCCAGAAGUAGAAAGAGGGCGUGGUGCCUCGUCCACCUGCAGCAGCAACAACAAAAGCUCCACCACCUCUUCCAGAUCGGAGCAACUGCGCACAAAACAAACCAAGGAAUCACAAGGAGGGGAGAUGAAGAAACCGACAAGACAAGGGGUUUAGGUAUCAUGCGCACGCACCAUUGUUGGAGAUCUGUGGAUGAGCUCGCCGGAGAUGGCCUGCAGCAGGCGCGUACUUGGAGGGCCAGGGAUUCGGGCGUCUCCUUCCAUGGCUGUUGCCGGGCCGGACCACCAUGGCCGACCUCGAGGACGGUCGCGGAUGAGGUCGAUGACGAAGUGUCGAUGGCCCUGUGGAUCUGGGCGCUGCCUCACCUGGUCGCUCGAUCCCUUCCAUCCCCUCCCCUCCCCUUACCUUUCCUUGGUGACGGUGAACUCCAGGUCAGCCUCGGGCGCAGCCUUUGAGGAGGUCAUGCGCUUGCGCGAGGAGCCUCGCGAUGGCUCGGCGGCCGAGGGCUGCGAGCUGGGCGGCGCCAUAUGGGAUGCGUGCAGCUGGCUGGGGUUCCGGGAGAGGAUUCAGAUCAUGGGUGAGGGAGGAAGGAAGAGGACUUGCACUUCUUCCCGGCCAUGGCUGGCUCAGCUAUGGGAGAGGAACGGGGAGGGGAUGGUGGCGCGGCUGCAGAUGGUUGGCGGCGGUGGCGGCGGCGAACGGGGAGGAUGACUGGCGGCAGUGGCUCUCUCGAGAGAGAGAUGUGAGGGAGAGAAAAAUGAGGGAGGCACUCAUUGGGGGAGGAGGCAGCGAAUCGGAAAAGGGCACAGAUGCGAAAUGACCAAAAUGCCUUGGGUGGGGGACGUGAAUUUCAGCAAUGGCAUGAGAUCUUUUACCCGCUGGACAGCGCCGAUGGGCUACACCGGACGUGCCCCGGCCACCCCUUCAUACCUGUUUGGUUAGAUAUUUGUGUACGUGACUUCUACUAGCGGGCGGCCUGAAAGUUGAAAAAAAGGAAAAUUCAGAAAAAAGAAUAAAAAAAAGUUGAUGCAAAGUUUUGGCCAGCUAGCAUCUUUUGAAAAAUCUCUUUUGCUGUUCAGCCUGCUCUGUUCAUAUAAGUGAUAUGUUCGAUUUUUUUGUCUGCUCUUGGUUGCCAUACACUACGUUCAUACCUCACUUAUAUCUAGCUACUUGGAGCUAUUAUAUUUUCGCCAGUUCCCUCUCGCUUGAUUCAGUAUCUGGGCUUAGAUUAUUUUAUCUCUUACUAGUCGACUACCAAUACUAGUUAGGAGUUUGAGCAAUUAUUCAUCUUGCAUUACUUUUAGCAAAAUUGUGCCACCGAUAUUGUGAGUUGAGAAAACCUUCACCAAGCUCCACUUUCUAUAUUGUACAUUGUUUGGUGACUUGGCAAUCACUAUAUCCAACUUUGAUAACUUUUGAAGGCGCCAAAGGCCGACAACCACUGCAGCACGGUAAGAUCUUGUAAGAGCUUGGUAAUUGCUAGAGUGUUGAGAGAAUUUUUCCGCCACCUCCGAGUAGUAAUAUAGAAACAUUAUACUUAUUAUUUUUGUUUUUUGUGUGGUACUAACCAUGGCAGAUUCUAGAGCGGUUGACAGUUGGGGUGCGUCUAUUGUGGGAGAUGACUUGCCAUAUAUUGAUAAAGAUCACUCUUUCCCACCACAAAAGGUACGACGAUCGUCACAUGAUAUACAUCAUGGUAGAAACACACAUCAUCAUGUUACCUCUUUGCCAAAUUUUAAGGGUAAAUAUGACCCCGAUUCAUAUAUUGAUUGGGAAACUGAGGUAGAAGAAAUAUUUGCUAGCCAUGAACUUCCCAAGCAUAAGAAAAUAAAUGUUGUCACUAAAGUGUUUUUAGGUUUUGCUUCAGUUUGGUGGAGAAAUUAUUGCAGGAAAAAAAUUGAUAAUAGGCCUUCUACUUGGAAAGAUUUAAAACUUGUUAUGCGAGACCGAUUUGUUCUUCAUAUCAUGCCAGUGAUUUUCUUAGAAAAUUACAACGUUUAGCACAAGACAAUAUCACUGUUGAAGAAUAUUAUGACAAUUUGUGUAUUGCUUUGUUUCGUUCUGGCUUAGAAGAAUGCGAAGAAGAUUUUCUGAAUUGAUUUUGGAAAGGUUUAAACCAUGAUAUACAAGACAUAAUAAUGCAUGAAGACUAUAUUCUAUCGAUCAUUUGUUUCGUCUUGCCUGUAAAGCUGAACAGAAAUUAAGAGGACGCGUCUACAUGACGAACAAGCGUGCGAUGGAAUCCCCAUCAAAGAAGGUUACUUCCUCCCCUGCACCACCAACUAUGAUUGCACCACAUGGACUUUAUGAGGCAUCGUCACCGACCGUUCUUACUUCAUGUGAGCAAGGCCUACUACACUAGUAGAAAAUAGGGCUUUGGUCCAGGUCUGAAAAGGGCAUUAAUCCCGGUUUCCCUAUGAACCGGGACUAAUGGGUGCAUCAAUCUCGGUUCGUAAAGCCAGGGCGCCGGCCGGGCCUCGGGGGCCAUUGGUCCAGAUUCGUCUGACCCCUUUGGUCACGCUUCCAGACACGAACCAGGACCAAUGGGCCUCGCUCCUGGCCCACAACCUUUAAUCCCGGUUGGUGGUUGGAACCGGGACCAAAUGGAGUCCUUUAGUCCCGGUUCUAGCCACAAAUCGGGACUAAAGAGAGGCCUAUAUAUCCCCCUUCCCGCGAGCAGAGCAGUGCAUUGCUCUGUUUUUUGGCCGGCCGUGGGAGAGCUUUGUGGUGCUCUAGCUCACCUCCUAUGCACAUGAGGUGUUCGGUGAAAUGUCCAAGACAUACUUAAGCUUUCUCCUCUCGAAGCUCCUUGGCCAAACUCCAUUUUCCUUAAGAUUUGUCUAGGUUUGGCGGUCCAUCCUGUCCCGUUCCCGUCCUCACCGACGUCGAUCGCCCGCGCCGAUCUCGCCGCCGGCACCACCGUGGUGAGCCUCUUGUUCUUAUCUUCUAAAAGAAAAAAGUUCUUACUUGUAUGAUUUAGAUAGAUACUUGUAUAAUUUUCUUACUUUUAUUAUUUUUUGUUAUUAUAUAAUGCGAUGGUUUUGGUAUCCGCCUCCGUCGGCCCUCGUCCUGUCUAUGAUUCGGAUGUGGUAUAUAUUAUAUUUUAUAACUAUUUUGUUCAUUUAGUGUGUAUGAAAAUUAUGCCGACCAACGUGACAUAGAUGUUUUUAUCAAGGAGGUAUGUGAACCGGAAAUUCCAACCGACCCUAUUGUUGAGAGGUUAAAUUUAGUUGAAGAAGAAAACAAUUACCUGAAGAAAAAAUUGAAAAGAAUUAAGGAGGAGAAGAUGGGAUUGGAGUUGCAUGUUGCGGAUGUCGUCAAUGAUCACAAGAUCAAGAUGGAUGCAAUGCGCUUGAAGAUUAUAAAGAUUAGAAAAUAUGUCAUUCAUACCGAGGCUUGGCAUCAUUAUGCCGUUGGAUCAAUUGUUACCUUAGUUGCGAUUAUGAUCGCAUUUGUUGUUGCAUUGAAAUGUUUUACAUUAUUUCAAUGUAUGGUUUAAUUAGAUGCUCUAGAGAGCUAUAUAUAUGUUGUUCAAUGAGAACUAUAUAUGUAUGAACUUUAUGUAUUUAUUUUUUCAGUAAUAACAUUUGAUCACUACUGUACUUUGGUUUUAAUGUGAUGAUGAACUUCUAUUAAUUUGGUUUUCUAUAUUCAUGCUGUUCUGUAAUGGUUUUUGACACACUUAAUUAUAUAUAAUGCACGCAGAUGAACCGGCAAUGGAUGUACGAUGAUGUUAACAUCAGUCUGUUUAUAUUGAACUGAUGAUCGUGUAUUACUACUGAAGUCAAGCAAUGAGGUCUAGUUUGUUGAAAUUACAUAUUUGGCUCGGUUAUAGUUUAUUCCAUUGCUUUUCUUUUUCCAUGCCUUACUACUGAACUGAACUAAAGCACUUCUGUUUGAAAAAUUACAAGGAGACUUCUACAGCCUACUAGCAUGUUCUAGCUUGCCGCUGAUGUGUAUUCAUGCUGAUGAAGCUUGCUUGCCUAGCUGCUAGACUGAUUCUUGUUCUGUUAUGGGUGCUGUGGUUAUUUGAACUUUAAUUGCAGCUACUAUUACAGUGUGUGCAUACAUGACUGAAACUGUAUGAUGUGUGUGCCAUGGUUACCUGAACUUCAAUUCUAGCUACUAUUCAAAUCUAAUACUAGCAUGUACAUGACUGGACUCGUACUACUGCGUACUAGUGUGCCAUUUUGCUUAUUCUUUCCUUGAACUUUGCAUGCUCUCUAUUCUUUCAGAGAUAUGUUCAAAGCUAGUUCCUCGGAGGUGUAUUCUUUCAUAGAUAUGUUAAAGCUAGUUCUUUAUUCUUUCAAAGAUAUGUUAUUUUCAUACUUUCAGCUCACAUGUAGCUUUUCUUUGUAGGAAAGUAAAUACUCCUACGUUACAUAAAAAGAGAGACAGAGUCAAAGCUGUAAGGACUUGGUAAAGAAAACUGUGAGAUGUAGGCCCCAUAUACUCCUGCGUGACCCGAAUUUCCUGAGCGAAGUUGGAAGCAGCGCAGCGUGCGUCCGUACAUCAUGGGCAUCUUGCCAGUGAUCUAUGCACUAUCCCCUUUGUUUUUUUUGCGGGAAUAAUACUUGUAUUACUCAUUCACCAAGUCCUUACAAUCAUCAAGGACCAACUUCAAAACAUCCUCCGGGCCUGAACCGACCCAAGUCAUAGUACGACCUUCUACUCUAGCAAAACUAGCUAGUCUAUCACUCGCUCAUGAGUAAUACAAGUCUGCCUAAGACUCAACAAGAAUUUAAUUUCACUAACCAAAGAAGCAUAAACUGAGCAAUCCACCUCGCCGCAUGAAAUAAUAGCCAUGGUUGUAGUCGAGUCCAUCUCAAUGGCAAUUGGAAGAUUGGAGCGUUGAAUUGCGAAAGAUAAGCCUUCCAUACAUGCACAUAACUCCGUCCCCAGAGCGUCUCUACACGAGAACAAGGCCCUGCAUGAUGAGAAUAUUAUGGCUCCUGAGUUAUCUCGCAAGAUCAUUCUAGCACCCGCACCACCAGCGAACGAGUAAGAUCCAUCCGUGUUAAGCUUCACCCAGCCAAGCUGGGGCGGCCUCCAAGGUGUAUCGCCAUUCACGGGGUGCUCAACAGCGGACCUAGACUUUAGAUCAUAGGAUAUGCUGCACUUCCCCUUUGCUGGAUCAAAGCGUGAGUUCAGUUUGAUGCCAAUUAGAGCAUCCAAGUAAUUCUGAAGAAACCUUGUUGAUACUUCCAUGGGAGGAGCAGGUCCAUGAUGUACUAUCUCAUUCCGAAUGAACCAGCUUCUCCAAAAAAUUAACAGUAGCAUACUUCUCUGAAUUCGUUCAAAGGGGCAAGUACGUGAAGUAGCCAUUCCUUACCAACAGGCAACAGGGAAUCAAGGAAUGGUAAAAUCCAAAUCUCGGCCAUGGCUAGAUAAAGAUCACGUCCGUAUUGGCAUCUCACAAACGGGUGGAAAUUGUCCUCCUCUUCCAUACCACAAACUGGACAUCUACUUGAAAGCUCCAGUCCAAUCUUGUGUUUAUUCCUCCAUGUCGGCAAAGAGUUCGUAGUCAAUCUCCAAGCAAAAUUGCGCACAGUGGGGGUACAUCACAUCUCCAUAUAUAUUGCCAGCAUUUUCUACUACCAUCUGGCGAUGUGCUAGACGCCUCUGCAGUAUUUCUGUGAGCUACUUCAAAAGCCAGCAUAUAUGCUGAUAUGACCGUGAAGACGCCGAGCUUCCCCGGCCCCCAUGCAAUCACAUCCUCACCUAAUCUUGGAGAUGCCCGUAUCUUUAAGAUUUCUUCCACAUCAGCUGAUAAGAAGUACUGCUGAAGAAGUACCGAGUUCCAAGAACCAUUAUCAUUUAGCAAGUCGGACACAAAAAGAAUGCGACAUCUUCCCUGCAGCGACACAGGUUUGUAUGAAAAGGGCCUUGGAAUCCAGUUAUCUCUCCCCUUUGUUGGUAGUCAGAGUCACUAGGACAACUAACUGUGUUAGCAUCUAGAGUUGUAACAAGCCACAGUCCGCCUAUCUUGGUUGCGCAGCGAUGAUGCUACCAUCUCCUACUACAAAGUACACGCCUUGCACCGGAAACAGCGCAACCAUAUGACAUCUAUCCGAGUGGGCGACCACGUGGUAACCGGGCAUGAGGCCAUGGCUGAGGCCGCCUACAACCACUUCUCCGAUGUGCUCGGAAGUGCCACGGAGCAUGACAUCACGCUUGAUCUCCGCGUUUUGCGUGUUCAACACAAUGCUACUCCGUGCGGUGGACCUAGGCCUUCUUCGACGCCUUACCACUCGGCACGCGGCCUCGAGUAUAUCGCUAUACGCGGACGAUGUUGUCAUCUUUUGUCACCCGGACUGCCACGACAUUACCACCGUGUGAACCAUCCUGCACAUAUUCGGGCUUCAUACAAACUUCGCCAAGUGUUCUGCCACCCCGAUCCGGUGCGAUGAUGACAACAACAUGAUGAUCACAUCUGAGAUGCAGUGCCCCAUAGCCCAAUUCCCCAUCACAUACCUCGGGUUGCCUCUCUCUGUCUGCAAGGCCUCCACGACUAGCUUGCUCCCGAUCAUCGACAAGCUCGGCCACAAGCUCUCCACUUGGCAUGCUUCCAUGAUGUCCAACGGGCAACGGCGACCGCCUUGCUCUCGUGCAUCACGUACUUAGUGCUAUCCCGACAUACUUCCUCACCGCCUUUGCUCUCAACCAAUCCAUCCUCAAGAAAUUCAACUGCAUCAUCUAGAUGCUCGAGGUGCCCGACUGUAGAUGCUCUAAUCAUCUAGAUCCGGCGCUCAAAGGCUCCACCCUCCCCCAUGGCUUGGGUUCGGGCGCCUCCCCAAAACUUCGUCGGGAUCCGCCACAACCGGCAACGGCGAGGCCAGAGGUGGCCGGAUCCGGCACAGGUUGGUCUCUCCCCUCCUUCUUCGCCCACCCUCUCCUCCUUACCUCACGCCACGUGUCUUCCCUUUUUUGCAGGUCGCUAUGGUGCGGACGGCGAUGACGGCAGGAGGGGCACACACAUCCGUGGAUGGGACGCCGCCAUGGAGAUGGAGAUCCUUCUUCACACCACGCAGAGGCCCCAUGGAGCCUCCCUCCUUCUUCGGUGACUUCUUCUCAGGCCCCACCACUACCUCUGACCUCCCCCUCCUCUACUUUGAGUUGCACCAUGCUUUGUUUCAGAUUCAUCCACCCAUGGGUGAUACAUGGCAAGUUAGGGGUUGCUGCAGUUUGAGGUUAAUCCCUUGAUUGGCUGCUGUUUAGGGUUGAUUGGCUCAGUUGGCUGCUAGACUUUAGGCGUGCAUACAUGGGUAUGACGUGCUCUGCACAUUUAGGAUUGAAGUAUUGUGUUGCAGCACUCAGUGACGUUAAUUUAGGGCAUUUCAGUGUCAGUUCCACUAUAUUUAGGGGGACAUUUAAUAGUGCAAUUUCAUGGUUAUUACAGUGUAAUUUCAAGGUUCUUGCACUGUAAGUUCAGAGAAUUACAAUGUUAGUUUAUGUGAAUUCCCGUGCAUUUUACUGUGUAAUUUAAGUGCAAUGGAAAUUAUAGUGUAAAUUUAGUGUAAUUUACUAUGUAAAUUUAAGGAAAUUACACUGUAAUUCGUGUGCAACUUUUAGUGUAAUUUACAGUGUAAUUUCAACGGGUUUACAGUAGAGUAAUUUAAGUGUAAUUACAGUGUGCACUUUAGAGCAAUCAUACUAUAUAUUUAGUGAAUUUAAAGCAUCACUCCAUACCUUUCGCGUUUGUCUUUUUUCUCUACAAGUUACUGCUAUACUGUUGAUUGAUUCUACCCUUGCGUAAGAAACUUUGAUGAGCACAUAAUUUUCUACUAUGUAAUUUGAGCAGCUUGGUAACCGUAAUUUUCAGUUUCCUUUGACCCUAGGCCCUUGUGCUUUAGAAUUGCUAUUUUUUGUCAGUGUACAUGCUAGAUCAUGUGGUUUAUGAUACUUCUCUGGUCCUUAUAAACAAAGUGACAUGUUUGUGCCGUGGAAUAGAAAGAAUAUUUCAGUGUCUCUCUUUAGGCCUUUUGUCGAAUUGUUAUGUGGUCCAGCGCAGCCUUACGAAACCGGGUUCUAUGCAGUUCAUGUACAGUGCAAAACUCAUUAUUGCAGGUCAGGCCUGUUGCAUGUUUUUGGUCAUUGACAUGCAGGAAAGAAGGAAAAAGGACAUAGAAGUAUCAUUUUGUUAUUGGUCAAGAAAUUUGAAUAAUGUCCAACUGAUUUCAGUUGAAUGACAAAUAGACAAUCCCUUGUUUAAUCAGUAGAUAUACACCAUUAACUCAAAUAGCAAAGAAAUACUAGUCCACUUAUAAUCGACGAUUGCGCAUGAUGCAUCCAUCCAUUCUAUCGGAGAGGCUGUGUUUUUUUUUCUUCUUGUGCUAAGGUUGAUAGCAUCACAUAUCUUAUGCUUUUGUUUCUCAAGUAGAGCCUUGAGAUAGAUGUGUCUGCAACCGUCCUCGAAUGGUUGUGCAAUAAUAAUGGUCCUAGCUAAUUACUAGUAUGCAUUGCUUAUAAAACAACUUGCUGCUCAUUUCACUUUGAGUAUGCUGUUGCUGCUAAAGUAGCAACAACAACAGCCAUGCUUUGGUUCCCCAAAAUUCAGAUGGCACUGACAUCUCUACAUACACACACAUAUGAAUAUGCACCUUGGUUUGGUUCAGUUUGCAUGUGUACCGUUUCUUUAACUUUGACUGAAACUAUCUUGGUGGCACUUGCAUCAAUGUUGUGCUCUACCCUUGUAUAUGUCCUUGGAGAAGAUGACCAUUGGACUGUAGGGGACGAACAACCUUGUCCUGCUCGAGGAGGAGGAGGAUGGCCACCCCGAGCUCGAGGACGACACGACAACAGGUAGCACUCACCUCCCUACCAAGGUGAAGGUCCGAUCCGCCUGUUUAGAUGGUCUGCUCUUGUCUUGUGAUCUGAGGGGAGAAGAAAGCCAUUGGCCUCAAUUAUAUUUGCAUGUGAGGGGAGCGAUCCUUUUGGUAGAUGCAGAGUAUAGAUUAGAUAUUCCACAAAACUCACCACACGAGUAUACUACCUAUAUCCACAAAAUUCACCACACGAGCAUACUACCUAUGUCCAAAUGUGGGUGUGAUACUUUCAACAUGAAACAUGAAUAUCAGGUUGGGAGUUUGGAGUUUAAUCAAAUAACGCAGCAAGGCGAUCAUCGGUAGGGAUGCACCUUUGAGGCGGCAAGGAGAGCUUCUCAAAGGCAGUACACAUGGCUUAUUACUGCUUGUAUGUGAGUACGCAGAUGUGGAGUCUAUGGAUAGAGGGUUAGGGGCGCAACGCAAGCAGCAGUAGGGGAUACACAACCUGAUUUGAUUUGGUCAAUCACGGGGAAAUGGGAGAAGGCCUAGGGUGCAAAGUUUGGAUCGGUGGGUUGGUAGCGUUAGGCAUAAUAGAGAUCAAACUUUUUCAUAGGCGUAUGUAGGUUAUUUCCUUGAAGCAUUUUAUCAAAAUGGUGUAGGUGGGUAAUAUCUCUCAACUUAAAUGUGAAGGGAAGAUAUUAUUUCCUUGUAGAGGCCGAGGAAUACAUGGCGUACCGCUACAUAUGCAACCAUGAUUUUUUGUGGAUGGUUACGAGAGAACCUGAAAUAUACCAUGGACCGAAGCAUGGGCACAUGAAGUUCCAACACCGAAGGGUAAGGAGACGGGCCCGCGUCAUUUACGUCGGGAAUAUGCGACCUUGAUUCUUUGUGGAUGGUGAUGCCAAGACUAUAGGAUAAGGUGGAUCCGGACACAUGAGCAGAUGAAGUGCCUGACACGAAGUAGGUUAAGGAGCUGGACCCAAGUCAUCUACACCGCAAAUUGGUCGAAGGUGUGCCGUGAAUGAUAGAUGUACUUGAGGGGGGAGAAAGCCUGUGAAAAGAACAUACGGUUGCUCGAUGAUGACACAUGUCUUGAGAGGAUGGCGAGAACCCUAGAUAUGGUUAAGGCAUGCCACGAGAACAUCACCCCGGUCGCGAGAUUCUCAGUGGUGUGCGGCAACCGAAGCCAAAAGGGCACCCCCGCAAGACCUUGAAACGCCAGAGCGGUGGGCGCACAAGCAAUGGUGAGGAAAAUCACAUAAGGUACCAAGCAAGGCCAUCCUGAUCAGGGCUCCAUUGCCAAGCUUAUGUCCACCACUGCGAUUUAGACAAAUUUUCAACUGGCGUCUCUGUCUUCUCAAGAUUUCCACGGUCCCAUCAGGAUGUAUAUAUAUACUUUGUUUAUUUUGAAAAUUAAUAUAUCACCAAAGAAAUUUUAGUACUUGUCAUUCUUUUAAUUACUUAGUAGUUUGCAUGAUAGACUCAAUCUUAUAUUUACUAAUUAGAGGCACCAAAUAAGCGACCACGUUAAUCCUCAAAAACUAAGAAUAGUAUCCAUCCGAUCUCCAUAUUAAGUAUCUGUAGCCGUCCAUUGGACAACUCAAGAGUCCGUUGUUACUAUCCCACGUCAUGCUCGAUGUAAUGUGAAAAAAAAUCAUCUCCUUGGCCAAAUCCAUCCCACGUCAUGCUCCAUGUAAUGUGAAAAAAAUCAUCUCCCCGGCCAAAUUCUUCCUCCCCCGGUCUAUCAUGUGAGGCACUUGCGCAUCAUCCACAAAUCCCUAGCGCAAAUCCAUCCCACGUCAUGCUCCAUGUAAUGUGAAAAAAAUCAUCUCCCUGGCCAAAUUCUUCCUCCCCCGAUCUAUCAUGUGAGGCACUUGCGCAUCAUCCACAAAUCCCUAGCGCUACUCUUCCAGGUCAUCCUCCUCCUUCCUAUCUUUUGCUGUCUUAAUGCAAAACAAUUCCGUGAGAUCCUUGUGAUCCUCUUCAUAUUCACGUAGAAAUCUGAACUGUCCCAACCACGCUGCAGAUCUGUGGUCCGUCUUGGACAAAGAGAAGGCCCUUUCAAUCUCCACAGAUGCCAUGCCCCAACCAAACCACAACCCAUGAUAAACGAUGUUGUUGAGAAGGAGGCGCUACCUAAGUCUGAUCGGACAUAUUCCAUUGUUGGGGAAGCUACAAGUCGAAGAACUAUGGUAGACUGAUUGCAGGUAAUUAAGGAGCUAGCAACGAUCCAGUAGGUUUUUGUUAUUAGGAAUUUUUAUGUAGUGCGACUUGAUCUCGAAGAACAAGUACACCAUUAGAGUUCGUUUUGGAGGAUUUUGAUGAUGUGCGCUUAGUUACAGACUUAUCUAAAUACGUAUAACUAGGAUGGACAAUAUUUGUAGGAGCCAUACAAUCCAAUUAGGGGAUUCAGUUUGUCAAAGAUGUUUCCACAUAUCCCUAGCGCUGCUCUUCUAGGUUGCCCCCUGCUUCCUAUCUACGGUCUUCAAGUAAAGCGAUUUAAUGAGUCUCUUGCUGCAGAAAUUCCAACUGCCACAAGAAGGCUGCAGACCUGCGGUUCAUCUUGGCUGAGGUGUCAUACAAUCCAGUUAAGGGAUUCCAUUCAUUGAAGAUGUGGUUGUACUUUCGCACAACAAACUCAAGCACAUCUUCUUAUGUUCUUAGAAACUGGAUGAGUUGUUUUGGACUUUCUUUGGUCUACUCCUCUAUGCUUCUUGUUGGGAAAGUUAGUAUGCAAAAGUUAUGCCCAUCUUCUUAAAUUCGGAUGUAACUUUUCGAGUAGAUGAUUUUUCAUAUAAAAAACUUUUUCAUCCGAGUUAGUAUGCAAAAGUUAUGCCCAUUUUUACAAAUUUCAGAGAGAUUUUGCAAAUAAAGUCAAAAUUCACAUUUGCAAAUUUUCCCAACAACUAGACCACAUAUCACAUGGGAAACUUAUUUUCUUUUAUUUUUUUGACAUUUCCAUCAUUUUCUUUUAUUUUUUUAAAANNNNNNNNNNNNNNNNNNNNNNNNNNNNNNNNNNNNNNNNNNNNNNNNNNNNNNNNNNNNNNNNNNNNNNNNNNNNNNNNNNNNNNNNNNNNNNNNNNNNNNNNNNNNNNNNNNNNNNNNNNNNNNNNNNNNNNNNNNNNNNNNNNNNNNNNNNNNNNNNNNNNNNNNNNNNNNNNNNNNNNNNNNNNNNNNNNNNNNNNNNNNNNNNNNNNNNNNNNNNNNNNNNNNNNNNNNNNNNNNNNNNNNNNNNNNNNNNNNNNNNNNNNNNNNNNNNNNNNNNNNNNNNNNNNNNNNNNNNNNNNNNNNNNNNNNNNNNNNNNNGGCACGAACCGGGACUAAAGGUCUCAACCCCAUUAGUCCCGGUUCGUGCCUCAAACCGGGACUAAAGGUCUAAUCUUUAGUCCCGGUUUGAGGCACGAACCGGGACCAAUGGUUGUGGGCCAGAAGCAAGGCCCAUUGGUCCCGGUUCAUCCCACCAACCGGGACCAAAAGGUCCAGAUGAACCGGGACCAAUGGCCCACGUGGCCCGGCCGGCCCCCUGGGCUCACGAACCAGGACCAAUGCCCCCAUUGGUCCCGGUUCUGGACUGAAACGGGACUAAUGGGCUGACCCGGCCUGGACCAAAGCCCUGUUUUCUACUAGUGAGUCCAAUCUUGUGUUUAUUCCUCCAUGUCGGCAAAGAGUCAGUAGUCAAUCUCCAAGCAAAAUUGCGCACAGUGGGGGGUACAUCACAUCUCCAUAUAUAUUGCCAGCAUUUUCUACUACCAUCUGGCGAUGUGCUAGACGCCUCUGCAGUAUUUCUGUGAGCUACUUCCAAAGCCAGCAUAUAUGUUGAUUUGACCGUGAAGACGCCGAGCUUCCCCGGCCCCCAUGCAAUCACAUCCUCACCUAAUCUUGGAGAUUCCCGUAUCUUUAAGAUUUCUUCCACAUCAGCUGAUAAGAAGUACUGCUGAAGAAGUACCAAGUUCCAAGAACCAUUAUCAUUUAGCAAGUCGGACACAAAAUGAAUGCGACAUCUUCCCUGCAGCGACAUGGGUUUGUAUGAAAAGGGCCUUGGAAUCCAGUUAUCUGUCCCCUUUGUUGGUAGUCAGAGUCACUAGGACAACUAACUGUGUUAGCAUCUAGAGUUGUAACAAGCCACAGUCCGCCUAUCUUGGUUGCGCAGCGAUGAUGCUACCAUCUCUUACUACAAAGUACAUGCCUUGCACCGGAAACAUCGCAACCAUAUGACAUCUAUCCGAGUGGGCGACCACGUGGUGACCGGGCAUCAGGCCAUGGCUGAGGCUGCCUACAACCACUUCUCCGAUGUGCUCAGAAGUGCCACGGAGCAUGACAUCACGCUUGAUCUCCGCGUUUUGCGUGUUCAACACAAUGCUACUCCGUGCGGUGGACCUAGGCCUUCUUCGACGCCUUACCACUCGGCACGCGGCCUCGAGUAUAUCUCUAUACGCAGACGAUGUUGUCAUCUUUUGUCACCCGGACAGCCAUGACAUUACCACCGUGUGAACCAUCCUGCACAUAUUCGGGCUUCAUACAAACUUCGCCAAGUGUUCUGCCACCCCGAUCCGGUGCGAUGAUGACAACAACAUGAUGAUCACAUCUGAGAUGCAGUUCCCCAUCACAUACCUCGGGUUGCCUCUUUCUGUCUACAAGGCCUCCACGACUAGCUUGCUCCCGAUCAUCGACAAGCUCGGCCAAAAGCUCUCCACUUGGCAUGCUUCCAUGAUGUCCAACGGGCAACGGCGACCGCCUUGCUCUCAUGCAUCACGUACUUAGUCCUAACCCGACAUACUUCCUCACCGCCUUUGCUCUCAACCAAUCCAUCCUCAAGAAAUUCAACCGCAUCAUCUGCGGAUUCCUUUGGGCGGGAGGCACCGAAGGCAAUGGGGGUCAGUGUCGUGUUAACUGACAGCAAGUUUGCCGGCCAAUCUCUCUUGGCGGUCUUAGCAUCAGGGACAUUCAAAGGACCGGCAUCACCCUCCGUGCGUGGUUGCUUUGGUUACAGUGCACCGACCCCUUGCAACCCUGGAGCCACUUACACAUACCUCACGACCCAGACGUGACUGCCAUCUUCAGCGUGUCUACGACCUGGGAUCUUGGGUCCGGCGUCACCUGCAGAUUCUGGUCCGACCACUUGAUAGAGGGUAGAUCCGUGGCUGAGAUCCCCCCAGUCCUCGCCUCGUCCCUCAACGCCGAUGCAAGACUCGCACCGUUCGCGAGGGCCUCCACCUUAGAGCCUGGGUGCAAGAGAUUCAUGGAGCACUCGGACCGACGGCCAUGUUGCAAUAUGUUGAUCUUCAGCGUCGUGUGCGCCACAUUGACCAGAUGGGUCGGAUACACUCAAAUGGCGCUGGACCGCCUCCGCUAUGAAAUGUCUAUGAUGGGAGAAUUUAAAUUCUUCUUAGGUCUUCAAAUUCUUCAACAGCGCAAUGGCAUCUUCAUAUUUCAGGAGAAAUACCUCAAGGAUGUAUUGUGGAAAUUCGGCAUGAAAGAUUGCAAAGGCGUCAAAAUCCCUAUGCCCACAAAUGGCCAUCUAUGCACUGAUGAAAAUGGUAUUGACUUUGAUCAAAAGGUAUACCGCUCCAUGAUUGGUUCUUUAUUGUAUUUAUGUGCAUCUAGGCCAGAUAUUAUGCUUAGUGUUUGCAUGUGUGCCCGAUUUCAACCUACACUGAAGGAAUCACACGAUAAGGCUGUGAAGCAUAUUCUUUGUUAUCUAGCUCACACACACCAACACUUGGAUAUGGUAUCCCAAGGGCUCGGCUUUUGAUCUCAUUGGGUACUCACUCUGACUAUGCUGGUGAUCCUGUGGACCGCAAGUCAACAUCAGGCACAUGCCAUUUCCUCAGACGAUCCUUGGUCUGUUGGUCCUCGAAGAAACAGAACUACGUAUCCUAACACUUGUGCAAAGUUGAUGACUUAGACGUGCAACACACGAAGAAACGUUUUUCUUCAUUCAAUGAAGAUUAACACUCUAAGUGUGAAGAAAUUAACGAAGAAUUUGAUUCUCAGAGCCCUUCAACAAUUGUACAUGGUGUUUGAAAUCAUCAUUCUUAUACGGUGGAUCACGCCACCACCAAAAGUUGAAAAUCUUGAAUUUGAGUUUUUACUCAUUUUUGAAUUUCCUCAGUUGUUCAAAUUCUUCAACUUUUCAAUGUCUUCACUCUUUCCGUUGUUGUUCUUCAUUGGCUAUAUAUAUAUAUAUAGGGUGGGUCUAUUAUGAUAACACCCUUCAAGACCCUUAUUCUGCUAACACCCAGCUUAUUCUGCUAACACUACCUACCUCACCGUAGCUACAGACUAACCCAAAAAAACAACUGGACCGAACUGCUCGCGCAAAGGGAAAACCCAACCGACCUUAUCUUCUCAUACCCACUCCCCCCAAUUCCCUCUCUAUCUCUCCCGCAACCUCCCUUGCACGGACGCCGCCUAACCACCACCUCCCAUGUGCCGCCGCGCUGCGACCUCCUCUGCGCCGCCGCGCCGCGACCUCCUCUGUGCGGCCGAGUCCGCUCCCCGGCGACUCCCGAUCCGCAGCUCCCCCCAUCGCCCCUGCCUUCCUCUGCGCGCCGCCGCUCCAGGUCGCGGCCACUGCGUUCCACCAACAGCAGCACAUCAGUACGGCGGUAGUGCGGCCCCGCUUCCAUUCCUCCAUGGCCGACCCCCUACCUCCCACCUUCUCCCUCCCUCCCCGAUCGACAACCUCCAUCACCGCCCCGGUCAUGUUGCCCCUCCCGACCCCGCGCCGCCGGAUCCGGGCAACCACGCCGGCGUGCCCUUCCACGAGCUUUCCCGUCGUGACCCUACCACGAGCUGCUCCAGCCCGACCCUGCUUCUUCAACAACGGCACGGUGGCAACUCUCCUUAGUUCUCUCCUGCACCGGGUUCGCGAGCUCCGUUCACGGGCUCGCCGGAUCUCGUGAUUGGGGCGCUGGCGACGUGCUCUCCUACUCCACCGCGCCCCUCCUCUACUUCAGCUCAUGUGCCUGUGCCUCUCGUGGACUCAUCGGCGCACAGGCCGCGCUGGAUCCAUGCUAGUUCGAGGCCCCGACGGCCUCCUCUUCCUGCUAAGCCGCCGAGAUCCGUCGGGGUAUCAAGUUGUUUUGUCGGCCCAAUACUCCUUCUACCUUCCCUUGCCGGCGGUCGUGCAACUUCGGUGAACACCGCUACUCGCGCGCGGAUGACGACGGCUUAGUGGCACUGCAGUUCGCUUUGCAGGGGAUCCGUUGAUGCGGCCGUGGAGUUCGGCCCACAGGUGCAUGAAGUUAUCUUGCCCCCCUCCCAUAGUUUACCCUUCCGCAUGAGCCCCAUGCUGUAGUCCAUUGGGAAGAAGCUCGUGGUGCGGAUGCUCAGUGACAGUGCUGGUGCGUUUCAGAUUUUGUUUUUCUGCAAUUUGUAGGCGACGCUGGAGCCUUGCAGUCCAUUGGCUCGGGGGAGAGCAGUGGAGAGGACACACGUGCGUGUAGUUCCCUGUCCAUUGAAAAUGUAGAAGCCCAUCUUGCUGCAGUGUAUGUGAGCAUAUGGCCUGCAAGUGCUGCUCUUUUCCCAGAUUGAAAACAUUGCGGUGUGGUUGGCUGGCCAUCGACGUGCACUUCGCUUUGGGGGGCAGUACGUUCUUUGUGGAUGUGCACUUCGUUUGGCCCGAGCGGCAUGAAGCUCCAUUUGCGCGCAUGUGUGGCUCGGCUAACUAGUUUGUGCAGUUCGCAUGAUACCUUUAUUAUGUGAUGCCUCCCUAGUUGCUGGAGUUCACUUCUUUGUAUUUAUUGAAACAUCAUGUAGUGCACUGUGAAACUCUCUGUUGUUCACUUGUAAAAACAAAUAGCGGUUCCCUUUGUAAAAAAAGUGCAGCCCCUUAGUGGUUCACCUUGUAGAAAAUGAGAAAGAAAUCCCCAUGGGAGGUUCACUUCUUUUUCCAAUGCAUUUUGUUUUGUUUGUGGGAUGAUUGAAAAAAGAAGUUCACUCCACUUGUUUAGUAGCUCAUACCCCUUUGUAUGAAAUGCAAUUUGUUUCGUGUGUCUCAAAAUCAGUCGACUACAUCAACACGUGCAGUGCGUUUGGUUUUUGGAUGUGGUUCAUUUUUUAGAGUGAUGUUGUUCACUUGUGCCGAACAUGAAAGCACAAAAAAAAUUAGCAAAACAAUAAAAAUAGUAAUGCGGUUCACUAUGAUAUAUGAUGUGGUUCGCUUGCUCGCGUCUCUGCGGUCCACUCUUGUUCAUAAAAAAAUUGAAAAAAACCAUCAAAAACUCGUCCGAGAAAAAUUUACAUCCGACAAAGGAAACCAUGAAGUUCACUUGCCUGUCUGAUGCAGUGCGGUUUCAUCCGAUGCAGUGCGGUUUUCUGUCGAAUGACGUUCACUCACCGAUUUGGGUGUCGCAAAAAACAGUGUCCGCAUAUUCGUAAUUUUAAAAUUUCUUUUAAACCGUAAGGAAUUAGAGAGAGUGUUCUACAUGAAAAAGUUGCGUCUCGUCGAUAUCUUUCCAAUGCCAUAUCAUUUGAAUCAUUUUGACAAGCAGUUUGUAAAAGUUUGGCAAAAAACGACUGCUGCCACUCAUCGUCCGCCGCACCAUUUUAAAAAUUAACUUAAAACCGUAGGGAAUCUCGAAACCAUUUCUACAUAUGAAAGUUGCGCCUUGUCCAUAGCUUUCCAACGAUGUAUUACACGCCUCAGUUCGAUAAACGGUUCAAAAACUAGAGUGAAAACAGUAUCGAACAUUGCAAAAAAUUUCAAAAACGUAAUUUCGCGAUUUAGUAAAUUUGAAACUGCUCAAAACCGAAACGAAUUAGAGAAAAUAAUAGGUAUGGAAAAGAUGUGCCUCAACGAUAUCUUUCCAACGGCGUAUCAUUUGCUUUAUUCCGAUGAGCGGUUUUGAAAAAAUCAUGAAAAUACGCUCGCUGCCACUCGUCAUCUGCAGCACCGUUUUUGAAACUGCUCUUAAACCGCGAGGAUCUUGAAAAGUGUUCAACAUGGCAAAGUUGCGCCUAAUCCAUAGCUUCUCCAGGUAUAUUACACGCAUCAUUCUGAUAAAUGGUUAAAAAAUUAGAGCGAAAAAACUACUAAAAAUACUGCAGCACACUUGGUUCAAACAAUGACGUGCACUUGCGUUGAGCGUGCACUUCGGAAGUGUUAUCAGAAUAACUAUUCUGCUAAUAUUAGCAUAAUAGACAGACUGUAUAUAUAUAUACAUCUGGUUACCCUAUGAUGAAUUCAAGCGGUUGAACUGAUGCUUUCUGUUCCUGUUAAAAAUCGUCUUUUUUAGUUCAAAAGUUUUUACAAUUUUUUUAUCAAAAUAGGGCGUGUAAUAUAUCAUUGGAAAGCUCUUGACAUCCACAUUACAAUAUUAUAAUUUUUUUUUGCAAAAAAAUUAAGAUUUACGAGCAGUUUUGAAAAAACCGUUUUUUUUUCAAACUGAAAAUGCGAAUCGUAUUUUGGACUUAAUUUUCAAACGGUUUGUUGGAAUUGAGCAAAUGAGAUGGCAUUGGAAAGCUUGUGAAAAUCCGCAUCUUCUAUAUUUCUACUAUUUUUUCAAAUUCUAUACGAUUUAAAAGUAAUUUGAAAAAGAGUGAAAUUCUGGGUGAAAUGUUUUUUCACUAUUUUUUUGCAAAUGGUUUGUAGGAUUGAUACAAAUGAUAUGGUGUUGGAAAGCUAUGGAAAAUGUGCAAAUUUUGCGUAUAGAAAGUUUUUUCUAAUCCUUACGGUUUAAAUACGAAUUCAAAUACGGUUAAAAUUGAUUUUGAACGUGUUUUUUAAAAAGUUUGUCGAAAUGGGGAAAAUAAUAUACCGUUGGAUAGCUAUCGAAAAUGCAAAACUUAGUCAUGUUGGACGUUUUCUCUACUUCGCAACCGUUUAAGAGUAAUCUUGAAUACGGCAUGACGGAUCCUGCUAUUUUCUCGUCUGAAAAACAGAUUAGUCGUACUGAUAUAUGUGUAUGUUUGUACUGAGCUAUUUUUUGUAGAGUAAUUUUAAAUGGUGCCGAAAAAAUGUACUUAUACUGAUGCUUGCAUGGUUUUGUACUAAACGUGUUUUCACUAACUAGACUUUGCUCUGUUUUUUCGUGAGAACCAUCAUGCUGUUUUUUUGUGAGAAAAAAUAGAGUACUUGUACUGAUCUUCGUGUGUGUUUGUACUAAUGUAUUCUUCAAAGAGUAAUUUUGAAAGGUUACGAAAAAAGAGUACUUGAACUGAUGUCCGUAUGGGGUUGUACUGAGCGUUUUUUCACAGACUAGGCUUUACUCUAUUUUUUUACUGAAAAUUGUUUCAUCAAUUGUUCGCAAAUGAUAGUACGAACUAAGAUAUGUGUUGGUUUGUACUGAGCAUUUGUUUCAUCAUUUGUUCGCAAUUGAUAGUACGAACGGAGCUUUGUUCAUUUUUAUACUGAGCAUUCUUGUCAGUGCCAGGAUCUCCGGAUUUAUGUUGUUUUGUUCUGCGAACUUCCUCAAAAUUUUAUUGGUAAAUCACACCGUUUUUUUUCUUUUGCUAAAUUUUUGUCCUCUGAACUUGUGACCUAUGGAGUUUGUACUGAUAUGAAUCGUUUUGCCGAACCGCCACAAUUUUUUGUGUAUUGAAUCACUAUAUAACUUAGAACCAAAUUGUUUUUCUUAACAUAUAUUUGAAUUGUUUCUAUAUGUACAUUGAAUUGGGGAAGAGUAGCAAUAGUUAUACAUACUUUAUGGAUAGUAAUACAUGAAUUUCUUGGUAAACUGAAGAAUAUACUCUGGACCGUAAUACAUGUCCUCUCGAGUUUGUACUGAUGUGAAUCCUUUUGAACUUGCUCUCGACGGUAAUACAUGACCUCUCGAGUUUGUACUGAUGUGAAUCCAUUCGAACUUACGUGGCUUACAUCAUUGAACGGACUCUAUUCUUCUCACUACCACCAUUGUUUUGUCCAUUUCUUUUUGGACUUGCAUGGCUUACAUCGUUGAACGGGCUUAGGUGGAUAUGUACUAAUGAACUACUAUGAUUUGUAGCUCUCAGGAAAUGUAAUCCUUUCUUUCCCUGUUAUUCUGAAUACCAAACAGCAAAAAAUCAGUUCUCAUAAGCACGAAAAAAUUAUAUAUGUACCCCUAAAUUUUGCAGCUAUUUUGUCCUCUUUCAUUUCGAAAAAAGCAUACAAAAAGCAAAAGCACAAACUAUACAAAAGGUUUUAGACACCAAACUAGUAGAGAAUUAAAAAUAGGCAUCAGGCAGCAACUUGCUAAACAUAGCACGAGUCAUAUACAUAUGCAUUUCAUCCCAUUAUACUUCUCCACCCGCAUGGAAAGUGAGAGAACCUCCCUACAUGCAUAUAUAGGCAUCAAACUCCCUCUGUACCUGAACUAUAUUUUUGUUUGAUAUAUAUUAUGAACUCCUCUCGUCGAUGUACAUGAACCUGCUGUGCAGAGAGAUGAAAUGUAGUACAUCAGUCUAGCUUCAUUCAGCUAGAGAGAAACAUGAAAAAAUGUUCAGUUUUUUAGACGGCUUUCCUCUUUUUCUUUGUCCAAUCUGCGCCACGACUGCCACCAUCCUGCAUGCAAGCUUAAAAUUAAUUGAAGCCACCAAACAUGCACUUUCAUGAGACUUUGCUACUAUAAGUCAGCGAACAUAUCUUUUAGUAUUAAACCAAAGGCACACUUAUUACCCAGCACUCUUGUUCAGUUCAGAGCAUCAUCAAUAAGAUAAAGAUACGAAAACAUUAAGCCAAUAUAGAACAACUGGAUUGAUUUGAUUCAAAUUUUUACUUUCAAUGCAUUGUAGGCAACAGCCGAUCCAAGUCAGAACUGAUGUGAUUUAUUCCAUCGAACUGAUAUGAAAGUUUAUCUAUACUGUUCUGUUUUUUAACACACAUGUUUUGAACUAUUCCCGCUUUUUUCAUUAUGAAUUGAUGACAUAACACAUGUUGAACUGUUACACAAGAGCAAAUUCAGAAAUACAUAACAAUGGUGUACUCAAAAUAUGUGCAUUUUAAGGAACAAAACUUUCUGAACCUUCUAUACGAAAAACUUCAACUAUCAGUCCAAAGAGAUUUGAAGUUAAACAAUCAUUUCCCUUACUGAGUGUUAAGGAAAACGAAACCAGAGAUGACCUCGCCGGCAGUAGGAGUAGCGAUGGCUGCCAAGGCGACGCGUUGGUACAUGUACUAAACAUCUGCUCAAACCUGUUGUAACAUCUACUUCAAGCUUUUUCUAAAUCAUUGUUGGGAGUAGAGGGUUUUAAAAGAAAAUACAGAGUGCCAAAGAAAGAAAGGAACAACCUAUUUAUCUAAAGGACUGUGAUAUUUGGCACACGUGUGCCAUAUAAGGAAAACUGCCACACCUCUAUUUCUUUCAUUUUAAAGUACCAUACGAUCCCUCGUUCUUUGACCCCGCCUCUUCCCAAAUUACCCCGCAGGCUCGCCUGAGAAACCCGCUUCUCCCGCACAUCUCGGGAGCUUACCCCCGAGAAAACUGCCACUUCUUCACGUCUACCACAUGAUCUCUCCUCAGGACAAAGUUACCAUGAUAUUCAUAUGAAAGUUAUUAGGCCUGUGUUGCAUAGCUUACCGUACUAUUUACAUGGAACGUAUCAGGUACUAUGCUUCAACAACUAGACCCUUUCAAAGUUACCACUAUGUUUUGUACACAAGUUAUAAGGUCUUCGAUGUGCAAAAUACCGUGGUACUUACACAUAAGUUAUCAGGGUAUAUGUACAUCAACCUCCCCCCGGUCAAAGUUACCAUGGGGGAUUGUACAUGAGUUACCAGGUCUACGGUUCGUAUAUUAUCAUGGUACUUGCACCUAAAAACCUGGGUGUGUUUCGGUAGCUUUUCUCAUAGGUCAAAAAUUACCAUGAUGUUUUUGCGUAACUUAACAUGCCUAUAGCACGUGUGCCCCUCGUGACACUAAACAUUAUGUGACUUUCUCGUGGCACGCCAUGUGUUGUGUUCAUCCAAGAGGCCCACGCGCGAGGCAAGUGUAUUUUUUUAACAACUUAUAUAUUUUCCUUUGGUAAAAAAGUUAUCAUCAUGUUUAUAUUGCAAGUUAUCGGUUAUGCGGUGCUUAUAUUAUCAUGUUAUUUACACAAAAAUUAUUGGGGAUGUUUUGAACAACUUUUUCCCGAGGUAAAAAGUUAUCAUGGUGAUUCUAGGUAACCUAUCAAGCCCGUAGUGCUUAAAAUAUCAUGCUAUUUACAUAAAAUUUAUCAAGGAUAUGUUUCAGCAACAAAUUCCACCCCCCCAUGGGUCAAAAAUUUAUCAUGGUGUUUAGUUAUCGCAGUGCAUAUGUUUUCAUACUAUUUACACAUAAAAAUGCCAGGGGAGGGAGGUAUACUACCGUGCUAUUUACACAGAAGUUACCGGAGUAUCUUAAAAAAAUUCCCUACGGUCAAAGUUACCAUGGUGCUUCUACCUCCGUUAUUAGAUGUGCGCUGCGUAUAUUACCAUCUAUUUACACAUAAACUAUCAGGUAUCUUUUCACAUUUGUUGUCCCCAAUGGUUAAAGUUACCACGAUGUUUGUAUCUAAAUUAUCAGGUCUAUGGCGUGAAUGUUAUCGUACUAUUUACAGAAAUUACCGGAGGGCGGGUUCAACAAAUUUAUUCACAAUGAUCAAAGUUACCACGAUGCUUGAAACAAAAAGUUGCUAAAGUAUUAAAGGCAAAAACAUGUCAAAAACAGUAUUACCCUUAGAAUGUUCAACAAUGAGUAUCAUAGGUGAGGUGGUUAGCUCCCUUUGUUAAUUACCUGCAGACCAGAGAUCAAAUCCUAGUCUAAGCAUUAUUUUUGCUCAAAAUUGAGAAGGCAUGUGGGGCCAUAAAUGACGAUUACGAAAAUUAGGAAGGCACAAGCGGGAGAGAAUUGAUGACAUUGGAUGCGUGUGGCAGUUUCGCAAUCUGCCACACGGUUGCCAUAUACAUAUUUCGUUAUCUAAAUAGUGUGUGGAAUUGUUUAUAUGGAUGAACAAAACAUUACUUGAAGUAGAGGUUCUGCCAAAAGAAAGAAAGAGCAUCUUGCAGGUUCAAGUUUGAGUAGUUGAGCCAGACAAUUUAUCGUAGGUGUUGUAUGUAAUAAUAAUUUAAUUAUUUUCAUAGGAGUACGACUCAUAGUAUCGGCAUGGAGGUCGUGAACAAAAGCAGAAGUAUCCUUAAUUUUUUAUUAGUGACUGUAAUUUUCCUUAUAAAGAACAUACUACUCUCGUGUAAACCCAUCCCUCUACAUAUGUACUGUCAGUUUUUUGCAAAUCGAACAAAUUGCGUAUGUAGCAAGUGCUAGUAUCUUGAAAUGCAGUUAUGCGUAUGCCCCUAAGAGUAGGUGAAUAGAAAACUCGAACAAAAAAUAGCUUUCUCCUAAUAGUAAUCGUGCUAGAACUCAUUCAAAGCUGAAGUGAACUAUAAUUAUAACCAGCCUUUGUCAAUAGAAGUCCUACUAAUCACAAAUUCCUCUAAUUUCCUCCAGACUCAAGAUCAAGAUGGUGGACAGUGCACGGAUAUUACAAAAUUAACAAUUCACAAUACGAAUUAAGUAUCACAAAUUGCAAGGCACAAGUUUUGAGCACAUACAAUCUUUCAUUGGUAGGCAGCACUACAACUUUGGAGGUCAACACAUUAGGCAAACUCUUUGGAAUUAAGAUAGUGAAAAGUAAAUGUAUGCGAAAGCAAGCUUCCAUUCGGUAAACCAUCAAGCCCAGAUUGCUGCACUCCGAAUUUCCUUUAGACUCAUACGCUACCUUCAGAUCAGCAAGCUUUAUGUUCAGCAAGUGUGUAACAAAACAAGAAUUGAACUGGAAUAGAAUUUGAAAUUUGAACUGAAAUACAAUACGAAAACUAAACUGAGUGUACUUUCAGAUUUUCACAUGGGCAUUAGUGCAUGAAGCAGCAAUGAAAUUGAACUGAAACAAAUUUCAGUUCAGCAAACUUAUAUGAAGUUAUAUGAAGCAUGCUUGAAUGCGUUGACCCGAAGCAUGCUUGUAGGAGAGUAGUGGCACUGGAAGGGAGCCUUUUGCUGAACUUAUAUGAAGUUAUAUGAACUUGUCUAACUUAUAUGGAACUUAUAUGAAGCCUUUUGCUGAACUUAUAUGAAGUUGACCAGACAAGAUGAUACCGGGGCGCAUCAGAAUAUAGGAGAGUGGUGAUGCAAGUCAGUCACCGGCUGGAUAAUGAAGCGGGUGGUAUGCGGCAUGGAGACAACCAGAAAAUGGGACAUCCAGGGGUAGGGAGCGUCGUCGCUGAAGAUCAGAGAGUGUGGAGCGCAGGCGUGCGGUGUCCCCCGGCCGGCAACGGAGACGAAGGAGAUCGGGGAUAGUGCACUUUUUUCGUCAGCCUGCAAGAUGCUCAAGGACCAGGACAACAUGUAGUUUCAGAAUUACAGAUUGUGGUCAGCUAUAGGAUGUUUCUGGGACCAUGUUUUAGCUACGAGAGAGCAACAACAUCACAUCAUGAGAGAGAGGAUGCAGCAUCAAAAAUUCAGGAGAAAGAUCAGAGCAGAGCAGAAGUAAAUAUGUUUUGAGGAGAUGAACUGACCAGGAUUUAAAUGAACUCUCACUAGCAGUAAUUUUUGUACUUCGCAUGUAGUACUACAUGGACUUGCUGUAAAAUACAUGGACCAUGUAGUAAUUUUGAAGUUAAUUAUAUGAUCAUCUCAGGGAGCUCAAGUUGUACUGAAAGCUCAAGUUGGACUGAAACUCACUCGAUAACUAAAACUCCUAGGGCGAGGGGUGGGAUCCAGGGUGCUGCUAGCAAUGAAUGGCCUGGGGUGGUGGCGUUGAACGGCCUGGAGUGGUGGCUGUGAACAGCCAGGGUGCUCCGGCGGCAGAGCCCCACCGGAGAUGGUGAUGCAAGCAGGAGGUCGGGAAGCAGUGGUGCCGGUGGUCGGGGUUGUCCAAUGCACACGGCACACCAGUACAGGAAGUUGAUUCAUCACCCAUCCACAGUUUUUUUCCUUUUGGGAAUCCAUUGAACUGAAAAAAGCUACAUGUGAGCUGAAAGUAUGAAAAUAACACAUCUUUGAAAGAAUAAAGAACUAGCUUUAACUUAUCUAUGAAAGAAUACACCUCCGAGGAACUAGCUUUGAACAUAUCUCUGAAAGAAUAGAGAGCAUGCAAAGUUCAAGGAAAGAAUAAGCAAAAUGGCACACUAGUACGCAGUAGUACGAGUCCAGUCAUGUACGUGCUAGUAUUAGAUUUGAAUAGUAGCUAGAAUUGAAGUUCAGGUAACCAUGGCACACACAUCAUACAGUUUUAGUCAUGUAUGCACACACACUGUAAUAGUAGCUGCAAUUAAAGUUCAAAUAACCACGGCACCCAUAACAGAACAAGAAUCAGUCUAGCAGCUAGGCAAGCAAGCUUCAUCAGCAUGAAUACACAUCAGCGGCAAGCUAGAACACGCUAGUAGGCUGUAGAAGUCUCCUUGUAAUUUUUCAAACAGAAGUGCUUUAGUUCAGUUCAGUAGUAAGGCAUGGAAAAAGAAAAGCAAUGGAAUAAACUAUAACCGAGCCAAAUAUGUAAUUUCAACAACCUAGACCUCAUUGCUUGACUUCAGUAGUAAUACAUGAUCAUCAGUUCAAUAUAAACAGACUGAUGUUAACAUCAUCGUACAUCCAUUGCCGGUUCAUCUGCGUGCAUUAUAUAUAAUUAAGUGUGUCAAAAACCAUUACAGAAUAGCAUGAAUACAAAAGACCAAAUUAAUAGAAGUUCAUCAUCACAUUAAAACCAAAGUACAGUAGUGAUCAAAUGUUGUUACUGAAAAAAUAAAUACAUAAAGUUCAUACAUAUAUAGUUCUCAUUGAACAACAUAUAUAUAGCUCUCUAGAGCAUCUAAUUAAACCAUACAUUGAAACAAUGUAAAAACAUUUCAAUGCAACAACAAAUGCGAUCAUAAUCGCAACUAAGGUAACAAUUGAUCCAACGGCAUAAUGAUGCCAAGCCUCGGUAUGAAUGGCAUAUUUUCUAAUCUUUCUAAUCUUCAAGCGCAUUGCAUCCAUCUUGAUCUUGUGAUCAUUGACGACAUCCGCAACAUGCAACUCCAAUCCCAUCUUCUCCUCCUUAAUUCUUUUCAAUUUUUUCUUCAGGUAAUUGUUUUCUUCUUCAACUAAAUUUAACCUCUCAACAAUAGGGUCGGUUGGAAUUUCCGGUUCACAUACCUCCUUGAUGAAAACAUCUAUGUCAUGUUGGUCGGCAUAAUUUUCAUACACACUAAAUGAACAAAAUAGUUAUAAAAUAUAAUAUAUACCACAUCGGAAUCAUAGACAGGACGAGGGCCGACGGAGGCGGAUACCAAAACCAUCGCACUAUAUGAUAACAAAAAAUAAUAAAAGUAAUAAAAUUAUACAAGUAUCUAUCUAAAUCAUACAAGUAAGAACUUUUUUCUUUUAGAAGAUAAGAACAAGAGGCUCACCACGGUGGUGCCAGCGACGAGAUCGGCGCGGGCGAUCGACAGCGGUGAGGACGGGGACGGGACAGGAUGGACCGCCAAACCUAGACAAAUCUUAAGGAAAAUGGAGUUUGGACAAGGAGCUUCGAGAGGAGAAAGCUUAAGUAUGUCUCGGACAUUUCACCGAACACCUCAUGUGCAUAGGAGGUGAGCUAGAGCACCACAAAGCUCUCCCACGGCCGGCCAAAAAAUAGAGCAAUGCACUGCUCUGCUCGCGGGCAGGGGGAUAUAUAGGCCUCUCUUUAGUCCCGAUUUGUGGCUAGAACCGGGACUAAAGGACCCCAUUUGGUCCCGAUUCCAACCACCAACCGGGAUUAAAGGUUGUGGGCCAGGAGCGAGGCCCAUUUGUCCUGGUUCGUGUCUGGAAGCGUGACCAAAGGGGUCAGACGAAUCGGGACCAAUGGCCCCCGAGGCCCUGCUGACGCCCUGGCUUUAUGAACCGAGAUUGAUGCACCCAUUAGUCUCGGUUCAUAGGGAAACCGGGAUUAAUGCCCUUUUCAGACCUGGACCAAAGCCCUAUUUUCUACUAGUGUUGUAGGCCUCGCUCACAUGAAGUAAGAACGGUCGGUGACGAUGCCUCAUAAAUCCAUGUGGUGCAAUCAUAGUUGGUGGUGCAGGGGAGGAAGUAACCUUCUUUGAUGGGGAUUCCAUCGCACGCUUGUUCGUCAUGUAGACGCGUCCUCUUAAUUUCUGUUCAGCUUUACAGGCAAGACGAAACAAAUGAUCGAUAGAAUAUAGUCUUCAUGCAUUAUUAUGUCUUGUAUAUCAUGGUUUAAACCUUUCCAAAAUCGAUUCAGAAAAUCUUCUUCGCAUUCUUGUAAGCCAGAACGAAACAAAGCAAUACACAAAUUGUCAUAAUAUUCUUCAACAAUGAUAUUGUCUUGUUCUAAACGUUUUAAUUUUCAAAGCAAAUCACUGGCAUGAUAUGAAGAACAAAUCGGUCUCGCAUAACAAGUUUUAAAUCUUUCCAAGUAGAAGGCCUAUUAUCAAUAUUUUUCCUGCAAUAAUUUCUCCACCAAACUGAAGCAAAACCUAAAAACAUCUUAGUGACAACAUUUAUUUUCUUAUGCUUGGGAAGUUCAUGGCUAGCAAAUAUUUCUUCUACCUCAAUUUCCCAAUCAAUAUAUGAAUCAGGGUCAUAUUUACCCUUAAAAUUUGGCAAAGAGGUAACAUGAUGAUGUGUGUUUCUACCAUGAUGUAUAUCAUGUGACGAUCGUCGUACCUUUUGUGGUGGGAAAGAGUGAUCUUUAUCAAUAUAUGGCAAGUCAUCUCCCACAAUAGAUGCACCCCAACUGUCAACCGCUCUAGAAUCUGCCAUGGUUAGUACCACACAAAAACAAAAAUAAUAAGUAUAAUGUUUCUAUAGUACUACUUGGAGGUGGCAGAAAAAUUCUCUCAACACUCUAGCAAUUACCAAGCUCUUACCAGAUCUUACCGUGCUGCAGUGGUUGUCGGCCUUUGGCGCCUUCAAAAGUUAUCAAAGUUGGAUAUAGUGAUUGCCAAAUCACCGAACAAGGUACAAUAUAGAAAGUGGAGCUUGGUGAAGGUUUUCUCAACUCACAAUAUCGGUGGCACAAUUUUGCUAAAAGUAAUGCAAGAUGAAUAAUUGCUCAAACUCCUAACUAGUGCUGAUAGUCGACUAGUAAGAGAUAAAAUAAUCUAAGCCCAGAUACUGAAUCAAGCGAGAGGGAACUGACGAAAAUAUAAUAGCUCCAAGUAGCUAGAUAUAAGUGAGGUAUGAACGUAGUGUAUGGCAACCAAGAGCAGACAAAAAAAUCCAACACUUAUCACUUAUAUGAAUAGAGCAGGCUGAACAGCAAAAGAGAUUUUUCAAAAGAUGCUAGCUGGCCAAAACUUUGCAUCAAAUUUUUUUAUUCUUUUUUCUGAAUUUUCCUUUUUCUUCAACUUUCAGGCCGGCCGCUAGUAGAAGUCACGGACACAAAUAUCUGACCAAACAGGUAUGAAGGGGUGGCCGGGGCACAUCUGGUGUAGCCCAUUGGCGCUGUCCAGCGGUAAAAGAUCUCAUGCCAUUGCUGAAAUUCACGUCCCCCACCCAGGGCAUUUUGGUCAUUUUGCAUCUAUGCCCUUUUCCGAUUCGCUGCAUCCUCCCCCAAUGAGUGCCUCCCUCAUUUUUCUAUCCCUCACAUCUCUCUCGGGAGAGAGUCGCUGCCGCUAGUCAUCCUCCCCGUCUGCCGCCGCUGCCGCCAACCAUCCGCAGCCGCGCCACCAUCCCCUCCCCGUUCCUCUCCCGUAGCUGAGCCAGCCAUGGCCAGGAAGAAGUGCAAGUCCUCUUCCUUCCUCCCUCACCCCUGAUCUGAAUCCUCUCCCGGAACCCCAGCCAGCCGCACGCAUCCCAUAUGGCGCCGCCCAGCUCGCAGCCCUCGGCCGCCGAGCCAUCGCGAGGCUCCUCGCGCAAGCGCACGACCUCCUCAAAGGCUGCGCCCGAGGCCGACCUGGAGUUCACCGUCACCAAGGAAAGGUAAGGGGAGGGGAGGGGAUGGAAGGGAUCGAGCGACCAGGUGAGGAAGCGCCCAGAUCCACAGGGCCAUCGACACUUCGUCAUCGACCUCAUCCGCGACCGUCCUCGAGGUCGGCCAUGGUGGUCCGGCCGGCAACAGCCAUGGAAGGAGAGGCCCGAAUCCCUGGCCCUCCAAGUACGCGCCUGCUGCAGGCCAUCUCCGGCGAGCUCAUCCACAGAUCUCCAACUAUGGUGCGUGCGCAUGAUACCUAAACCCCUUGUCUUGUCGGUUUCUUCAUCUUCCCUCCUUGUGAUUCCUUGGUUUGUUUUGUGCGCAGUUGCUCCGAUCUGGAAGAGGUGGUGGAGCUUUUGUUGUUGCUGCUGUAGGUGGACGAGGCACCACCCUCUCUUUCUACUUCUGGACACAACCUGGUGGUGAUUGCAAAUUUCAGUGUUAAAAAAUUCAGUUCAAUUCAGUCAUGUUCUUUUUCUUUUGUGGGGAAAUUCAGUCACAUUCAAUGUUCAACUUUUAGAGUUAACAAACUGUUGUUAUGACCACUAUGGUUUAGAUGUUCAGAAAUUCAGACAAAUGGUAUGAUGAAAUGAGCCACCUUUUAACCCCCUACUAAACCUACCGUGAACGUGAGAGAGCCAAUGCAGGGAGGUGUGGACAUUUUACCAUGUUCAUAGGAAGAAAUCAACAUAAAAUACACAGCUUGUAGAUGAUUCGUCAACCACCAUCAAACACGACUUGUAACUUUCUGGACUAAACUGAACCGUGCAAUUGACUCAAAAUAAAACUAAACCGUGCAAUUGACUCAAAAAUAAAUAGUAAAUAUACUUUGGUUGUGUCUGCAGAAUUGCAUUAUGGAAAGAUGUGUGUGAGGUUACCCCAUCGCCACUGGUUCCAACUUUGUCCAUCAUGUCGCUCUGAUGAGAAGACCUUGUCCAUGUUUCAUUAAUAGGGCAGAGUGCUGCUGAAGUAUCUAUGUUGAACAAUUAUAACAGUACCAAGUAAGUUUGCUCCAAUUGCAUUUGAUGCAGAAGGCACAACACCGCCAUCAUGCGUCAGGUUCAGUAGAAGGCACGACACCGCCACGCUCUCCUCCACUACAAUGCCAUGCACCCGGUAAUUAAACAUGCUUUCUCUUCAUUCNNNNNNNNNNNNNNNNNNNNNNNNNNNNNNNNNNNNNNNNNNNNNNNNNNNNNNNNNNNNNNNNNNNNNNNNNNNNNNNNNNNNNNNNNNNNNNNNNNNNNNNNNNNNNNNNNNNNNNNNNNNNNNNNNNNNNNNNNNNNNNNNNNNNNNNNNNNNNNNNNNNNNNNNNNNNNNNNNNNNNNNNNNNNNNNNNNNNNNNNNNNNNNNNNNNNNNNNNNNNNNNNNNNNNNNNNNNNNNNNNNNNNNNNNNNNNNNNNNNNNNNNNNNNNNNNNNNCAAGAUCUCAAAGAGGUGCCGGCGAACCCAGGCCACACCCAACGCGCUGGGGGGCUGUUGGGGGCGCCAGCGGAAGCAACAGCCAAUCAUAUUCCUCCAUGUAUCAUUUUUUCUGGUCCACUCAUUCACUUUUUGCCUGGCGACUGUCCUGGGGGCACCAACGGCUGGGAAACCGUCCUUGUGUUUCAUUCGGCGAAGGUGUUUUGCCCCCCAGGACGUGCUAUAUUUGGCCCGACGAUUGUCCUGGGGGCUCCAACGGUUGGAGAUGCUCUAAUUCAUUGUAUUUGCAUGUUUCCAGCAGCCAUGUAUCAAAAAAAGCUUCAGCUUUGGGUUGUUGAUUUAGCAGCAUCAAUCAUUAAUUGUUCUGCUAUAUAUGUUCUUAACCAUGACAACCUGAUUAGGCUCUUAGUUUAUUAUGGUCUUUGUUCUGGGUGGAUCUCUGACUAUUCUGGGUGGGCAUGAAUCUCUUCUUUGUUUCUUCAUCUCCUCUUAUUCUGAUUCCUGCAUUUGUUUUAUGUGAAGGUUGCUCCGCUGAGGACAAGCUGCUUCUGCAGGUGGACGGGCCCUCAAGGCUGCUCUGCCUAUUCCUCCUGCUACCCCCACACGUGGUGAGCCCCAUCCGUUCUCGAGCUACCCCUGCAAAUCUGAUGUGAUGUGCACAAAAUACUUGCAAUUGUUCUCGACACAGGAGCAUGUCAUGUAUUGUUCUAUUUGAAUGUGCAAUUUCAUUGCUUCUGUGAUGUUUGAUGCUUGCUUCACAAGAGGGAAAUCAUGGAUAUAAACUGUGCUUCCUUUCAAGUUGAAUAGUAAUGAUCACCAUUUGGUUCCAUUUUCUCCUCUGCAUCCAGUGUUCACUCUCUCAUAGAUGUCCAUAUAUACAUAGUUCUGAUCUCCUUUUUUCUGCGGCUCCAUACAGCAAACACAAAGCCGUCGAUGCAUUGAGGGCUCAAUGUCGUCUCCGCCGGCUGAGCGGCAAGCCGGGGUUGGGCCUGCACACCGUCUAUCAGCACCCUCCCGUGUCUCCAUUCACGGAUCUGCAGGUCAACCCCUCUUCUCCUCCUAUCCACGCAUCUUCUUUUCCAGAGCUAGGUGUAUGGUUGCAUGGCAAUUUGUGUUUAGGGGCUCACCAUGUUCUGCUUGCCCUGGUUGGCCAAUGAGGCUUUCCUUUUCUUGUAAAGGCCAAAUGUACAAUUCUCUAUGCUUUAUAUUUUUGUAGUUCCUUUGUUUCCAUGCUAGUUUUUUGAUGGGGUGUAAAUAUAUGCUUUUUUGUUCCUUGUCUGGAUUCAGGUAGGGCCUAACAUUAUUGUUCCUUUGUGCAUGGAAAUGUUGGUGGUUUUGUUCCUUUGUGUAUGGAAGGGGGCCUUGAUUAGAAUUUUUAACGUUUGAGUUGUAAUUAGUGUUUUUGUUACACAUGAAAACAUAUGGUUGUUUGUCCAAUCACAUAUGAAAAAGAGAUGAUUGUUUGUCCAACAAUUUUCUUUCUCUGUGAUAGUUUUACUAGAAAUAAAGCAUAGUCACUAUUACAUCCUAUUUUAUAUCUUGUUGUGUCGUGAUAUCUAUAUAGACUCUGUCUACGUCCUUUUGACAUUCCAAGUUUUGUUUUUCUAUGGCUCAAUUAGUUACCCCGUAUCAAGAGAAAUUUAACUGGUAUUUGCGGUAGAGUUAGCUGAAUUCAUGAAGCAAUGAUUUAGUUAUUAUUAAAGCUGAAACACAACAUGUUUUGACAAAUGCGUUCUAAGUAAAGCCUCCAACUAACAUAACCAAAAACAUAUUCUUUAGGUUUAUCAUCUAUUGAAGUAUUAUGUAGAAUUUUAAAUCAUACGAGGCAAAGCAAAUGAGCUCUAUGCACUUUCCAUGUAGCACAAAACAAAAAUAAUCAUGUAUAUUUUGGAUGCACCUAGAUAUACUCAUCAGCAAGGCUGAGGUUAUAGGGCAGGGCACUCACCCACAUUGUCGACAUCUCCGUCACUAUGAUCACCCACAUGAUGGACAAUUCCCUUCUUUCUUUUCUCUGUGGCUAUUGACACUUAAUGCUAUUACUGUGUGCAUAUAUGUACUGUGAUCCAUUCUCAUUCUUCAUAUCUUGAGAAACUAUCUCAAGAUACUCGCAUUUGUGUUUUGAAGAAAGCCUAUUCUAUGAUUAAUAUAUCAAGUAUGGAUGGCGCGAUAUCACCUCUCUUUAUGAUGAUGUUCUUACAGAAUAUAGGUUUUAUGGUAACACGUCUUAGCCAACACCUAUACUGAUGCUCAGACCAGAUGAUUAUAGGCUCUCCUUGCUAUUUUUCUUGAGGUGUGUACAUCUAUCUAGACAAUUUAAUUAAAAUAUAUAUUCCAUACAAACCAUCAAUACAUGUUAGUUGACUUUGAAACUAAUCAGUAAAAAGGUUGUCCCUUUCGCAUUUUAUGGACAUAAAGAUUUGGUGUUGACUGUCGAUCUUUAGUUAACACAUGACCUUACAACCGUAGGGAGUGGGAAAAAACUUAUAUGUUUGGCACAUUUGAAGAACAUAUCAUAGUAACGAAGUUUUGGUAAACAAUGUCCUAGAUCUCAACCAUAUAGAAAUACUAAAUAUAUGUUUAUUUGUAUAUGGAUUAAUUAUACAGACUUAUAAAACCUUGUGCAGGGCACAUAAAAGAAAUUUGAAAUAACUAUUAUUUCAAUAUUUGCUUUUUCAGUUGAGCAUAAUAGUUUAUAGCCUGAUAGGCUUGGACAUAAUUGUCUACAUGUACUGCUCAGUAGGCGACAUCCUUUGGGAAAUUGAGGAUGUCCUCGUGCAUUUUCUAAAUACAAUUGGGGCAUAUCUGAGGAAUGAAGGGAGGAAUAAUCUCGUGGGAGAGUUCGGUGCAGAGGAAGAAGAACAAGAUAUUAUUUAUUUCUUGUGUACAGUCAAGCUUGUGCAUUGUCCCACUGUAAGUUAUUUCAACAAUAGUAGUAACUGUUAUCUCUGGCCAUCUGUUGCGACAUUUUCUUUAACCACCAAUGCAUAUUUAUUUUCUUGUUAAUAACUCUCAUAAUUGCCUGCUACUGUUUCAGUUCUGGGGCCAGGCAACCUUGAAUCCAACGUCCACCUGCAGGCUACAUCUCAGGUAGGAUAAAAAGAUUGCAGUGAACUUGAUGGGUAUAUCAUUAUUGUUGCCUCCUAAUUUGUGUGAUGAGCAAAUGUGUAGAUUGUGUGUAAAUCCGAGAUGCCUAAAACGGUUGGGAACUGAACUUGUUACCUCGGUUCACUUUAAUGGCAUGUUAAACUCGAUGCACUUUCUGGACUGUGACAUUUUUCCUGAAAUUUUGGAAGUGACUGCUAAUGUAGUCUAAAUAGAGUGACUGAGUAGUUACUUUCUCACAAGAGUUGACUUCCCGUUAUUGGAGUACUUGCUAAGAUGGAUUGGUGGUUUUUAUGUUAGAUGAAAAAUAUUACAUCAAUCUUUACGGCUUUUUAUGGGCAAGUGAUUCCGACUCCAUAAUAAGGAAUAAUAUAGCCCUAGUGCUGUGAUAAUGUUAAAACAUUUACCUCUUUUAUCGGUUCAUGUUAUGUAUUUGCUGCGAAAAAAUGGUCUUAUAUCAAAUAAUAGCCUAGAGCUUUUGGAGUGUUAUUACUUGUAUUUGUUGCUUGGAUGUAUAAACCUUCAACAGACUGUCAAUUUUGCUUUUAUAUAAUCUGUUUGUUUAAGUCUGCUGCAUAUUGGUCAAAAGCUCAUGCUAAUUGAUGAUGUUAGGUGAUGAUCUUGUAUCUAACAGUGAUUUCUGAAUGCAUGCUAAAGAAAACUCAUGAACAUCAUGGCGCCUUGUUGAUGGGGUGAUCAAUAGCUACUAUAUUGGGACCCUGAACUUAAAUUGUAGGUCUGAUUUUGUUUCGGAGUUCUCCUGCUACCCACAAGCUUAGAUAGUUCUUUUGUUUGUGCAGGGGAAAUUGCAAAGCAUAUUAUGAAUUGUUACAAGAAACUAUUUCUGCUGUUUUGGUGCAAGGACGUUGCUUUUUAGUAUGCUUCCCGUAUCUUGGUAUCUUGGAAUAAUAAACAGAUAGAUGUCGUGUACCAAGAUUGUUCCUUGUUGUUAAGAGGGAUACAAAUAUUAUACAAGAUUUUUUCUGAUGACUCCUAAAGCAUAUUUGGAUAUACAGCAAAGUAUAUUGUCGCUUCCCUGUUAGUAAAACGAUUAUUUUAGAAAUUUGGUUGGCAGCCCCUACAUUUGGCUGAUUGCUAGCUUACUGGAUUACUCAUGUUUGCGGACUCUGGUAACUUAUGCCUACCAAGAACUACAUGAAUUUUGUGUCUUGCUGCAGUGAACAUUACCAAACUAAUUCUAGAGGUGUUAUAAUCAUGUUUUCUUUUGCAUUAUCAACUUUUAACUUUUGUCAUUUGUUAACACAUUCCUUUUGCAUUAUCAACUUUUAACUAUUGUCAUUUGUUAACACGAUUAUUUAGUAUGUUCACUAUGCGAGUACUCCCUCCGUCUGAAAAUACUUGUCAUCAAAAUAGAUAAAAAGGAAUGUAUCUAGAACUAAUAUACAUCUAAAUACAUCCCCUUUUAUUCAUUUCGGUGACAAGUAUUUCCGGACGGAGGGAGUAGUAAUAAUAGGAGCUAUUUAUUUGCCAGAUAACUAACACUAUUCAUAUGGCAUAAGGGUUAGAAAAAGAACUGUAUUCUUGCUGUGUUGAUUUUCGUAUGGCACACUAUGGAUUCUUUGUGUAACACAUAAUGUCGAUCAACAUGUGUUUACAACGCAGGGAGGAGCCGGGCGACAAGGCAGUCAGACCAAACUCUCUUUCCAUAUAUAUAGGUAGUCUGAUGUUAUGCCAUAGCCGAACCAUAUAUGUUUCGUGUACUGCUCUAUCAAUCUGGUCUUUUGGUAUAUUAGACUCUAUCCUUUGUAAUGAACUUAUUGUCAUGGGCGAUCAUUAUGACUGGAUCGUAUGGUAUGAAUCGGGUCUUUAUGCUUUGUGAUGAAAUAUCAUAUUAUCCUGUUCACCAGUUUGGUUUGGUUUUGAGCUAAAACGUAUAAAAAUACAUGGCUUACAACAAUGGAUAUAUGUGAUGAUAUAUUGAGUGAUUAAGCAUAAUUUUAGACUUUCGGUGCUGGACCAAUGGGAUGCAUGGGGUAAUUGAAUGUUUCUUCUUCACUUUUUAUUAUCGGUUGGGAUCAGCACUCUCGCGCGAUCUAGUUAUGAUGAUGCUGCCUAUACAAAGCAAAUCUAUGUGGCUAUAAAGUGGAGCACCAUGGCGAACAAGAAACUGGCGCUUGAGGACAGACAUGAGUGGAACUGAUGUCUGAUGCAACACGGCGUUGCUGUACGCGUCAGGGCAGACAGCAACGACGUGUAACAGAUGGGAUGUCGGAUUGCACGCAAAACAAAGGAAUCCAAUGCAAUUUUGAUAGUUUUUUUUUCAGAUUAUGGACGAGCUUGCGGCGGAAACCAUGGUGGAGAAAAAAAAGUUCGAUCUAGUAGACAAAAAUUUCUCAUACAAAUCUAAACCAGCACUAUUUGUAGGAUGAUGCAACCAAAAAUUCAACUACGCAAGUACUAGAUGCAAAAAUUGCUAACGGCUAAAAAGAUAGGUGCAAAGGAUGAACUAAUCUUUCUUUCUUUUUUGGCUUUUUUUGGGUUAUAGGACAUGAAAAAUAAGCUAAUCUAACAAAACUGUAAAUCUCUCACCGCUGAAAGUGAAAACUGAUACCACUUAUGUGACGGCGGCCCGAUGUUUCGAUGAGAGUGAGGAUAACUAUCAAUUUGAUGGAUUCUGAUCUUGACGCUCCGGCUAUACAAUACCCGACGAUAUGCCUCGACAAUCGCUAAACCAAUCUCCGAUGGUUAUUGACCUUGCCGUAGGCACGGUCAACCUGAACGACGAGGUUUGAGUUCCUGCAAGUAACUAAAGAACCGGCAAGAACAAAGGUGAAUUGCAAUCUGAAAUUGCGAAUGAAAAAUUAAGCACAUGAACUAGAUCAAAAGUUGGAGUUCCACUUUGGAUCUGACAAGGCGGUAGUCCUACACGUCUCAUAGAUGCGAAACUGUAGCAUGGCUAAACAAUACAAUAAAACCCGCGUAAACCCUAGAAUAUGAUGACUAUUUAUUAAAGGCCGGCGUGGAGAAUGCUUCGUCUAUUUUCUUGGAAGUCAAGACGGGCCUGCUAAUUGGCCGGACACACACGCGAUCUGAUUUGAAAAUAAACUUCUCAUAUCAAUCUGGUGGCAAACUGCCUCAUCGGUACUAUAGGCCCAGAUGCGCAACACACAAGGCCAUGCAUGGGCGCAAAACCUAUACGACGCCCUCAGCGUCCGAUACCAUGUUAACGGUACAGGGCACAGAACGUCGUGAGACAGUUCGGUCCAUAUCCGGUGUGGGCAUUAGAGCAUUGAGAGGACCUUUCCCUAGUACGAGAGGACUGGGAAGGACGCACUUCUGGUGUAUCAGUACACCCCCUUGUCACGAUGGGCCGGCCCACAUUCCUUUUUUUCUAUAUUAAAGACGCCGAAAAAACUGAAUGUAAGCACCAUGAUUCAAACCGGCAAUCGACUGGUUCAACACACACCACCUAACCAAUAGGCUACAUGUUGUUGACGUGGUUAGUUAUAGCUUUUCCUUCUUUUCUUCUUUGUACCUUCUUUUUUGUUUUUUUGUUCGAACGGUUUUGUUAGUUUUUAUUAUUUUCCAUCUUAAUUUUUUUCAAUAAUACAACAUUUUUCGUUUCAAUUUCGUGAACUUUUUUAAAAUUCGAUAUUUUUUUUCAAAAUUCAAUGAACUUAUUUUCAAAUUCGAUGAACUUUUUACAAAUUGGAUGAACUUUUUUCAAAUUUGAUGAACCUUUUUUUAAACUCGAUGUUUGUUUUCAAAUUUGCCAACUUUUUUGAAAAUUCAUGUACAAUUAUGAAUUCAUGAAUUUUUUGAUAUUUUUUUAAUUUUGCAAAUUUCCCCUUUUUAGUUUUUUUAAAUAGCAAUGGUUUUUUCGACAAGUGCUUGCAAGAGAAAAAAGGCUAGCAAAGGAGCGAGCAGCGACCGAUUGAGCCAGCAGCAGCGGUCGAGCGAGUAGUCGAGCGAUUAGCAAUCGAGCGAGCAGCGAUCGAGCGAGCCAGCAGCAGCGGCCGAGCGAGCAGUUGAGCGAUUAGCGAUCGAGCGAACAAAUGCAUGUUGAUUCAAUAAUGCUCAAGUGUAAAUAUUCUGUAUUAAACUUCGCAUCUUCACCCGAGGUUUGUGCAUCUCUUCUUUAAUCCUGCAUAUAAAAUAUUGUGUUGUAUUUUUGUUUCGGAUAACAAAAUAAUAAUUCAUAUAAUUUCUAUUAGAAUUCACCUGAUAAUUAUCUUUACGCGCAAUAAUUGUGGUUAUAUCCGUACGGGUCAUGUUUAUAUCAGGUAGUUAAUCUUCUUUUUCUUAUCCGCAAGACACUUCUUCACAUGCUCAUCCAAGAGGGUUUCGGCUGCCAACAUGAUCAUCGCAUCCACCACGUCCUGUGAGAUUCGCAACCUCUCCUUCUCAAGCUCUAUGUCGCCAAAUGUCUUGGCCUUCUCGAGUUCCCAUUUGAUCGCCACCCCUUGGUGGUCCACCAUGUCCGAACCUCCUUGCGCCGCCGCCGCCUCCCUCUCUCGCUGCAGGCGUUGCCGCAACUUCUGGGCGGCGUCCUCCGCCUUGCAAGUCAGAGCCGACGAAGGGACGCCGACGGACAAGGCGGACGGCGUCUUUGUCGCGGUGGUGGAUCGGGACCGGUGGUGAGGAUUGGGAGCAAGGGUGGAGGACGGCGAGGGUUCGGGCGCGGGAAAAGUUGGAGGGCGGCGGGAGGAGGAGAAAGGGUUUGGUGCAUUUGGCACAAUUUUCAAUGGGGUCGGGCUGACGGGUCCGACGUGGCGGGCGCGCCCGGGCGCCCCAUAUUUGGGCUAGAUAUGAGGGGUGCCGGUCAGCCCAGGCGUUCGAGGCCCGUUUAAGGAGCCCGUCUGGAUCGAAAAAUCGUGACCGGGUGGCCCACCCGGGUGUAUGAGCCAGGCUUGAGGUGCCCGACUGUAGAUGCUCUAAUCAUCUAGAUCUGACGCUCAAAGGCUCCACCCUCCCCCACGACUUGGGUUCGAGCGCCUCCCCAAAACUUCGUCGGGAUCCGCCACAACCGGCAACGGCGAGGCCAGAGGUGGCCGGAUCCGGCACAGGUUGGUCUCUCCCCUCCUUCUUCGCCCACCCUCUCCUCCUUACCUCACGCCACUUGUCUUCCCUUUUUUGCAGGUCGCCAUGGCGCGGACGGCGAUGACGGCAGGAGGGGCACACACAUCCGUGGAAUGGGACGCCGCCAUGGAGAUGGAGAUCCUUCUUCACACCACGCAGAGGCCCCAUGGAGCCUCCCUCCUUCUUCGGUGACUUCUUCUCAGGCCCCACCACUACCUCUGCCCUCCCCCCUCCUCUACUUUGAGUUGCACCAUGCUUUGUUUCAGAUUCAUCCACCCAUGGGUGAUACAUGGGAAGUUAGGGGUUGCUGCAGUUUGAGGUUAAUCCCUUGAUUGGCUGUUGUUUCGGGUUGAUUAGAUUAGUUAGCUCAGUUGGCUGCUAGACUUUAGGAGUGCAUACAUGGGUAUAACAUGCUCUGCACAUUUAGGAUUGAAGUAUUGUGUUGCAGCACUCAGUGACGUUAAUUUAGGGCAUUUCAGUGUCAGUUCCACUAUAUUUCGGGGGACAUUUAACAGUGCAAUUUCAUGGUUAUUACAGUGUAAUUUCAAGGUUCUUGCAUUCUAAGUUCAGAGAAUUACAAUGUUAGUUUAUGUGAAUUCCCGUGCAUUUUACUGUGUAAUUUAAGUGCAAUGGAAAUUAUAGUGUAAAUUCAGUGUAAUUUACUAUGUAAAUUUACGGAAAUUACACUGUAAUUCGUGUGCAACUUUUAGUGUAAUUUACACUAUAAUUUCAACGGGUUUACAGUAGAGUAAUUUAAGUGUAAUUACAGUGUGCACUUUAGAGCAAUCAUACUAUAUAUUUAGUGAAUUUAAAGUAUCACUCCAUACCUUUCGGGUUUGUCUUUUUUCUCUACAAGUUACUGCUAUACUGUUGAUUGAUUCUACCCUUGCGAAAGAAACUUUGAUGAGCACAUAAUUUUCUACUAUGUAAUUUGAGCAGCUUGGUAACCGUAAUUUUCAGUUUCCUUUGACCCUAGGCCCUUGUGCUUUAGAAUUGCUAUUUUUUGUCAGUGUACAUGCUAGAUCAUGUGGUUUAUGAUACUUCUCUGGUCCUUAUAAACAAAGUGACAUGUUUGUACUGUGGAAUAGAAAGAAUAUUUCAGUGUCUCUCUUUAGGCCUUUUGUCGAAUUGUUAUGUGGUCCAGUGCAGCCUUACGAAACCGGGUUCUAUGCAGUUCAUGUACAGUGCAAAACUCAUUAUUGCAGGUCAGGCCUGUAGCAUGUCUUGGGUCAUUGACAUGCAGGAAAGAAGGAAAAAGGACAUAGAAGUAUCAUUUUGUUAUUGGUCAAGAAAAUUUGAAUAAUGUCCAACUGAUUUCAGUUGAAUGACAAAUAGACAAUCCCUUGUUUAAUCAGUAGAUAUACACCAUUAACUCAAAUAGCAAAGAAAUACUAGUCCAUUUAUAAUCGAUGAUUGCGCAUGAUGCAUCCAUCCAUUCUAUCGGAGAGGCUGUGUUUUUUUUCUUCUUGUGCUAAGGUUGAUAGCAUCACAUAUCUUAUGCUUUUGUUUCUCAAGUAGAGCCUUGAGAUAGAUGUGUCUGCAACCGUCCUCGAAUGGUUGUGCAAUAAUAAUGGUCCUAGCUAAUUACUAGUAUGCACUGCUUAUAAAACAACUUGUUGCUCGUUUCACUUUGAGUAUGCUGUUGCUGCUAAAGUAGCAACAACAACAGCCAUGCUUUGGUUCCCCAAAAUUCAGAUGGCACUGGCAUCUCUACAUACACACACAUAUAUGAAUAUGCACCUCAGUUUGGUUCAGUUUGCAUGUGUACCGUUGCUUUAACUUUGACUGAAACUAUCUUGGUGGCACUUGCAUCAAUGUUGUGCUCUGCCCUUGUAUAUGUCCUUGGAGAAGAUGACCAUUGGACUGUAGGGGACGAACAACCUUGUCCUGCUCGAGGAGGAGGAGGAUGGCCACCCUGAGCUCGAGGACGACACGACAACAGGAGCACUCACCUCCCUACUAAGGUGAAGGUCCGAUCCGCCUGUUUAGAUGGUCUGCUCUUGUCUUGUGAUCUGAGGGGAGAAGAAAGCCAUUGGCCUCAAUUAUAUUUGCAUGUGAGGGGAGCGAUCCUUUUGGUAGAUGCAGAGUAUAGAUUACAUAUUCCACAAAACUCACCACACGAGUAUACUAACUAUAUCCACAAAAUUCACCACACGAGCAUACUACCUAUGUCCAAAUGUGGGUUUGAUACUUUCGACAUGAAACAUGAAUAUCAGGUUGGGAGUUUGGAGUUUAAUCAAAUAACGCAGCAAGGCGAUCAUCGGUAGGGAUGCACCUUUGAGGCGGCAAGGAGGGCUUCUCAAAGGCAGUACACAUGGCUUAUUACUGCUUGUAUGUGAGUACGCAGAUGUGGCGUCUAUGGAUAGAGGGUUAGGGGCGCAACGCAAGCGGCAGUAGGGGAUACACAACCUGAUUUGAUUUGGUCAAUCACGGGAAAUGGGAGAAGGCCUAGGGUGCAAAGUUUAGAUCGGUGGGUUGGUAGCGUUAGGCAUAAUAGAGAUCAAACCUUUUUCAUAGGCGUAUGUAGGUUAUUUCCUUGAAGCAUUUUAUCAAAAUGGUGUAGGCGGGUAAUAUCUCUCAACUUAAAUGUGAAGGGGAUAUAUUAUUUCCUUGUAGAGGCCGAGGAAUACAUGGCGUACCGCUACAUAUGCAACCAUGAUUUUUUGUGGAUGGUUACGAGAGAACCUGAAAGAUACCAUGGACCGAAGCAUGGGCACAUGAAGUUCCUGUUGGGGAACGUAGUAAUUUCAAAAAAAUUCCUACGCACACGCAAGAUCAUGGUGAUGCAUAGCAACGAGAGGAGAGAGUAUGAUCUACGUACCCUUGUAGAUCGACAACGGAAGCGUUAACUUGGUUGAUGUAGUCGUACGUCUUCACGGCCCGGCCGAUCAAGCACCGAAACUACGGCACCUCCGAGAUCUAGCACACAUUCAGCUCGAUGACGAUCCCCGGACUCCGAUCCAGCAAAGUGUCGGGGAAGAGUUCCGUCAGCACGACGGCGUGGUGACGAUAUUGAUGUACUACCGUCGCAGGGCUUCGCCUAAGCACCGCUACAAUAUUAUCGAGGACUAUGGUGGAAGGGGGCACCGCACACGGCUAAGAAUAUGAUCACAUGGAUCAACUUGUGUCUCUAGGGGUGCUCCCUGCCUCCGUAUAUAAAGGCUCAAAGGGGGAGGGGUGGCCGGCCAAGAGGAGGCGCGCCAGGAGGAGUCCUACUCCCUCCAGGAGUAGGACUCCCCCCCUUUCCUAAUUGGAAUAGGAUUCGCGGAGGGGGGAAAGAGGAGAGAGAGGAGGAAGGGGGGGGCGACCCCCUCUCCUUGUCCUAUUUGGACCAAAGGGGGGAGGGGCGCGCGGCCCAUAUCUGGCCACCUCUCCUCUCUUCCACUAAGGCCCACUAAGGCCCAUAUACCUCCCGGGGGGUUCCGGUAACCUCCCGGUAAUCCGGUAAAAUCCCGAUUUCACCCGGAACACUUCCGAUAUCCAAAUAUAGGCUUCCAACAUAUCAAUCUUUAUGUCUCGACCAUUUCGAGACUCCUCGUCAUGUCCGUGAUCACAUCCGGGGCUCCGAACAAACUUCGGUACAUCAAAAUGCAUAAACUCAUAAUAUAACUGUCAUCGAAACCUUAAGCGUGCCGACCCUACGGGUUCGAGAACAAUGUAGACAUGACCGAGACACGUCUCCGGUCAAUAACCAAUAGCGGCACCUGGAUGCUCAUAUUGGAUCCUACAUAUUCUACGAAGAUCUUUUAUCGGUCAGACCGCAUAACAACAUACGUUGUUCCCUUUGUCAUCGGUAUGUUACUUGCCCGAGAUUCGAUCAUCGGUAUCCAAUACCUAGUUCAAUCUCGUUACCGGCAAGUCUCUUUACUCGUUCCGUAAUCCAUCAUCCCGCAACUAACUCAUUAGUCGCAAUGCUUGUAAGGCUUAUGUGAUGUGCAUUACCGAGAGGACCCAGAGAUACCUCUCCGACAAUCGGAGUGACAAAUCCUAAUCUCGAAAUACGCCAACCCAACAUGUACCUUUGGAGACACCUGUAGAGCUCCUUUAUAAUCACCCAGUUACGUUGUGACGUUUGGUAGCAUAAAAAGUGUUCCUCCGGCAAACGGGGGUUGCAUAAUCUCAUAGUCAUAGGAACAUGUAUAAGUCAUGAAGAAAGCAAUAGCAACAUACUAAACGAUCGGGUGCUAAGCUAAAGGAAUGGGUGAUGUCAAUCAGAUCAUUCAUCUAAUGAUGUGAUCCUGUUAAUCAAAUGACAACUCUUUGUCCGUGUUUAGGAAACAUAACCAUCUUUGAUUAACAAGCUAGUCUAGUAGAGGCAUACUAGUGACACUCUGUUUGUCUAUGUAUUCACGCAUGUAUUAUGUUUCCGGUUAAUACAAUUCUAGCAUGAAUAAUAAACUUUUAUCAUGAUAUAUAAGGAAAUAAAUAAUAACUUUAUUAUUGCCUCUAGGGCAUAUUUCCUUCAGUCUCCCACUUGCACUAGAGUCAAUAAUCUAGAUUACACAGUAAUGAUUCUAACACCCAUGGAGCCUUGGUGCUGAUCAUGUUUUGCUCGUGGAAGAGGCUUAGUCAACGGGUCUUCUACAUUCAGAUCCGUAUGUAUCUUGCAAAUCUCUAUGUCUCCCACCUGGACUAGAUCCCGGAUGGAAUUGAAGCGUCUCUUGAUGUGCUUGGUUCUCUUGUGAAAUCUGGAUUCCUUUGCCAAGGCAAUUGCACCAGUAUUGUCACAAAAGAUUUUCAUUGGACCCGAUGCACUAGGUAUGACACCUAGAUCGGAUAUGAACUCCUUCAUCCAGACUCCUUCAUUCGCUGCUUCCGAAGCAGCUAUGUAUUCCGCUUCACAUGUAGAUCCCGCCACGACGCUCUGUUUAGAACUGCACCAACUGACAGCUCCACCAUUUAAUGUAAACACGUAUCCGGUUUGCGAUUUAGAAUCAUCCGGAUUAGUGUCAAAGCUUGCAUCAACGUAACCAUUUACGAUGAGCUCUUUGUCACCUCCAUAUACAAGAAACAUAUCCUUAGUCCUUUUCAGGUACUUCAGGAUGUUCUUGACCGCUGUCCAGUGAUCCACUCCUAGAUUACUUUGGUACCUCCCUGCUAGACUUAUAGCAAUGCACACAUCAGGUCUGGUACACAGCAUUGCAUACAUGAUAGAGCCUAUGGCUGAAGCAUAGGGAACAUCUUUCAUUUUCUCUCUAUCUUCUGCAGUGGUCGGCCAUUGAGUCUGACUCAACUUCACACCUUGUAACACAGGCAAGAACCCUUUCUUUGCUUGAUCCAUUUUGAACUUCUUCAAAAUUUUGUCAAGGUAUGUGCUUUGUGAAAGUCCAAUUAAGCGUCUUGAUCUAUCUCUAUAGAUCUUUAUGCCUAAUAUGUAAGCAGCUUCACCAAGGUCUUUCAUUGAAAAACUCUUAUUCGAGUAUCCCUUUAUGCUAUCCAGAAAUUAUAUAUCAUUUCCAAUCAGUAAUAUGUCAUCCACAUAUAAUAUCAUAAAUGCUACAGAGCUCCCACUAACUUUCUUGUAAAUACAGGCUUCUCCAAAGGUCUGUAUAAAACCAAAUGCUUUGAUCACACUAUCAAAGCGUUUAUUCCAACUCCGAGAGGCUUGCACCAGUCCAUAAAUGGAUCACUGGAGCUUGCACAGUUUGUUAGCUCCCUUUGGAUCGACAAAACCUUCCGGUUGCAUCAUAUAAAACUCUUCUUCCAGAAAUCCAUUCAGGAAUGCAGUUUUGACAUCCAUCUGCCAAAUUUCAUAAUCAUAAAAUGCGGCAAUUGCUAACAUGAUUCGGACAGACUUAAGCAUCGCUACGGGUGAGAAGGUCUCAUCGUAGUCAACCCCUUGAACUUGUCGAAAACCUUUUGCGACAAGUCAAGCUUUGUAGACAGUAAUAUUACCGUCAGCGUCAGUCUUCUUCUUGAAGAUCCAUUUAUUCUCAAUUGCUUGCCGAUCAUCGGGCAAGUCAACCAAAGUCCAUACUUUGUUCUCAUACAUGGAUCCCAUCUCAGAUUUCAUGGCUUCAAGCCAUUUUUCGGAAUCUGGGCUCACCAUCGCUUCUUCAUAGUUCGUAGGUUCAUCAUGAUCUAGUAGCAUGACUUCCAGAACAGGAUUACCGUACCACUCUGGCGCGGAUCUUACUCUGGUUGAUCUACGAGGUUCAGUAGUAUCUUGUUCUGAAGUUUCAUGAUCAUUAUCAUUAGCUUCCUCACUAAUUGGUGUAGGUGUCGCAAAAACAGGUUUCUGUUAUGUGCUACUUUCCAAUAAGGGAGCAGGUACAGUUACCUCGUCAAGUUCUACUUUCCUCCCACUCACUUCUUUCGAGAGAAACUCCUUCUCUAGAAAGGAUCCAUUCUUAGCAACGAAUGUCUUGCCUUCGGAUCUGUGAUAGAAGGUGUACCCAACAGUCUCCUUUGGGUAUCCUAUGAAUACACAUUUCUCCGAUUUCGGUUCGAGCUUAUCAGGUUGAAGCUUUUUCACAUAAGCAUCGCAGCCCCAAACUUUAAGAAACGACAACUUUGGUUUCUUGCCAAACCAUAGUUCAUAAGGUGUCAUCUCAACGGAUUUUGAUGGCGCCCUGUUUAACGUGAAUGCGGCUGUCUCUAAAGCAUAACCCCAAAAUGAUAGCGGUAAAUUUGUAAGAGACAUCAUAGAUCGCACCAUAUCAAGUAAAGUACGAUUACGACAUUCGGACACACCAUUACGCUGAGGUGUUCCGGGUGGCGUGAGUUGCAAAACUAUUCCGCAUUGUUUCAGAUGUAGACCAAACUCGUAACUCAAAUAUUCUCCUCCACGAUCAGAUCGCAGAAACUUUAUUUUCUUGUUACGAUGAUUUUCAACUUCACUCUGAAAUUCUUUGAACUUUUCAAAUGUUUCAGACUUAUGCUUCAUUAAGUAGAUAUACCCAUAUCUGCUUAAAUCAUCUGUGAAGGUGAGAAAAUAACGAUAUCCGCCACGAGCCUCAACAUUCAUCGGACCACAUACAUCUGUAUGUAUGAUUUCCAACAAAUCUGUUGCUCUCUCCAUUGUAUCGGAGAAUGGUGUUUUAGUCAUCUUGCCCAUGAGGCACGGUUCGCAGGUACCAAGUGAUUCAUAAUCAAGAGGUUCCAAAAGUCCAUCUGUAUGGAGUUUCUUCAUGCGCUUUACACCGAUAUGACCUAAACGGCAGUGCCACAAAUGAGUUGCCCUAUCAUUAUCAACUCUGCAUCUUUUGGCUUCAACAUUAUGAAUAUGUGUGUUACUACUAUCGAGAUUCAUCAAAAAUAGACCACUCUUCAAAGGUGCAUGACCAUAAAAGAUAUCACUCAUAUAAAUAGAACAACCAUUAUUCUCUAAUUUAAAUGAAUAACCGUCUCGCAUUAAACAAGAUCCAGAUAUAAUGUUCAUGCUCAAUGCUGGCACCAAAUAACAAUUAUUUAGGUCUAAUACUAAUCCCGAAGGUAGAUGUAGAGGUAGCGUGCCGACCGCGAUCACAUUGACUUUAGAACCAUUUCCCACGCGCAUCGUCACCUCGUCCUUUGCCAGUGUUCGCUUAAUCCGUAGUCCCUGUUUCAAGUUGCAAAUAUUAGCAACAGAACCAGUAUCAAAUACCCAGGUGCUACUGCGAGCUCUAGUAAGGUACACAUCAAUAACAUGUAUAUCACUUAUACCUUUGUUCACCUUGCCAUCCUUCUUAUCCGCCAAAUACUUGGGGCAGUUCCGCUUCUAGUGACCAGUCUGCUUGCAUUAGAAGCACUCAAUUUCAGGCUUAGGUCCAGACUUGGGUUUCUUCUCCUGAUCAACAACUUGCUUGCUUUUCUUCUUGAAGUUCCCCUUCUUCUUCCCUUUGCCCUUUUUCUUGAAACUAGUGGUCUUGUUGACCAUCAACACUUGAUGCUCCUUCUUGAUUUCUACCUCCGCAGCUUUUAGCAUUGCGAAGAGCUCGGGAAUAGUCUUAUUCAUCCCUUGCAUAUUAUAGUUCAUCACAAAGCUCUUGUAGCUUGGUGGCAGUGAUUGGAGAAUUCUGUCAAUGACGCAAUCAUCUGGAAGAUUAACUCCCAUCUGAAUCAAGUGAUUAUUAUACCCAGACAUUUUGAGUAUAUGCUCACUGACAGAACUGUUCUCCUCCAUCUUGCAGCUAUAGAACUUAUUGGAGACUUCAUAUCUCUCAAUCCAGGCAUUUGCUUGAAAUAUUAACUUCAACUCCUGGAACAUCUCAUAUGCUCCAUGACGUUCAAAGCGUCGUUGAAGUCUCUAAGCCGUAAAGCAUGGCACACUGAACUAUCGAGUAGUCAUCAGCUUUGCUCUGCCAGACGUUCAUAACAUCUGGUGUUGCUCCAGCAGCAGGCCUGGCACCCAGCGGUGCUUCCAGGACGUAAUUCUUCUAUGCAGCAAUGAGGAUAAUCCUCAAGUUACGGACCCAGUCCGUGUAAUUGCUACCAUCGUCUUUCAACUUUGCUUUCUCAAGGAACGCAUUAAAAUUUAACGGAACAACAGCACGGGCCAUUUAUCUACAAUUAACAUAAACAAGCAAGAUACUAUCAGGAACUAAGUUCAUGAUAAAUUUAAGUUCAAUUAAUCAUAUUACUCAAGAACUCCCACUUAGAUAGACAUCCCUCUAAUCAUCUAAACCAUAACCGAUCAUCACGUGAAAUGGAGUAGUUUUCAGUGGUGAACAUCGCUAUGUUGAUCAUAUCUACUAUAUGAUUCACGCACGAUCUUUCGAUCUCAGUGUUCCGAGGCCAUAUCUGCAUAUGCUAGGCUCGUCAAGUUUAACCUGAGUAUUCUGCGUGUGCAAAACUGGCUUGCACCCGUUGUAGAUGGACGUAGAGCUUAUCACACCCGAUCAUCACGUGGUGUCUGGGCACAACAAACUUUGGCAACGGUGCAUACUCGGGGAGAACACUUUUAUCUUGAAAUUUAGUGAGAGAUCAUCUUAUAAUGCUACCGUCAAUCAAAGCAAGAUAAGAUGCAUAAAAGAUAAACAUCACAUGCAAUCAAUAUAAGUGAUAUGAUAUGGCCAUCAUCAUCUUGUGCUUGUGAUCUCCAUCCUCGAAGCACCAUCGUGAACACCAUUGUCACCAGCGCGACACCUUGAUCUCCAUCAUAGCAUCAUUGUCAUCUUGCCAAUCUUAUGCUUCUACGACUAUCGCUACCGCUUAGUGAUAAAGUAAAGCAUUACAGGGCGAUUGCGUUGCAUACAAUAAAGCGACAACCAUAUGGCUCCUGCCAGUUGCCGAUAACUCGGUUACAAAACAUGAUCAUCUCAUACAAUAAAAUUUAGCAUCAUGUCUUGACCAUAUCACAUCACAACAUGCCCUGCAAAAACAAGUUAGACGUCCUCUACUUUGUUGUUGCAAGUUUUACGUUGCUGCUGCGGGCUUAAGCAAGAACCAAUCUUACCUACGCAUCAAAACCACAAUGAUAGUUUGUCAAGUUGGUGCUGUUUUAACCUUCGCAAGGACCGGGCGUAGCCACACUCGGUUCAACUAAAGUUGGAGAAACUGCCACCCGCAAGCCACCUAUGUGCAAAGCACGUCGGGAGAACCGGUCUCGCGUAAGCGUACGCGUAAUGUCGGUCUGGGCCGCUUCGUCCAGCAAUACCGCCGAACCAAAGUAUGACAUGUUGGUAAGCAGUAUGACUUAUAUCGCCCACAACUCACUUGUGUUCUACUCGUGCAUAUAACAUCAACAUAUAAAACCUAGGCUCGGAUGCCACUGUUGGGGAACGUAGUAAUUUCAAAAAAAUUCCUACGCACACGCAAGAUCAUGGUGAUGCAUAGCAACGAGAGGGGAGAGUAUGAUCUACGUACCCUUGUAGAUCGACAACGAAAGCGUUAACUUCGUUGAUGUAGUCGUACGUCUUCACGGCCCGACCGAUCAAGCACUGAAACUACGGCACCUCCUAGUUCUAGCACACAUUCAGCUUGAUGAUGAUCCCCGGACUCCGAUCCAGCAAAGUGUCGGGGAAGAGUUCCGUCAGCACGACGGCGUGGUGACGAUCUUGAUGUACUACCGUCGCAGGGCUUCGCCUAAGCACCACUACAAUAUUAUCGAGGACUAUGGUGGAAGGGGGCACCGCACACGGCUAAGAAUAUGAUCACGUGGAUCAACUUGUGUCUCUAGGGGUGCUCCCUGCCUCCGUAUAUAAAGGCUCAAAGAGGGGGGCGGCCGGCCAAGAGGAGGCGCGCCAGGAGGAGUCCUACUCCCUCCGGGAGUAGGACUCCCCCCUUUCCUAAUUGGAAUAGGAUUCGCGGAGGGGGGAAAGAGGAGAGAGAGGAGGAAGGGGGGCCGGCCCCCUCUCCUUGUCCUAUUCGGACCACAGGGGGGAGGGGCGCGCGACCCAUCUCUGGCCACCUCUCCUCUCUUCCACUAAGGCCCACUAAGGCCCAUAUACCUCCCGGGGGGUUCCGGUAACCUCCCGGUAAUCCGGUAAAAUCCCUAUUUCACCCGGAACACUUCCGAUAUCCAAAUAUAGGCUUCCAACAUAUCAAUCUUUAUGUCUCGACCAUUUCGAGACUCCUCGUCAUGUCCGUGAUCACAUCUGGGACUCCGAACAAACUUCGGUACAUCAAAAUGCAUAAACUCAUAAUAUAACUGUCAUCGAAACCUUAAGCGUGCGGACCCUACGGGUUCGAGAACAAUGUAGACAUGAACGAGACACGUCUCCGGUCAAUAACCAAUAGCGGAACCUGGAUGCUCAUAUUGGCUCCUACAUAUUCUACGAAGAUCUUUUAUCAGUCAGACUGCAUAAGAACAUACGUUGUUCCCUUUGUCAUCGGUAUGUUACUUGCCCGAGAUUCGAUCGUCGGUAUCCAAUACCUAGUUCAAUCUCGUUACCGGCAAGUCUCUUUACUCGUUCCGUAAUCCAUCAUCCCGCAACUAACUCAUUAGUCGCAAUGCUUGCAAGGAUUAUGUGAUGUGCAUUACCGAGAGGGCCCAGAGAUACCUCUCCGACAAUCGGAGUGACAAAUCCUAAUCUCGAAAUAUGCCAACCCAACAUGUACCUUUGGAGACACCUAUAGAGCUCCUUUAUAAUCACCCAGUUACGUUGUGGCGCUUGGUAACACACAAAGUGUUCCUCCGGCAAACUGGAGUUGCAUAAUCUCAUAGUCAUAGGAACAUGUAUAAGUCAUGAAGAAAGCAAUAGCAACAUACUAAACGAUCGGGUGCUAAGCUAAUGGAAUGAGUCAUGUCAAUCAGAUCAUUCAUCUAAAGAUGUGAUCCUGUUAAUCAAAUGACAACUCUUUGUCCAUGGUUAGGAAACAUAACCAUCUUUGAUUAACAAGCUAGUCUAGUAGAGGCAUACUAGUGACAAUCUGUUUGUCUAUGUAUUCACACAUGUAUUAUGUUUCCGGUUAAUACAAUUCUAGCAUGAAUAAUAAACUUUUAUCAUGAUAUAUAAGGAAAUAAAUAAUAACUUUAUUAUUGCCUCUAGGGCAUAUUUCCUUCAGUUCCAACACCGAAGGGUAAGGAGACGGGCCCGCGUCAUUUACGUCCGGAAUAUGCGACCUUGAUUCUUUGUCGAUGGUGAUGCCAAGACUAUAGGAUAAGGUGGAUCCGGACACAUGAGCAGAUGAAGUGCCUGACACGAAGUUGGUUAAGGAGCUGGACCCAAGUCAUCUACACCGCAAAUUGGUCGAAGGUGUGCCGUGAAUGAUAGAUGUACUUGAGGGGGGAGAAAGCCUGUGAAAAGAACAUACGGUUGCUCGAUGAUGACACAUGUCUUGAGAGGAUGGCGAGAACCCUAGAUAUGGUUAAGGCACGCCACGAGAACAUCACCCCGGUCGCGAGAUUCUCAGUGGUGUGCGGCAACCGAAGCCAAAAGGGCACCCCCGCAAGACCUUGAAAUGCCAGAGCGGUGGGCGCACAAGCAAUGGUGAGGAAAAUCACAUAAGGUACCAAGCAAGGCCAUCCUGAUCAGGGCUCCAUUGCCAAGCUUAUGUCCACCACUGCGAUUCAGACAAACUUUCAACUGGCGUCUCUGUCUUCUCAAGAUUUCCAUGGUCCCAUCAGGAUGUAUAUAUGUACUUUGUUUAUUUUGAAAAUUAAUAUAUCACCAAAGAAAUUGUAGUACUUGUCAUUCUUUUAAUUACUUAGUAGUUUGCAUGAUAGACUCAAUCUUAUAUUUACUAAUUAGAGGCACCAAAUAAGCGACCACGUUAAUCCUCAAAAACUAAGAAUAUUAUCCAUCCGAUCUCCAUAUUAAGUAUCUGUAGCCGUCCAUUGGACAACUCAAGAGUCCUGGGUUACUAUCCCACGUCAUGCUCCAUGUAAUGUGAAAAAAAAAUCAUCUCCUUGGCCAAAUCCAUCCCACGUCAUGCUCCAUGUAAUGUGAAAAAAAGCAUCUCCCUGGCCAAAUUCUUCCUCCCCUGAUCUAUCAUGUGAGGCACUUGCGCAUCAUCCACAAAUCCCUAGCGCAAAUCCAUCCCACGUCAUGCUCCAUGUAAUGUGAAAAAAAUCAUCUCCCUGGCCAAAUUCUUCCUCCCCCGAUCUAUCAUGUGAGGCACUUGCGCAUCAUCCACAAAUCCCUAGCGCUGCUCUUCCAGGUCGUCCUCCUCCUUCCUAUCUUUUGUUGUCUUAAUGCAAAACGAUUCCGUGAGAUCCUUGUGAUCCUCUUCAUCUUCACGUAGAAAUCUGAACUGUCCCAACCACGCUGCAGAUCUGUGGUCCGUCUUGGACAAAGAGAAGGCCCUUUCAAUCUCCACAGAUGCCAUGCCCCAACCAAACCGCAACCCAUGAUAAACGAUGUUGUUGAGAAGGAGGCGCUACCUAAGUCUGAUCGGACAUAUGCCAUUGUUAGGGAAGCUACAAGUCGAAGAACUAUGGUAGACUGAUUGCGAGUAAUUAAGGAGCUAUCAACGAUCCAGUAGGUUUUUGUUAUUAGGAAUUUUUAUGUAGUGCGACUUGAUCUCAAAGAACAAGUACACCAUUAGAGUUCGUUUUGGAGGAUUUUGAUGAUGUGCGCUUAGUUACAGACUUAUCUAAAUACGUAUAACUAGGAUGGACAAUAUUUGUAGGAGCCAUACAAUCCAAUUAGGGGAUUUAGUUUGUCAAAGAUGUUUCCACAUAUCCCUAGCGCUGCUCUUCUAGGUUGCCCCCUGCUUCCUAUCUACGGUCUUCAAGUAAAGCGAUUUAAUGAGUCUCUUGCUGCAGAAAUUUCAACUGCCACAAGAAGGCUGCAGACCUGCGGUUCAUCUUGGCUGAGGUGUCAUACAAUCCAGUUAAGGGAUUCCAUUCAUUGAAGAUGUGGCUGUACUUUCGCACAACAAACUCAAGCACAUCUUCUUAUGUUCUUAGAAACUAGAUGAGUUGUUUUGGACUUUCUUUGGUCUACUCCUCUAUGCUUCUUAUUGGGAAAGUUAGUAUGCAAAAGUUAUGCCCAUCUUCUUAAAUUCGGAUGUAACUUUUCGAGUAGAUGAUUUUUCAUAUAAAAAACUUUUUCAUCCGAGUUAGUAUGCAAAAGUUAUGCCCAUUUUUACAAAUUUCAGAGAGAUUUUGCAAAUAAAGUGAAAAUUCAGAUUUGCAAAUUUUCCCAACAAGUAGACCACAUAUCACAUGGGAAACUUAUUUUCUUUUAUUUUUUUUGACAUUUCCAUCAUUUUCUUUUAUUUUUUUAAAACUGAAAAGGCGAUCCACAUGGGGGGGGGUAGAGUUUGAAAAUGGGACCUUUAGUACUGGUUCGUGGCACGAACCGGGACUAAAGGUCUCAACCCCAUUAGUCCCGGUUCAUGCCUCAAACCGGGACUAAAGGUCUAAUCGUUAGUCCCGGUUUGAGGCACGAACCGGGACCAAUGGUUUUGUGCCAGGAGCGAGGCCCAUUGGUCCCGGUUCAUCCCACCAACCGGGACCAAAAGGUCCAGAUGAACCGGGACCAAUGGCCCACGUGGCCCGGCCGGCCCCCUGGGCUCACGAACCGGGACCAAUGCCCCCGUUGGUCCCGGUUCUGGACUGAACCGGGACUAAUGGGCUGACCCGGCCUGGACCAAAGCCCUGUUUUCUACUAGUGAGUCCAAUCUUGUGUUUAUUCCUCCAUGUCGGCAAAGAGUCAGUAGUCAAUCACCAAGCAAAAUUGCGCACAGUGGGGGGUACAUCACAUCUCCAUAUAUAUUGCCAGCAUUUUCUACUACCAUCUGGCGAUGUGCUAGAUGCCUCUACAGUAUUUCUGUGAGCUACUUCAAAAGCCAGCAUAUAUGCUGAUUUGACCGUGAAGACAUCGAGCUUCCCCGGCCCCCAUGCAAUCACAUCCUCACCUAAUCUUGGAGAUGCCCAUAUCUUUAAGAUUUCUUCCACAUCAGCUGAUAAGAAGUACUGCUGAAGAAGUACCAAGUUCCAAGAACCAUUAUCAUUUAGCAAGUCGGAGACAAAACGAAUGCGACAUCUUCCCUGCAGCGACACAGGUUUGUACGAAAAGGGCCUUGGAAUCCAGUUAUCUCUCCCCUUUGUUGGUAGUCAGAGUCACUAGGACAACUAACUGUGUUAGCAUCUAGAGUUGUAACAAGCCACAGUCCGCCUAUCUUGGUUGCACAGCGAUGAUGCUACCAUCUCCUACGACAAAGUACAUGCCUUGCACCGGAAACAGCGCAACCAUAUGACAUCUAUCCGAGUGGGCGACCACGUGGUGACCGGGCAUGAGGCCAUGGCUGAGGCCGCCUACAACCACUUCUCCGAUGUGCUCGGAAGUGCCAUGGAGCAUGACAUCACGCUUGAUCUCCGCGUUUUGCGUGUUCAACACAAUGCUACUCCGUGCGGUGGACCUAGGCCUUCUUCGACGCCUUACAACUCGGCACGCGGCCUCGAGUAUAUCGCUAUACGCGGACGAUGUUGUCAUCUUUUGUCACCCGGAUAGCCACCACAUUACCACCGUGUGAACCAUCCUACACAUAUUCGGGCUUCAUACAAACUUCGCCAAGUGUUCUGCCACCCCGAUCCGGUGCGAUGAUGACAACAACAUGAUGAUCACAUCUGAGAUGCAGUGCCCCAUAGCCCAAUUCCCCAUCACAUACCUCGGUUUGCCUCUCUCUAUCUGCAAGGCCUCCACGACUAGCUUGCUCCCAAUCAUUGACAAGAUCGGCCACAAGCUCUCCACUUGGCAUGCUUCCAUGAUGUCCAACGGGCAACGGCGACUGCCUUGCUCUCGUGCAUCACGUACUUAGUGCUAUCCCGACAUACUUCCUCACCACCUUUGCUCUCAACCAAUCCAUCCUCGUGAAAUUCAACCGCAUCAUCCGCGGAUUCCUUUGGGCGGGAGGCACCGAAGGCAAUGGGGGUCAGUGUCAUGUUAACUGACAGCAAGUUUGCAGGCCAAUCUCUCUUGGCGGUCUUAGCAUCAGGGACAUUCAAAGGACCGGCAUCACCCUCUGUGCAUGGUUGCUUUGGUUACAGUGCACCGACCCCUUGCAACCCUCGAGCCACUUACACAUACCUCACGACCCAGACGUGACUGCCAUCUUCAGCGCAUCUAGGACCUGGGAUCUUGGGUCCGGCGUCACCUGCAGAUUCUGGUCCGACCACUUGAUAGAGGGUAGAUCCGUGGUUGAGAUCCCCCCAGUCCUCGCCUCGUCCCUCGACGCCGACGCAAGACUCGCACCGUUCACGAGGGCCUCCACCUUAGAGCCUGGGUGCAAGAGAUUCAUGGAGCACUCGGACCGACGGCCAUGUUGCAAUAUGUUGAUCUUGAGCGACGUGUGCGCCACAUUGACCAGAUGAGCCGGAUACACUCAAAUGGCGCUGGACCGCCUCCGCUAUGAAAUGUCUAUGAUGGGAGAAUUUAAAUUCUUCUUAGGCCUUCAAAUUCUUCAACAGCGCAAUGGCAUCUUCAUAUUUCAGGAGAAAUACCUCAAGGAUGUAUUGUGGAAAUUCGGCAUGAAAGAUUGCAAAGGCGUCAAAAUCCCUAUGCCCACAAAUGGCCAUCUAUGCACUGAUGAAAAUGGUAUUGACUUUGAUCAAAAGGUAUACCGCUCCAUGAUUGGUUCUUUAUUGUAUUUAUGUGCAUCUAGGCCAGAUAUUAUGCUCAGUGUUUGCAUGUGUGCCCGAUUUCAACCUACACUGAAGGAAUCACACCAUAAGGCUGUGAAGCAUAUUCUUCGUUAUCUAGCUCACACACCAACACUUGGAUAUGGUAUCCCAAGGGCUCGGCUUUUGAUCUCAUUGGGUACUCACUCUGACUAUGCGGGUGAUCCUGUGGACCGCAAGUCAACAUCAGGCACAUGCCAUUUCCUCAGGCGAUCCUUGGUCUGUUGGUCCUCGAAGAAACAGAACUGCGUAUCACUGUCUACUGCUGAAGCUGAGUACAUUGCUGCUGGUUCUUGCUGUUCUCAAUUUCUAUGGAUGAAUCAAACCCUCAAGGACUACUACGUCAAUGUAAAGAAUGUGCCUCUCUACUAUGACAAUGAGAGUGCCAUCAAGAUUGCUCAUAACCCACUUCAGCAGUCGAAGACAAAGCACAUUCAAAUUUGUCAUCAUUUUCUUCGUGAUCAUGUGUUGAAGGGCGACAUUUCUAUUGAGCAUGUGAAGACUGGAGAACGGCUAGCCGGUAUCUUCACAAAGCCUUUGGAUGAGAAGAGAUUUAGCAAGUUGCGGUGUGAGCUAAAUAUCCUAGAAUCUUCGAAUGUCCUUUGAAAAGGACACACAUCCUAACACUUGUGCAAAGUUGAUGACUUAGACGUGCAACACACGAAGAAACGUUUUUCUUCAUUCAAUGAAGAUUAACACUCUAAGUGUGAAGAAAUUAACAAAGAAUUUGAUUCUCAGAGCCCUUCGACAAUUGUACAUGGUGUUUGAAAUCAUCAUUCUUAUACGGUGGGUCACGCCACCACCAAAAGUUGAAAAUCUUGAAUUUGAGUUUUUACUCAUUUUUGAAUUUCCUCAGUUGUUCAAAUUCUUCAACCCAUCCCACCUUAUCUUCUCAUACCCACUCCCCCCAAUUCCCUCUCUAUCUCUCCCGCAACCUCCCUUGCGCGGACGCCGCCAAACCACCACCUCCCCUGUGCCGCCGCGCCGCGACCUCCUCUGCGCCGCCGCGCCGCAACCUCCUCUCUGCGGCCGAGUCUGCUCCCCGGCGAUUCCCGAUCCACAACUGCCCCCAUUGCCCUUGCCUUCCUCUGCGCGCCGCCGCUCUAGGUCGCGUCCACCGCGUUCCACCACCACCAGCACAUCAGUACGGCGGUAGUGCGGCCCCGCUUCCGUUCCUCCAUGGCCGACCCCCUACCUCCCACCUUCUCCCUCCCGCCCCGAUCGACAACCUCCAUCACCGCCCCGGUCGUGUUGCCCCUCCCGACCCCGCGCCGCCGGAUCCGGGCAACCACGCCGGCGUGCCCUUCCACAAGCUUUCCCGUCGUGACCCUACCACGAGCUGCUCCAGCCCGACCCUGCUUCUUUAACAACGGCACGGUGGCAACUCCCCUUAGUUCACUCCUGCACCGGGGUCGCGAGCUCCGUUCACGGGCUCGCUGGAUCUCGUGAUUGGGGCGCUGGCGACGUGCUCUCCUACUCCACCGCGCCCCUCCUCUACUUCAGCUCCUAUGCCUGUGCCUCUCGUGGACUCAUCGGCGCACAGGCCGCUCUGGAUCCACGCUGGUUCGAGGCCCUGACGGCCUCCUCUUCCUGCUAAGUCACCGAGAUCCAUCGGGGUAUCAAGUUGUUUUGUCGGCCCAAUACUCCUUCUACCUUCCCUUGCCGGCGGUCGUGCAACUUCGGUGAACACCGCUACUCGCGCGCGGAUGACGACGGCGCAGUGGCACUGCAGUUCGCUUUGCAGGGGAUCCGUUGAUGCGGCCGUGGAGUUCGGCCCACAGGUGCAUGAAGUUAUCUUGCCCCCUCCCACAGUUUACCCUUCCGCAUGAGCCCCAUGCCAUAGUCCAUUGGGAAGAAGCUCGUGGUGCGGAUGUGCGGAUGCUCAGUGACAGUGCUGGUGUGUUUCAGAUUUUGUUUUUCUGCAAUUUGUAGGCGACGCUGGAGCAUUGCAGUUCAUUGGCUCGGGGCGAGCAGUGGAGAGGACACACGUGCGUGCAGUUCCCUGUCCAUUGAAAAUGUAGAAGCCCAUCUUGCUGCAAUGUAUGUGAGCAUAUGGCCUGCAAGUGAUGCUCUUUUCCCAGAUUGAAAACAUUGCAAUGUGGUUGGCUGGCCAUCGACGUGCACUUCGCUUUGGGGGGCAGUACGUUCUUUGUGGACGCGCACUUCGUUCGGCCCGAGCGGCAUGAAGCUCCGUUUGCGCGCAUGUGUGGCUUGGCUAACUAGUUUGUGCAGUCGCAUGAUACCUUUAUUAUGUGAUGCCUCCCUAGUUGCUGGAGUUCACUUCUUUGUAUUUAUUGAAACAUCAUGUAGUGCACUGUGAAACUCUCUGUUGUUCACUUGUAAAAACAAAUAGCGGUUCCCUUUGUAAAAAAAAGUGCAGCCCCUUAGUGGUUCACCUUGUAGAAAAUGAGAAAGAAAUCCCCAUGGGAGGUUCACUUCUUUUUCUAAUGCAAUUUGUUUUGUUUGUGGGAUGAUUGAAAAAAGAAGUUCACUCCACUUGUUUAGCAGCUCAUACCCCUUUGUAUGAAAUGCAAUUUGUUUCGUGUGUCUCAAAAUCAGUCGACUACCUCAACACGUGCAAUGCGUUUGGUUUUUGGAUGUGGUUCAUUUUUUAGAGUGAUGUUGUUCACUUGUGCCGAACAUGAAAGCGCAAAAAAAAUUAGCAAAACAAUAAAAAUAGUAAUGCGGUUCACUACGAUAUAUGAUGUGGUUCACUUGCUCGCGUCUCUGCGGUCCACUCUUGUUCAUAAAAAUUGAAAAAAACAUCAAAAACUCGUCCGAGAAAAAUUUACAUCCGACAAAGGAAACCAUGAAGUUCACUUGCCUGCCUGAUGCAGUGCGGUUUCGUUCGAUGCAGUGCGGUUUUCUGUCGAAUGACGUUCACUCACCGAUUUGGGUGUCGCAAAAAAUAGUAUCUGCAUUUUCGUAAUUUUAAAAUUGCUUUUAAACCGUAAGGAAUUAGAGAGAGUGUUCUACAUGAAAAAGUUGCGUCUCGUCGAUAUUUUUCCAAUGCCAUAUCAUUUGAAUCAUUUUGACAAGCAGUUUGUAAAAAUUUCACAAAAAACGACCGCUGCCAGUCAUCGUCCGCCACACCAUUCUAAAAAUUAACUUAAAACCGUAGUGAAUCUCGAAACCAAUUCUACAUAUAAAAGUUGCGCCUUGUCCAUAGCUUUCCAACGACGUAUUACACGCCUCAUUUCGAUAAACGGUUCAAAAACUAGAGUGAAAACAGUAUCGAAAGUUGCAAAAAUUUCAAAAAAUGUAAUUUCGCGAUUUAGUAAAUUUGAAACUGCUCUUAAACCGAAAUGAAUUAGAGAAAAUAAUAGAUAUGGAAAAGAUGCGCCUCAAUGAUAUCUUUCCAACGGCGUCUCAUUUGCUUUAUUCUGAUGAGCGGUUUUGAAAAAAUCAAGAAAAUACGCUCGCUGCCACUCGUCAUCCGCAGCACCGUUUUUGAAACUGCUCUUAAACCGCGAGGAUCUCGAAAAGUGUUCAACAUGGCAAAGUUGCGCCUAAUCCAUAGCUUCUCCACGGUAUAUUACACGCGUCAUUCCGAUAAAUGGUUAAAAAAUUAGAGCGAAAAAACUACCAAAAAUACACAGCGUGUAGUUUUUUCGACACGAAGUUCACUCGCCUGAGUACUGCAGCACACUUGGUUCAAACAAUGACGUGCAGUUGCGUUGAGCGUGCACUUCGGAAGUGUUAUCAGAAUAACUAUUCUGUUAAUAUUAGCAUAAUAGACCGACUGUAUAUUAUUCUGUUACGCGUAACAGGAUAUUAUUCUGUUACCCUAUGGUGAAUUCAAGCAGUUGAACUGAUGCUUUCUGUUCCUAUUAAAAAUCGUCUUCUUUAGUUCAAAAGUUUUUGCAAUUUUUUUAUCAAAACAGGGCGUGUAAUAUAUCGCUGGAAAGCUCUUGACAUCUACAUUACAAUCUUGUAAUUUGUUUUUGCAAAAAAUUAUGAUUUACGAGCAGUUUUGAAAAACCCGUUUUUUUUCAAGCCGAAAACGCGAAUCGUAUUUUGGACUUAAUUUUCAAACGGUUUGUCGGAAUUGAGCAAAUGAGAUGGCAUUGGAAAGCUUGUGAAAAUCCGCAUCUUCUAUAUUUCUACUAUUUUUUCAAAUUCUAUAUGAUUUAAAAGUAAUUUGAAAAACGGUGAAAUUCUGGGCGAAAUGUUUUUUCACUAUUUUUUUGCAAACGGUUUGUAGGAUUGACACAAAUGAUAUGGUGUUGGAAAGCUAUGGAAAAUGCGCAAAUUUUGCAUAUAGAAAGUUUUUUCUAAUUCCUUACGAUUUAAAUACGAAUUCAAAUACAGUUAAAAUUGAUUUUGAACGUGUUUUUUAAAAAGUUUGUCGAAAUGGAGAAAAUAAUAUACCAUUGGAUAGCUAUCGAAAAUGCAAAACUUAGUCAUGUUGGACGUUUUCUCUACUUCACAACCAUUUAAGAGUAAUCUUCAAUACGGCAUGACGGAUCCUGCUGUUUUCUCGUCUGAAAAACAGAUUAGUCGUACUGAUAUAUGUGUAUGUUUGUACUGAGCUAUUUUUUGUAGAGUAAUUUUAAGUGGUUCCGAAAAAAUGUUCUUAUACUGAUGCUUGCGUGGUUUUGUACUAAACGUGUUUUCACUAACUAGACUUUGCUCUGUUUUUUCAUGAGACCCAUCAUGCUGUUUUUUCGUGAGAAAAAACAGAGUACUUGUACUGAUCUACAUGUGUGUUUGUACUGAUGUAUUCUUCGAAGAGUAAUUUUGAAAGGUUCCGAAAAAGGAGUACUUGAACUAAUGUCCGUAUGGGGUUGUACUGAGCGUUUUUUCACAGACUAGACUUUACUCUAUUCUUUUUACCGAAAAUUGUUUCAUCAAUUGUUCGCAAAUGAUAGUACGAACUAAGAUAUGUGUUGGUUUGUACUGAGCAUUUGUUUCAUCAUUUGUUCGCAAUUGAUAGUACGAAUGGAGCUUUGUUCAUUUUUAUACUGAGCAUUCUUGUCAGUGCCAGGAUCUCCGGAUUUAUGUUGUUUUGUUCUGCGAACUUCCUCAAAAUUUUAUUGGUAAAUCACACCAUUUUUUUCUUUUGCUAAAUUUUUGUCCUCUGAACUUGUGACGGAUGGAGUUUGUACUGAUAUGAAUCAUUUUGCCGAACCGCCACAAUUUUUUGUGUAUUGAAUCACUAUAUAACUUAGAACCAAAUUGUUUUUCUUAACAUAUAUUUGAAUUGUUUCUAUAUGUACAUUGAAUUGGGGAAGAGUAGCAAAAGUUAUACAUACUUUAUGGAUAGUAAUACAUGAAUUUCUUGGUAAACUGAAGAAUGUACUCUGGACCGUAAUACAUGUCCUCUCGAGUUUGUACUGAUGUGAAUCCUUUUGAACUUGCUCUCGACGGUAAUACAUGCCCUCUCGAGUUUGUAAUGAUGUGAAUCCAUUCGAACUUAUGUGGCUUACAUCAUUGAACGGACUCUAUUCUUCUCACUACCACCAUUGUUCUGUCCAUUUCUUUUCGGACUUGCAUGGCUUACAUCGUUGAACGGGCUUAGGUGGAUAUGUACUAAUGAACUACUGUGAUUUGUAGCUCUCAGGAAAUGGAAUCCUUUCUUUCCCUGUUAUUCUGAAUACCAAACAGCAAAAAAUGAGUUCUCAUAAGCACGAAAAAAUAUAUAUGUACCCCUAAAUUUUGCAGCUAUUUUGUCCUCUUUCAUUUUGAAAAAACAUACAAAAAGCAAAAGCACAAACUAUACAAAAGGUUUUAGACACCAAACCAGUAGAGAAUUAAAAAUAAGCAUCAGGCAGCAACUUGCUAAAGAUAGCACGAGUCAUAUACAUACGCAUUUCAUCCCAUUAUACUUCUCCACCCGCAUGGAAAGUGAGAGAACCUCCCUACAUGCAUAUACAGGCAUCAAACUCCCUCUGUACCUAAACUAUAUUUUUGUUUGAUAUAUAUUGUGAACUCCUCUUGUCGAUGUACAUGAACCUGCUGUGCAGAGAGAUGAAAUGUAGUACAUCAGUCUAGCUUCAUUCAGCUAGAGAGAAACAUGAAAAAAUGUUCAGUUUUUUGGACGGCUUUCCUCUUUUUCUUUGUCCAAUUCCGCGCCACGACUGCCACCAUCCUGCAUGCAAGCUUAAAAUUAAUUGAAGCCACCAAACAUGCACUUUCAUGAGACUUUGCUACUAUAAGUCAGCGAACAUAUCUUUAGUAUUAAACCAAAGGCACACUUAUUAACCAGCACUCUUGUUCAGUUCAGAGCAUCAUCAAUAAGAUAAAGAUACGGAAACAUUAAGCCAAUAUAGAACAACUGGAUUGAUUUGACUCAAAUUUUUACUUUCAAUGCAUUGUAGGCAACAGCCGAUCCAAGUCAGAACUGAUGUGAUUUAUUCCAUUGAACUGAUAUGAAAGUUUAUCUAUACUGUUCUGUUUUUUAACACACACGUUUUGAACUAUUCCCGCUUUUUUCAUUAUGAAUUGAUGACAUAAGACAUGUUGAACUGUUACACAAGAGCAAAAUUCAGAAAUACAUAACAAUGGUGUACUCAAAAUAUGUGCAUUUUAAGGAACAAAACUUUCUGAACCUUCUAUACGAAAAACUUCAACUAUCAGUCCAAAGAGAUUUGAAGUUAAACAAUCAUUUCCCUUACCGAGUGUUAAGGAAAACGAAACCAGAGAUGACCUCGCCGACAGUAGGAGUAGCGAUGGCUGCCAAGGCGACGCGUUGGUACAUGUACUAAACAUCUGCUCAAACCUGUUGUAACAUCUACUUCAAGCUUUUUCUAAAUCAUUGUUGGGAGUAGAGGGUUUUAAAAGAAAAUACAGAGUGCCAAAGAAAGAAAGGAACAACCUAUUUAUCUAAAGGACUGUGAUAUUUGGCACACGUGUGCCAUAUAAGCAAAACUGCCACACCUCUAUUUCUUUCAUUUUAAAGUACCAUACGAUCCCUCGUUCUUUGACCCCGCCUCUUCCCAAAUUACCCCGCAGGCUCGCCUGAGAAACCUGCUUCUCCCGCACAUCUCGGGCGCUUACCCCCGAGAAAACUGCCACUUCUUCACGUCUACCACAUGAUUUCUCCUUAGGACAAAGUUACCAUGAUAUUCAUAUGAAAGUUAUCAGGCCUGUGUUGCAUAACUUACCAUACUAUUUACAUAGAACGUAUCAGGUACUAUGCUUCAACAACUACACCCUUUCAAAGUUACCACUGUGUUUUGUACACAAGUUAUAAGGUCUUUGAUGUGUAAAAUACCGUGGUACUUACACAUAAGUUAUCAGGGUAUAUGUACAUCAACCUCCCCCCGGUCAAAGUUACCAUGGGGGAUUGUACAUGAGUUACCGGGUCUACGGUUCGUAUAUUAUCAUGGUACUAGCACCUAAAAACAUGGGUGUGUUUCGGUAGCUUUUCACAUAGGUCAAAAAUUACCAUGAUGUUUUUGCGUAACUUAUCACGCCUAUAGCACGUGUGCCCCUCGUGACACUAAACAUUAUGUGACUUUCCCGUGGCAUGCCAUGUGUUGUGUUCAUCCAAGAGGCCCACGCGCGAGGCAAGUGUAUGUUUUUAACAACUUAUAUAUUUUCCUUUGGUAAAAAAGUUAUCAUCAUGUUUAUAUUGCAAGUUAUCGGUUAUGCGGUGCUUAUAUUAUCAUGUUAUUUACACAAAAAUUAUUGGGGAUGUUUUGAACAACUUUUUCCCGAGGCAAAAAGUUAUCAUGGUGAUUCUAGGUAACCUAUCAAGCCCGUAGUGCUUAAAAUAUCAUGCUAUUUACAUAAAAUUUAUCAGGGAUAUGCUUCAGCAACAAAUUCCACCCCCCAUGGGUCAAAAAUCUAUCAUGGUGUUUAGUUAUCGCAGUGCAUAUGUUUUCAUACUAUUUACACAUAAAAAUGCCAGGGGAGGGAGGUAUACUACCGUGCUAUUUACAAAGAAGUUACCGGAGUAUCUUAAAAAAAUUGCCUACGGUCAAAGUUACCAUGGUGCUUCUACCUCAGUUAUCAGAUGUGCGCUGUGUAUAUUACCAUCUAUUUACACAUAAACUAUCAGGUAUCUUUUCACAUUUGUUUUCCCCAAUGGUUAAAGUUACCACGAUGUUUGUAUCUAAAUUAUCAGGUCUAUGGCGUGAAUGUUAUCGUACUAUUUACAGAAAUUACCGGAGGGCGGGUUCAACAAAUUUAUUCCCAAUGAUCAAAGUUACCACGAUGCUUGAAACAAAAAGUUGCUAACGUAUUAAAGGCAAAAACAUGUCAAAAACAGUAUUACCCUUAGAAUGUUCAACAAUGAGUAUCAUAGGUGAGGUGGUUAGCUCCCUUUGUUAAUUACCUGCAGACCAGAGAUCAAAUCCUAGUAUAAGCAUUAUUUUUGCUGAAAAUCGAGAAGGCAUGUGGGGCCAUAAAUGACGAUUACAAAAAUUAGAAAGGCACAAGCGGGAGAGAAUUGAUGACAUUUGAUGCGUGUGGCAGUUUCACAAUCUGCCACACGGUUGCCAUAUACAUAUUUCGUUAUCUAAAUAGUGUGUGGAAUUGUUUACACAGAUGAACAAAACAUUACUUGAAGUAGAGGUUCUGCCAAAAGAAAGAAAGAGCAUCUUGCAGGUUCAAGUUUGAGUAGUUGAGCCAGACAAUUUAUCGUAGGCGUUGUAUGUAAUAAUAAUUUAAUUAUUUUCAUAGGAGUACGACUCAUAGUAUCGGCAUGGAGGUCGUGAACAAAAGCAGAAGUAUCCUUAAUUUUUUAUUAGUGAUUGUAAUUUUCCUUAUAAAGAACAUACUACUCUCGUGUAAACCCAUCCCUCUACAUAUGUACUGUCAGUUUUUUGCAAAUCGAACAAAUUGCGUAUGUAGCAAGUGCUAGUAUCUUGAAAUGCAGUUAUGCGUAUGCCCCUAAGAGUAGGUGAAUAGAAAACUCGAACCAAAAAUGGCUUUCUCCUAAUAGUAAUCGUGCUAGAACUCAUUCAAAGCUGAAGUGAACUAUAAUUAUAACCAGCCUUUGUCAAUAGAAGUCCUACUGAUCACAAAUUCCUCUAAUUUCCUCCAGACUCAAGAUCAAGAUGGUGGACAGUGCACGGAUAUUACAAAAUUAACAAUUCACAAUACGAAUUAAAUAUCACAAAUUGCAAGGUACAAGUUUUGAGCACAUACAAUCUUUCAUUGGUAGGCAACACUACAACUUUGGAGGUCAACACAUUAGGCAAACUCUUUGGAAUUAAGAUAGUGAAAAGUAAAUGUAUGCGAAAGCAAGCUUCAGUUCAGUAAACCAUCAAGCCCAGAUUGCUGCACUCCGAAUUUCCUUUAGACUUGUACGCUACCUUCAGGUCAGCAAGCUUUAUGUUCAGCAAGUGUGUAACAAAACAAGAAUUGAACUGGAAUAGAAUUUGAAAUUUGAACUGAAAUACAAUACGAAAACUAAACUGAGUGUACUUUCAGAUUUUCACAUGGGCAUCAGUGCAUGAAGCACCAAUGAAAUUGAACUGAAACAAACUUCAGUUCAACAAACUUAUAUGAAGUUAUAUGAAGCAUGCUUGAAUGCGUUGACCCGAAGCAUGCUUGUAGGAGAGUAGUGGCACUGGAAGCGAGCCUUUUGCUGAACUUAUAUGAAGUUAUAUGAACUUGUCUAACUUAUAUGGAACUUAUAUGAAGCCUUUUGCUGAACUUAUAUGAAGUUGACCAGACAAGAUGAUACCGAGGCGCAUCAGAAUAUAGGAGAGUGGUGAUGCAAGUCAGUCACCGGCUGGGUAAUGAAGCGGGUGGUAUGCGGCAUGGAGACAACCAGAAAACGGGACAUCCAGGGGUAGGGAGCAUCGUCGCUGAAGAUCAGAGAGUGUGGAGCGCAGGCGUGCAGUGUCCCCCGGCCGGCACCGGAGACGAAGGAGAUCGGGGAUAGUGCACUUUUUUCGUCAGCCUACAAGAUGCUCAAGGACCAGGACAACAUGUAGUUUCAGAAUUACAGAUUGUGGUCAGCUAUAGGAUGUUUCUGGGACCAUGUUUUAGCUACGAGAGAGCAACAACAUCACAUCAUGAGAGAGAGGAUGCAACAUCAAAAAUUCAGGAGAAAGAUCAGAGCAGAGCAGAAGUAAAUAUGUUUUGAGGAGAUGAACUGACCAGGAUUUAAAUGAACUCUCACUAGCAGUAAUUUUUGUACUUCGCAUGUAGUACUACAUGGACUUGCUGUAAAAUACAUUGACCAUGUAGUAAUUUUGAAGUUAAUUAUCACUACUGCAGAACCGGGCAAUAGCACCGGUUCGUAAGGCCCUUUGUGCCGGUUUCGGAAUCGGCACUAACAUUUCGGCACUAAAGCCCCCCCCCCCUUUAGCACCGGUUCAGCAUGAACCGGUGCUAAAGGGCAACCACGUGGCACGAGCCAGCUCCGGGGGCCGAGAGCCCUUUAGUACCGGUUGGUAACACCAAUCGGUACUAAAAUGUUUGGGGGGGUUUUGGUUUUAUGAUUUCUUUUUCAUUUAAUUUUGUGUUUUCCAUUUUAAUUCUUUUUCGUUUGCUGGUAUUUUACGGUACUACACAUUGUACACGUUAUGCAUAUAUAUAUAUAUAGAAUUUCUAGUAGAACCAAUCAUAUAUAUAUCAUCAAUGUCUCACAAACCACCAUAUUAAUUUACACAUACACACAUGUAUAGCUAUAUACAAUUUCUCCUACAUAUGCAUGUUGCCUUCGGAGCCAGUUGCAUUAGCCUAAUUGGUGCCUUCGGAGCACGAUGACAAUUGGAAGUGGUUCAUGACCUGUUCGAUGGGGGCGGUAGCGGGUAAUAGUAUUCUCCCUUCGGAUUUAUGACCUGGUCGAGCAAAAAUCCCGCUAUUUCCUCUUGAAGUGCUUCUACGCGCUCCAUUUCUAGGAGCUUGUCCCGCACCUCUUUGAACUGUUAAGAAGGAGAUCGAUAUGCAUGUGUAUUAGUUGUGUGACUAGAUAUCGAUAAUGGUGUAAAAAUUAUGAAUAGUGUUCUAACAAGAGUACCCAUUCCUGUCUUUGAGAUCUGCUCCUUUCGGAUGCCAUCAUGCGAAUGUUCUCGCAAAUGCAGAAUGCACACAGAUUAGUCCCCUACGCCUGCUUCAGGGCCUUUAUUACGAGAAUGGAAUUUAAUUUGAUCAGAUAAUAAUUAAUCAAGCAUGAUAAUUAAUGAGAUGGCAACUAGCUAGCUAGGUAGUACUACUUAAUUUGAUCGAAUACUACAGAAGAAUCUAGGACACUCGCGGUUCCUAUGGCGCGGGCGGUGGACACCCAAAGAGAAGGAACCCUCACAGGAUCAUAGCUGAAGUGAGAUCCCUGAAGAAACUGCCAGGUAUUGGAGAACCUGACGCCCUCUAACGCAACCAUGUAGCGAUGGACGUGCUCGUCCUCCUCCCUGACACGACAACGUACCACCUCCGGCAGGGCUGGUUCCCUCCGCACCGAAACUGGCCCACGCGAACGCAACCAAACGAGAUCAGGGUCGACGACGGGACCCGGGGCCGGGUUCCUCAUCAAGCGGCGCGCCCCUCCAAGCAGCACCUCCCAGUGCCAGCCCGGCGGAGCCCAGUCCCGGACAUGGGUCAGCUGGACGUCGUCGCGGACGUAUCGACGGCGAGGAUGCGGGCCGGGCAUCGUCGACAACAAAUACUAGCUAUAUGCCCGCAAAAAGUAACAUUUUUUUAAUGAUUGGAUUUUGAUAACUAAAAUUUCUAACAUUCUAUAACAUUUCUAACAAUGCUAUAUAUAACUAACAUUUCUAUAACAUUUCUAAUAUUUCUAUAACUAAAAAAAGAAAAAUUUCUAACUUUUUUAUAACUAUUUCUAUAACUAAAAAACAGAAAAAAUUCUAACAAUUCUAACUUUUUUAUAACUAUUUCUAUAACUAAAAAACAGAAAAAUUUCUAAUAAUUCUAACUUUUUUAUAACUAUUUCUAUAACUGAAAAACAGAAAAAAUUCUAACAAUUCUGACAAUUCUAACAAUUCUAACAUUUCUAACAUUUCUAACUAUUGUAACAAUUCUAACAUUUCUAACUAUUUCUAAAAAACAGAAAAAUGUCUAACUAUUUCUGAAAAACAGAAAAAUCUAUAACUAAAAAUGUAUGUGUGUGUGUGCGNNNNNNNNNNNNNNNNNNNNNNNNNNNNNNNNNNNNNNNNNNNNNNNNNNNNNNNNNNNNNNNNNNNNNNNNNNNNNNNNNNNNNNNNNNNNNNNNNNNNNNNNNNNNNNNNNNNNNNNNNNNNNNNNNNNNNNNNNNNNNNNNNNNNNNNNNNNNNNNNNNNNNNNNNNNNNNNNNNNNNNNNNNNNNNNNNNNNNNNNNNNNNNNNNNNNNNNNNNNNNNNNNNNNNNNNNNNNNNNNNNNNNNNNNNNNNNNNNNNNNNNNNNNNNNNNNNNNNNNNNNNNNNNNNNNNNNNNNNNNNNNNNNNNNNNNNNNNNNNNNNNNNNNNNNNNNNNNNNNNNNNNNNNNNNNNNNNNNNNNNNNNNNNNNNNNNNNNNNNNNNNNNNNNNNNNNNNNNNNNNNNNNNNNNNNNNNNNNNNNNNNNNNNNNNNNNNNNNNNNNNNNNNNNNNNNNNNNNNNNNNNNNNNNNNNNNNNNNNNNNNNNNNNNNNNNNNNNNNNNNNNNNNNNNNNNNNNNNNNNNNNNNNNNNNNNNNNNNNCGAGAGGCGACGGGGGGCGCGCGGCGACGGGGACGGCGACGGGCGCGGCGACGACGGGAACGGGGACGUACGGGCCGGGGCGGCGAUGACGACGGGGACGGUGACGACGCGGCCGGGACGGGGCGGCGGUGACGACGGGGACGGGACGACGGAGCGGCGACGACGGGGACGGGGCGGCGACGGGGGCGGCGACGGGCCGGGGCGGCGACGAGGGAUAUGGAGACGGCAGGGGCGGCGUGCGAUGGUGCAGAGGAGAAGAAGCAGACGGAGAGAUGAGAAACUGACGAAAUUUUGAAGUGUUUUCUUAUAUAGAACCCACCUUUAGUACCGGUUGGAGCCACCAACCGCUACUAAAGGUCUGUUUUGGCUAGCCCAAGCGGCGGGAAGCGACCCCCUUUAGUACCGGUUGGUGGCUCCAACCGGUACUAAAGGCCCCCCCUUUAGUACCGGUUGGUUCCACGACCCGGUACUAAAGGGUGUGCACUGCCAGGCGAGGGGCACAAAAGUUUAGUCCCACCUCGCUAGCCGAGGGGCACUCGCACCUGCUUAUAAGUCCCGCCGUCGCUGCUGUCUCGAGCUCCUCUCUUAAGCAGGCCUACUGGGCCUACCUCUUCUGCGAUGCCCUGUUGGGCCUACUGGGCUAGCGGGCCUGCAUCCUGGUCCAACUUGAAUUUGGGUUUCUAGUCGUAUGCAGGCCGCUGUGGCCCAGUAGGUGGGCUUUCUUUUCUUAUUUUUUUGCUUUAUUUAUUUUUGUGAAUAACUUAACUUUGAAAAUAUAUUUUUCAGUGAUUCUUUUUUCUUAUGUUUAAUAUUAGUGUGUUUUAUCAUUAUAUUCAAUUUGGUAAUGCUUAGGUUAUUUAAAAAAUGAAAUGCCUUUGUAACGGAUGAGUUUUCGUCCGAAACCCUGAUACUUCGAAACAGAUUGUCCAUUUUGUACACGAAGUGCAUCCAGUUUUUGCGGUAACCCUCUCUACUUUUUUGCACAUGCUAUGUGGGUGAAAUUAUGAUACCAUGCCAACUUUCAUCCUUUUCUGAGUUCAUUUGAAAUGCUUUUCAAUUUCAGGGUCAUUUAGCUGAAAAAAUCAGUAAAUGCAUGAAAGAAUUUGCUUGCACAUAAAAGUUCUUCACGUUUCAAAUGCCAAAACACAUAACUAGCUACCCUAACUAUUACAGAGAUUGCCUCCUGGGUGUGAAACACAGAAGAAAGUGAUGAUAGUUAAGCCGAUCACAUCCCAGAUCUUUGGGUGUGAAACUUUUUCUUCGCGUGUGUCCUUUUGCAUCGUAGCCAUGGAAAAUCUUCAUCAUUUAACGGGAUGCUCGGGUCAAUAUUCACUGUGAAUGGAGCAAUCUCAUCAAACUUUUCAUAAUCUUCUGACUUGUCUGUCUUGUCAUCCACUCCCACGAUGUUUCUCUUCCCAUAAAGAACUAUGUGCCUCUUUGGCUCAUCGUACGAUGCAUUCGCUUCCUUAUCUUUUCUUUUUCUUGGCUUGAUAGACAUGUCCUUCACAUAGAAAACUUGUGCCACAUCAUUGGCUAGGACGAAUGGUUCGUCUGCAUACGCAAGAUUGUUGAGAUCCACUGUUGUCAUUCCGUACUGCGGGUCUUCCGUUACCCCGCCUCGUGUCAUAUUGACCCAUUUGCACCGAAACAAAGGGACCUUCAAACCACGUCGAUAGUCAAGUUCCCAUAUGUCCUGUAUAUAACCAUAAUAUGUUUCCUUUCCCGUCUUGGUUUCUGCAUCAAAGCGGACACCACUGUUUUGGUUGGUGCUCUUCUUAUCUUGGGCGGUCGUGUAAAAUGUAUUCAUUUAUCUCGUACCCUUUGAAAGUCAUUAUAUUCGAAGAUGGUAACUGGGACAGCAAGUACAGGUCAUCUUCAAUAGAGGUGUCAUGCAUGGUACGUGCUUGCAACCAGCUGGCGAAACUCCUGGUUUGUUCACGUGUAAUCCAGUCAUCAGACCGCUUCGGGUGUUUGGAGCAUAGCAAAUUCUUGUGUUCAUCCAUAUACGGAGCCACCAAGGCGGAAUUCUGUAGAACUGUGUAGUGUGCUUCAGUGAGAGAAUGUCCGUCCAUACAUAUUAUUUGUUCCCCUCCUAGCGUGCCUUUUCCAUCUAGUCUGCCCUUAUGCCGCGAUUCAGGAACACCAAUCGGCUUAAGGUCAGGAAUAAAGUCAAUACAAAACUCAAUGACCUCCUCAUUUUGACGGCCCUUAGAGAUGCUUCCUUCUGGCCUAGCACGGUUAUGAACAUAUUUCUUUAAGACUCCCAUGAACCUCUCAAAGGGGAACAUAUUGUGUAUAAAUACAGGACCCAAAACGUUAAUCUCUUCGCAUAGGUGAACUAGGACGUGCGUCAUGAUGUUGAAGAAGGAUGGUGAGAACACCAACUCGAAACUGACAAGACAUUGCACCAAAUCAUUCUGUAACCUUGGUAUGAUUUCUGGAUCGAUUACCUUCUGAGAGAUUGCAUUGAGAAAUGCACAUAGCUUCACAAUGGCUAAUCGAACAUUUUCCGGUAGAAGCCCCCUCAAUGCAACCGGAAGCAGUUGCGUCAUAAUCACGUGGCAAUCAUGAGACUUUAGGUUCUGGAACUUUUUCUCUGCCAUGUUUAUUAUUCCCUUUAUAUUUGACGAGAAGCCAGACGGUACCUUAAUACUAAACCCGGGCAUGGGCAGCCCGGCCCAACGACCCGGCCCGAGCCCGGCCCGAAAAACUCGGGCCGGGCCGGGCCGGGCUUGACAUUCGGGCCGGGCUCGGGCUUUGUUUUUCAGCCCGAAAGAUAGUUCGGGCCGGGCUCGGGCUUUAAUUUUUCCGUAUUUCGGGCCGGGCUUUCGGGCUUCGGGCCGGGCUUGCACGUGCGCGUACUAAAAAACAACAUUCGGGCCGGGCUUUCGGGCUUCGGGCUUGAUUUCGGGCCGGGCUCGGGCUUGAAAAUGUGGAGUAUUUCGGGCUUCGGGCCGGGCUUGGGCUUGAGAAAUGAAGGUCGGGCUUUUACAAGCUCGGCCCGAAACCCGGCCCGGCCCGACGUUUGCCCAGGUUUACUUAAUACUGAGCAGGCAUUCAAAGAAGAUUUCCUUCUCUUCUUUGGUAAGAGCGUAGCUUGCAUGACCCUGAUGUAUGCCGUCUUUUUCGUGCAUACGUUGCUGGUCCUCCCGUGCCUCAGGUGUAUCUUUUGUCUUCCCAUACACGCCCAAGAAGCCAAGCAGGGUCACACAAAGAUUCUUCGUCACGUGCAUCACGUCGAUUGCGGAGCGGACCUCAAGGUCUUUCCAAUAGGGCAGGUCCCAAAAUAUAGAUUUCUUCUUCCACAUGGGUGCGCGUCCGUCAGCGUCAUUCGGAACAGAUUGUCCACCAGGACCCUUUCCAAAGACCACCUUCAAAUCCUUGACCAUAUCAUGUACAUCAGCACCAGUACGAUGGCGAGGCUUCGUCUGGUGAUCCGCCUCACCUUUGAAAUGCUUGCCUUUCUUUCUUACGGGAUGCCUGCUCGGAAGAAAUCGACGAUGUCCCAGGUACACAUUCUUAUUAGCCAAAUAUAUACUGUCGGUAUCGUCCAAACAGUGCGUGCAUGCACGGUAUCCCUUGUUUGUCUGUCCUGAAAGGUUACUGGGAGCAGGCCAAUCAUUGAUGGUCACGAACAGCAACGCCUUUAGGUCAAAUUCUUCCCCCAUGUGCUCAUCCCACGCACGUACACCUGUUCCAUUCUACAGUUGUAAGAGUUCUUCAACUAAUGGCCUUAGGUACACAUCAAUGUCGUUGCCGGGUUGCUUAGGGCCUUGGAUGAGCACUGACAUCAUAAUGAACUUUCGCUUCAUGCACAACCAAGGAGGAAGGUUAUACAAACAUAGAGUCACAGGCCAGGUGCUAUGGUUGCUGCUCUGCUCCCCAAAAGUAUUAAUGCCAUCUGCGCUUAGACCAAACCAUACGCUCCUUGCAUCAUCUGCAAACUCCUUCCCGUACUUUCUUUCGAUUUUUCUCCACUGUGACCCGUCAGCGGGUACUCUCAACUUUCCGUCUUUCUUACGGUCUUCUCUGUGCCAUCGCAUCGCCUUGGCAUGCUCUUUGUUUUGGAACGAACGUUUCAACCGUGGUAUUAUAGGAGCAUACCACAUCACCUUGGCAGGAAUCUUCUUCCUGGGGCGCCGGCCCUCGACAUCACCAGGGUCAUCGCGGCUGAUCUUAUAGCGCAAUGCACCACAUACCGGGCAAGCGUUCAAAUCCUCGUACUCACCGCGGUAGAGGAUGCAAUCAUUAGGGCAUGCAUGUAUCUUCUGCACCUCUAACCCUAGAGGGCAGACAACCUUCUUUGCUUCGUACGUACUCUCGGGCAAUUCGUUGUCCUUUGGAAGCAUAUCCUUUAUCAUUACCAGCAACUUUCCAAAUCCCUUGUCAGAUACACCAUUCUCUGCCUUCCAUUGCAGCAAUUCCAGUGUGGUGCCCAGCUUUUUCUUGUCACCUACGCAAUUCGGGUACAACAAUUUUUUGUGAUCCUCUAACAUGCGCUGCAACUUCUUCUUCUCCAAAUCACUUGCGCAGUUUCUCUUUGCAUCGGCAAUGGCCCGACCUAGAUCAUCAACGGGCUCAUCUGAUGCCUCUUCUUCAGCUUCUUCCCGCAUUGCCGGCUCAGCUUCUUCCCGCAUUACCGGCUCAGCUUCUUCCCCCAUUGUUGUAUCAUCAUAUUCAGGGAACCCAUGGCCAGGAUAGCUGUCGUCGUCCUCUUCUUAUUCAUUGUCUUCCAUCAUAACCCCUAUUUCUCCGUGCUUGGUCCAAACAUUGUAAUGGGGCAUGAAACCGGACUUAAACAGGUGGACGUGAAUGGUUCUUGACGUAGAGUAAUUGUGACCAUUCUUACAGCGAGCACAUGGACAAGGCAUAAAACCAUCCGCCUGCUUGUUUGCCUCAGCCGCAAGCAGAAAAGUAUGCACGCCCUCAACGAACUGGGGAGAGCAUCGGUCAUCGUACAUCCAUUGCCGGCUCAUCUUCAUUACACAACACCGAAUAGACCAAAUUAAUACAAGUUCAUACAUAAAGUUCAUACAACACUUAAAUGCAACAAACAAAUAACUCUCUAGCUAAAGCAUUUAAAUGCAACAACAAAUACGAUCAAGAUCGCAACUAAGGUAACAAUGGAUCCAACAGCAUAAUGAUACCAAGCCUCACUAUCGAUGGCAUAUUUUCUAAUCUUUCUAAUCUUCAAGCGCAUUUUCUCCAUCUUCAUCUCGUGAUCAUCGACGACAUCGGCAACAUGCAACUCCAAUUCCAUCUUCUCCCCCUCAAUUCUUUCAAUUUUUCUUUCAAGUACUCGUUUUCUCUUUCAACUAAAUUUAACCUCUCGGCAAUAGGGUCGGUUGGAAUUUACGGUUCACAUACCUCCUAGAAAAAAUUUCUAUGUCAACUUGAUGGGCAUAAUUUGUCAUAAACACAAAAUGCAACUAGUUUUAAAAGAGAAUAUACAUACCACACCCGAAUCAUAACAAGGACUAGGGCCGACGGGGACGGAUAUCAAAACCAUAGCACUAUAUGUAUAACAAACAACGUACGGGUAAGAUAAUUAUACGAGUAACUAUAUAUCCAAAUCACACAAACAUCAAUUUUUAUAUAAAAUUUCAUGAACUAGAGGCUCACCACAAGGUGGUGCCGGCGACGGGACGGUGCGGGCGAUCGACGGUGGCUACGAUGGAGAUUUAGAAGGCACUAAGUAAACCACACCUACAUAUGCAAACUAAGUGUUAUUUUUGACCUCAAAUUGCAUAUAAAUCAAAUACUAGCACAUAUAUAUAUAUAUCCUCCCAAAUUACUAAAAUCACAAAUUAAUCACUAUAUAAAGCAUUGCAAGAGCUAAUCUAGCAAUGAGAGAUGAAAGGACAAAGUUGCUAACCUUUGUGAUCAUUUGAAUGGAUGGGGGCCUUCAAAUCUUGACAAAUUUUGGGCAAAAUGUGUGAUGAGCUCGAGAGGAAGAGGGGAAGAACAGAGAGGAGAGGGGAAAGGGGAAUAAUAGAGUGAGCUUGGGUGGACGAAGGGUCUAUGUAGGACGACCUUUAGUACCGGUUCGUGCCAAGAACCGGUACUAAAGGGGCUGGAGGGGCACCUGUCUGACAACAUCCUGCCACCACUCUCAUUAGUACCGGUUCGUUGCACGAAGCAGUGCUAAAGGUUCGCCACGAACCGGUACUAAUGAAAGCGGCCCGGCUAGCCGUUGGAACCGGCACUAAUGUAUACAUUAGUGCUGGCUCAAAUACAAACCGGCACUAAUGUGCUUCACGUUUGACCCUUUUUCUACUAGUGUAUAUGAUCAUCUCAAAGAGCUCAAGUUGUACUGAAAGCUCAAGUUGGACUAAAACUCACUCGAUAACUGAAAAUCCUAGGGCGAGGGGUGGGAUCCAGGGUGCUGCUAGCAAUGAACGGCCUGGGGUGGUGGCGUUGAACGGCCUGGAGUGGUGGCUGUGAACAGCCAGGGUGCUCCGGUGGCAGAGCCCCACCGGAGAUGGUGAUGCAAGCAGGAGGUCGGGAAGCAGUGGUGCCGGUGGUCGGGGUCGUCCAAUGCACAUGGCACACCAGUACAGGAAGUUGAUUCAUCACCCAUCCAUAGUUUUUUUCCUUUUUGGAAUCCAUUGAACUGAAAAAAGCUACAUGUGAGCUGAAAGUAUGAAAAUAACAUAUCUUUGAAAGAAUAAAGAACUAGCUUUAACAUAUCUAUGAAAGAAUACACCUCCGAGGAACUAGCUUUGAACAUAUCUCUGAAAGAAUAGAGAGCAUGCAAAGUUCAAGGAAAGAAUAAGCAAAAUGGCACACUAGUACGCAGUAGUACGAGUCCAGUCAUGUACGUGCUAGUAUUAGGUUUGAAUAGUAGCUAGAAUUGAAGUUCAGGUAACCAUGGCACACACAUCAUACAGUUUCAAUCAUGUAUGCACACACUGUAAUAGUAGCUGCAAUUAAAGUUCAAAUAACCACGGCACCCAUAACAGAACAAGAAUCAGUGUAGCAGCUAGGCAAGCAAGCUUCAUCAGCAUGAAUACACAUCAGCGGCAAGCUAGAACACGCUAGUAGGCUGUAGAAGUCUCCUUGUAAUUUUUCAAACAGAAGUGCUUUAGUUCAGUUCAGUAGUAAGGCAUGGAAAAAGAAAAGCAAUGGAAUAAACUAUAACUGAGCCAAAUAUGUAAUUUCAACAAACUAGACCUCAUUGCUUGACUUCAGUAGUAAUACACGAUCAUCAGUUCAAUAUAAACAUACUGAUGUUAACAUCAUCGUACAUCCAUUGCCGGUUCAUCUGCGUGCAUUAUAUAUAAUUAAGUGUGUCAAAAACCAUUACAGAACAGCAUGAAUAUAGAAGACCAAAUUAAUAGGAGUUCAUCAUCACAUUAAAACCAAAGUACAAUAGUGAUCAAAUGUUAUUACUGAAAAAAUAAAUACAUAAAGUUCAUACAUAUAUAUUUCUCAUUGAAAAACAUAUAUAUAGCUCUCUAGAGCAUCUAAUUAAACCAUACAUUGAAACAAUGCAAAAACAUUUCAAUGCAACAACAAAUGCGAUCAUAAUCGCAACUAAGGUAACAAUUGAUCCAACGGCAUAAUGAUGUCAAGCCUCGGUAUGAAUGGCAUAUUUUCUGAUCUUUCUAAUCUUCAAGCGCAUUGCAUCCAUCUUGAUCUUGUGAUCAUUGACGACAUCCGCAACAUGCAACUCAAAUCCCAUCUUCUCCUCCUUAAUUCUUUUCAAUUUUUUCUUCAGGUAAUUGUUUUCUUCUUCAACUAAAUUUAACCUCUCAACAAUAGGGUCGGUUGGUAUUUCCGGUUCACAUACCUCCUUGAUAAAAACAUCUAUGUCACGUUGGUCGGCAUAAUUUUCAUACACACUAAAUGAACAAAAUAGUUAUAAAAUAUAAUAUAUACCACAUCCGAAUCAUAGACAGGACGAGGGCCGACGGAGGCGGAUACCAAAACCAUCGCACUAUAUAAUAACAAAAAAUAAUAAAAGUAAGAAAAUUAUACAAGUAUCUAUCUAAAUCAUACAAGUAAGAACUUUUUUCUUUUAGAAGAUAAGAACAAGAGGCUCACCACGGUGGUGCCGACGACGAGAUUAGCACGGGCGAUCGACGGCGGUGAGGACGGGGACGGGACAGGAUGGACCGCCAAACCUAGACAAAUCUUAAGGAAAAUGGAGUUUGGACAAGGAGCUUCGAGAGGAGAAAGCUUAAGUAUGUCUCGGGCAUUUCACCGAACACCUCAUGUGCAUAGGAGGUGAGCUAGAGCACCACAAAGCUCUCCCACGGCCGGCCAAAAAAUAGAGCAAUGCACUGCUCUGCUCGCGGGCAGGGGGAUAUAUAGGCCUCUCUUUAGUCCCGAUUUGUGGCUAGAACCGGGACUAAAGGACCCCAUUUGGUCCCAGUUCCAACCACCAACCAGGAUUAAAGUUUGUGGGCCAGGACCGAGGCCCAUUGGUCCUGGUUCGUGUCUGGAAGCGGGACCAAAGGGGUCAGACGAAUCGGGACCAAUGGCCCCCGAGGCCCGGCCGGCGCCCUGGCUUUACGAACCGGGAUUGAUGCACCCAUUAGUCCCGGUUCAUAGGGAAUCCGGGAUUAAUGCCCUUUUUAGACCUGGACCAAAGCCCUAUUUUCUACUAGUGUUGUAGGCCUCGCUCACAUGAAGUAAGAACGGUCGGUGACGAUGCCUCAUAAAGUCCAUGUGGUGCAAUCAUAGUUGGUGGUGCAGGGGAAGAAGUAACCUUCUUUGAUGGGGAUUCCAUCACACGCUUGUUCGUCAUGUAGACGCGUCCUCUUAAUUUCUGUUCAGCUUUACAGGCAAGAUGAAACAAAUGAUCGAUAGAAUAUAGUCUUCAUGCAUUAUUAUGUCUUGUAUAUCAUGUAUAUCAUGCAUUAAUCUAAGCCCAGAUACUGAAUCAAGCGAGAGGGAACUAACGAAAAUAUAAUAGCUCCAAGUAGCUAGAUAUAAGUGAGGUAUGAACAUAGUGUAUGGCAACCAAGAGCAGACAAAAAAAUCCAACACUUAUCACUUAUAUGAACAGAGCAGGCUGAACAGCAAAAGAGAUUGUUCAAAAGAUGCUAGGUGGCCAAAACUUUGCAUCAACUUUUUUUUUAUUCUUUUUUCUGAAUUUUUUUUUUCAACUUUCAGGCCGGCCGCUAGUAGAAGUCACGUACACAAAUAUCUGACCAAAUAGGUAUGAAGGGGUGGCCGGGGCACGUCCGGUGUAGCCCAUCGGCGCUGUCCAGCGGUAAAAGAUCUCAUGCCAUUGCUGAAAUUCACGUCCCCCACCCAGGGCAUUUUGGUCAUUUCGCAUAUGUGCCCUUUUCCGAUUCUCUGCCUCCUCCCCCAAUGAGUACCUCCCUCAUUUUUCUCUCCCUCACAUCUCUCUCGAGAGAGAGCCGCCGCUGCCAGUCAUCCUCCCCGUCCGCCGCCGCCGCCGCCAACCAUCCGCAGCCGCGCCACCAUCCCCUCCCCGUUCCACUCCCAUAACUGAGCCAGCCAUGGCCGGGAAGAAGUGCAAGUCCUCUUCCUUCCUCCCUCACCCCUGAUCUGAAUCCUCUCCCGAAACCCCAGCUAGCUGCAUGCAUCCCAUAUGGCGCCGCCCAGCUCGCAGCCCUCGGCCGCCGAGCCAUCGCGAGGCUCCUCGCGCAAGCGCACGACCUCCUCAAAGGCUGCGCCCGAGGCCGACCUGGAGUUCACCGUCACCAAGGAAAGGUAAGGGGAGGGGAGGGGAUGGAAGGGAUCGAGCGACCAGGUGAGGCAGCGCCCAGAUCCACGGGGCCAUCGACACUUCAUCAUCGACCUCAUCCGCGACCGUCCUCGAGGUCGGCCAUGGUGGUCUGGCCCGGCAACAGCCAUGGAAGGAGACGCCCGAAUCCCUGGCCCUCCAAGUACGCGCCUGCUGCAGGCCAUCUCCGGCGAGCUCAUCCACAGAUCUCCAACUAUGGUGCGUGCGCAUGAUACCUAAACCCCUUGUCUUGUCAGUUUCUUCAUCUCCCUUCCUUGUGAUUCCUUGGUUUGUUUUGUGCGCAGUUGCUCCGAUCUGGAAGAGGUGGUGGAGCUUUUGUUGUUGCUGCUGCAGGUGGACGAGGCACCACCCCCUCUUUCUACUUCUGGACACAACCUGGUGGUGAUUGCUAAUUUCAGUGUUAAAAAAUUCAGUUCAAUUCAGUCAUGUUCUUUUCCUUUUGUGGGGAAAUUCAGUCACAUUCAAUGUUCAACUUUUAGAGUUAACAAACUGUUGUUAUGACCACUGUGGUUUAGAUGUUCAGAAAUUCAGACAAGUGGUAUGAUGAAAUGAGCCACCUUUUAACCCCCUAGUAAACCUACCGUGAACGUUUAGAGAGCCAAUGCAGGGAGGUGUGGACAUUUUACCAUGUUCAUAGGAAGAAAUCAACAUAAAAUACACAGCUUGUAGAUGAUUCGUCAACCACCAUCAAACACGACUUGUAACUUUCUGGACUAAACUGAACCGUGCAAUUGACUCAAAAUAAAACUAAACCGUGCAAUUGACUCAAAAAUAAAUAGUAAAUAUACUUUGGUUGUGUCUGCAGAAUUGCAUUAUGGAAAGAUGUGUGUGAGGUUACCCCAUCGCCACUGGUUCCAACUUUGUCCAUCAUGUCGCUCUGAUGAGAAGACCUCGUCCAUGUUUCAUUAAUAGGGCAGAGUGCUGCUGAAGUAUCUAUGUUGAACAAUUAUAACAGUACCAAGUAAGUUUGCUCCAAUUGCAUUUGAUGCAGAAGGCACAACACCGCCAUCAUGCGUCAGGUUCAGUAGAAGGCACGACACCGCCACGCUCUCCUCCACUACAACGCCACGCACCCGGUAAUUAAACAUGCUUUCUCUUCAUUCAAGUAGUAAGAGNNNNNNNNNNNNNNNNNNNNNNNNNNNNNNNNNNNNNNNNNNNNNNNNNNNNNNNNNNNNNNNNNNNNNNNNNNNNNNNNNNNNNNNNNNNNNNNNNNNNNNNNNNNNNNNNNNNNNNNNNNNNNNNNNNNNNNNNNNNNNNNNNNNNNNNNNNNNNNNNNNNNNNNNNNNNNNNNNNNNNNNNNNNNNNNNNNNNNNNNNNNNNNNNNNNNNNNNNNNNNNNNNNNNNNNNNNNNNNNNNNNNNNNNNNNNNNNNNNNNNNNNNNNNNNNNNNNNNNNNNNNNNNNNNNNNNNNNNNNNNNNNNNNNNNNNNNNNNNNNNNNNNNNNNNNNNNNNNNNNNNNNNNNNNNNNNNNNNNNNNNNNNNNNNNNNNNNNNNNNNNNNNNNNNNNNNNNNNNNNNNNNNNNNNNNNNNNNNNNNNNNNNNNNNNNNNNNNNNNNNNNNNNNNNNNNNNNNNNNNNNNNNNNNNNNNNNNNNNNNNNNNNNNNNNNNNNNNNNNNNNNNNNNNNNNNNNNNNNNNNNNNNNNNNNNNNNNNNNNNNNNNNNNNGUGCCAGCGAACCCAGGCCACACCCAACGCGCUGGGGGGCUGCUAGGGCCGCCGGCGGAAGCAACAGCCAAUCAUAUUCCUCCAUGUAUCAUUUUUUUCUGGUCCACUCAUUCACUUUUUGCCUGGCGACUGUCCUGGGGGCACCAACGGCUGGGAAACCGUCCUCGCGUUUCAUUUGGCGAAGGUGUUUUGCCCCCCAGGACGUGCUAUAUUUGGCCCGGCGAUUGUCCUGGGGGGGGGGGCUCCAACGGCUGGAGAUGCUCUAAUUCAUUGUAUUUGCAUGUUUCCAGCAGCCAUGUAUCAAAAAAAGCUUCAGCUUUGGGUUGUUGAUUUAGCAGAAUCAAUCAUUAAUUGUUCUGCUAUAUAUGUUCUUAACCAUGACAACCUGAUUAGGCUCUUAGUUUAUUAUGGUCUUUGUUCUGGGUGGAUCUCUGACUAUUCUGGGUGGGCUUGAAUCUCUUCUUUGUUUCUUCAUCUCCUCUUAUUCUGAUUCCUGCGUUUGUUUUAUGUGAAGGUUGCUCCGAUGAGGACAAGCUGCUUCUGCAGGUGGAUGGGCCCUCAAGGCUGCUCUGCCUAUUCCUCCUGCUACCCCCACACGUGGUGAGCCCCACCCGUUCUCGAGCUACCCCUGCAAAUCUGAUGUGAUGUGCACAAAAUACUUGCAAUUGUUCUCGACACAAGAGCAUGUCAUGUAUUGUUUUAUUUGAAUGUGCAAUUUCAUUGCUUCUGUGUUGUUUGAUGCUUGCUUCACAAGAGGGAAAUCAUGGAUAUAAACUGCGCUUCCUUUCAAGUUGAAUAGUAAUGAUCACCAUUUGGUUCCAUUUUCUCCUCUGCAUCCAGUGUUCACUCUCUCAUAGAUGUCCAUAUAUACACAGUUCUGAUCUCCUUUUUCUGCGGCUCCAUACAUCGAACACAAAGCCGUCGAUGCAUUGAGGGCUCAAUGUCGUCUCCGUCGGCUGAGCGGCAAGCCGGGGUUGGGCCUGCACACCGUCUAUCAGCACCCUCCCGCGUCUCCAUUCACGGAUCUGCAGGUCAACCCCUCUUCUCCUCCUAUCCACGCAUCUUCUUUUCCAGAGCUAGGUGUAUGGUUGCAUGGCAAUUUGUGUUUUGGGGCUCACCAUGUUCUGCUUGCCCUGGUUGGCCAAUGAGGCUUUCCUUUUCUGGUAAAGGCCAAAUGUACUAUUCUCUAUGCUUUAUAUUUUUGUAGUUCCUUUGUUUCCAUGCUUGUUUUUUGAUGGGGUGUAAAUAUAUGCUUUUUUGUUCCUUGUCUGGAUUCAGGUAGGGCCUAACAUUAUUGUUCCUUUGUGCAUGGAAAUGUUGGUGGUUUUGUUCCUUUGUAUAUGGAAGGGGGCCUUGAUUAGAAUUUCUAACGUUUGAGUUGUAAUUAGUGUUUUUGUUACACAUGAAAACAUAUGGUUGUUUGUCCAAUCACAUAUGAAAAAGAGAUGAUUGUUUGUCCAACAAUUUUCUUUCUCUGUGAUAGUUUUACUAGAAAUAAAGUAUAGUCACUAUUACAUCCUAUUUUAUAUCUUGUUGUGUCGUGAUAUCUGUAUAGACUCUGUCUACGUCCUUUUGAUAUUCCAAGUUUUGUUUUCUAUGGCUCAAUUAGUUACCCCGUAUCAAGAGAAAUUUAACUGGUAUUUGCGGUAGAGUUAGCUGAAUUCAUGAAGCAAUGAUUUAGUUAUUAUUAAAGCUGAAACACAACAUGUUUUGACAAAUGCAUUCUAAGUAAAGCCUCCAACUAACAUAACCAAAAACAUAUUCUUUAGGUUUAUCAUCUAUUGAAGUAUUAUGUAGAAUUUUAAAUCAUACGAGGCAAAGCAAAUGAGCUCUAUGCACUUUCCAUGUAGCACAGAACAAAAAUAAUCAUGUAUAUUUUGGAUGCACCUAGAUAUACUCAUCAGCAAGGCUGAGGUUAUAGGGCACUCACCCACAUUGUCGAUAUCUCCGUCACUAUGAUCACCCACAUGAUGGACAAUUCCCUUCUUUCUUUUCUCUGUGGCUAUUGACACUUAAUGCUAUUACUGUGUGCAUAUAUGUACUGUGAUCCAUUCUCAUUCUUCAUAUCUUGAGAAACUAUCUCAAGAUACUCGCGUUUGUGUUUUGGAGAAAGCCUAUUCUAUGAUUAAUAUAUCGAGUAUGGAUGGCGCGAUAUCACCUCUCUUUAUGAUGAUGUUCUUACAGAAUAUAGGUUUUAUGGUAACACGUCUUAGCCAACACCUAUACUGAUGCUCAGACCAGAUGAUUAUAGUCUCUCCUUGCUAUUUUUCUUGAGGUGUGUACAUCUAUCUAGACAAUUUAAUUAAAAUAUAUAUUCCAUACAAACCAUCAAUACAUGUUAGUUGACUUUGAAACUAAUCAGUAAAAAGGUUGUCCCUUUCGCAUUUUAUGGACAUAAAGAUUUGGUGUUGACUGUCGAUCUUCAGUUAACACAUGACCUUACAACCGUAGGGAGUGGGAAAAAACUUAUAUGUUUGGCACAUUUGAAGAACAUAUCAUAGUAACGAAGUUUUGGUAAACAAUGUCCUAGAUCUCAACCAUAUAGAAAUACUAAAUAUAUGUUUAUUUGUAUAUGGAUUAAUUAUACAGACUUAUAAAACCUUGUGCAGGGCACAUAAAAGAAAUUUGAAAUAACUAUUAUUUCAAUAUUUGCUUUUUCAGUUGAGCAUAAUAGUUUAUAGCCUGAUAGGCUUGGACAUAAUUGUCUACAUGUACUGCUCAGUAGGCGACAUCCUUUGGGAAAUUGAGGAUGUCCUCGUGCAUUUUCUAAAUACAAUUGGGGCAUAUCUGAGGAAUGAAGGGAGGAAUAAACUCGUGGGAGAGUUCGGUGCAGAGGAAGAAGAACAAGAUAUUAUUUAUUUCUUGUGUACAGUCAAGCUUGUGCAUUGUCCCACUGUAAGUUAUUUCAACAAUAGUAGUAACUGUUAUCUCUGGCCAUCUGUUGCGACAUUUUCUUUAACCACCAAUGCAUAUUUAUUUUCUUGUUAAUAACUCUCAUAAUUGCCUGCUACUGUUUCAGUUCUGGGGCCAGGCAACCUUGAAUCCAACGUCCACCUGCAGGCUACAUCUCAGGUAGGAUAAAAAGAUUGCAGUGAACUUGAUGGGUAUAUCAUUAUUGUUGCCUCCUAAUUUGUGUGAUGAGCAAAUGUGUAGAUUGUGUGUAAAUCCGAGAUGCCUAAAACGGUUGGGAACUGAACUUGUUACCUCGGUUCACUUUAAUGGCAUGUUAAACUCGAUGCACUUUCUGGACUGUGACAUUUUUCCUGAAAUUUUGGAAGUGACUGCUAAUGUAGUCUAAAUAGAGUGACUGAGUAGUUACUUUCUCACAAGAGUUGACUUCCCGUUAUUGGAGUACUUGCUAAGAUGGAUUGGUGGUUUUUAUGUUAGAUGAAAAAUAUUACAUCAAUCUUUACGGCUUUUUAUGGGCAAGUGAUUCCGACUCCAUAAUAAGGAAUAAUAUAGCCCUAGUGCUGUGAUAAUGUUAAAACAUUUACCUCUUUUAUCGGUUCAUGUUAUGUAUUUGCUGCGAAAAAAUGGUCUUAUAUCAAAUAAUAGCCUAGAGCUUUUGGAGUGUUAUUACUUGUAUUUGUUGCUUGGAUGUAUAAACCUUCAACAGACUGUCAAUUUUGCUUUUAUAUAAUCUGUUUGUUUAAGUCUGCUGCAUAUUGGUCAAAAGCUCAUGCUAAUUGAUGAUGUUAGGUGAUGAUCUUGUAUCUAACAGUGAUUUCUGAAUGCAUGCUAAAGAAAACUCAUGAACAUCAUGGCGCCUUGUUGAUGGGGUGAUCAAUAGCUACUAUAUUGGGACCCUGCACUUAAAUUGUAGGUCUGAUUUUGUUUCGGAGUUCUCCUGCUACCCACAAGCUCAGAUAGUUCUUUUGUUUGUGCAGGGGAAAUUGCAAAGCAUAUUAUGAAUUGUUACAAGAAACUAUUUCUGCUGUUUUGGUGCAAGGAUGUUGCUUUUUAGUAUGCUUCCCGUAUCUUGGUAUCUUGGAAUAAUAAACAGAUAGAUGUCGUGUACCAAGAUUAUUCCUUGUUGUUAAGAGGGAUACAAAUAUUAUACAAGAAUUUUUCUGAUGACUCCUAAAGCAUAUUUGGAUAUAUAGCAAAGUAUAUUGUCGCUUCCCUGUUAGUAAAAUGAUUAUGUUAGAAAUUUGGUUGGCAGCCCCUACAUUUGGCUGAUUGCUAGCUGACUGGAUUACUCAUGUUUGCGGACUCUGGUAACUUAUGCCUACCAAGAACUACAUGAAUUUUGUGUCUUGCUGCAGUGAACAUUACCAAACUAAUUCUAAAGGUGUUAUAAUCAUGUUUUCUUUUGCAUUAUCAACUUUUAACUUUUGUCAUUUGUUGACACAUUCCUUUUGCAUUAUCAACUUUUAACUAUUGUCAUUUGUUAACAUGAUUAUUUAGCAUGUUCACUAUGCGAGUAGUAAUAAUAGGAGCUAUUUAUUUGCCAGAUAACUAACACUAUUCAUAAGGCAUAAGGGUUAGAAAAAGAACUGUAUUCUUUUUGUGAUGAUUUUCGUAUCACUACAAGAAAUGUGUUAAUACAUGACGGAUGCAAACUGUCACAGGUGUGCGCAAAACCGUCAAGGUAGCUCAGCCAUGACGGAUCCAAAAUUCAUCAUGUAUAUCGCGUCAUAAUUUGACCACCAUGCAGUCCAUGACGGAGCGCCAGAACCGUCAUGGAUCCAUGACGGUUCUUGACCGUCACAGCUUACUAUCAAAUAACGGCGUUAACCAUGCAUUCCACAUCAUCAUCUGACGUGGCGACCAACUUGGAAGCCCAUCUAGUAGUUUGCCCAAUUAGAAGUUUGGCCCACUUAAUUUCCACUCUAUCCAAGACCAUCGGCCCAUGUUUUCAUCAACCCAUAAGAAUAUUGGCCCAUUAAAUUUCAGGACGGUCCGAGGCCCACUAAUUUUGGUCGAGACAUUAGCUCGUCACUUUGUUUCUCUUGGUCCAUGUAAACUUUGAUGUAAUAAGAAUUUUUCUAAUUAUAUAUGCUCAUUGCCUUGUAAAUAAAUAUGGAAAUUGCAUAAACAAACCAAAUAAAUAACAUUUUUUUCAAUCAAAAGGAAGAAAUACACAACAAAAAACUUGAAAUUACGGAUGUGUUUCCAGAUCUGGCCUACUACUCUCCCUAAAGCUAUACAAUCUGCAGUCACCAUAUCAAGCGUCGGCCAGCGCUCGCGGGACGUCAAGAGGAGUUCAUCGCCAUGGCUUUUCUGGCCACAGAUCUGGCCGUGUCCGCUGGUGUCAUCGAAGGGAAACACCAUGUCCACCACCGUCUCGCGUCGACCCAUGCUCCUGUCCAGCUGACCUUCUCCACCGAUAGGGACAAUGGAAUCGUGGUUACCUGCGCAUCGAUGAACCAUACAGCACCUCGAAUAAUCAAAAGAAAAGGGAAGGGAGAAUCUGAAGCAACAGGGAGGGGAGAAUCUGAAUCGACAAAUGACUCAACCUGCAAAACUCGACGGACAAGCUAACGGCGAGGCCGGCAAAGGCCAUGAACGUAGGCCCGCACUGACGAAUGGGCUGCAGUGGCCCAGCAUGGAGCAGCCCCCGGCGGCGGCACGGCGCAGCCACCCGGCCAUCGCAGCACAACAUAACCGCCGCCAAGCCAGGGGACGGGGACGUGCGGCCAAAGCCACCGCCGCCAAGCACUCACAGGGGCCCAGCAUGGCAACCCCAGAAGGUGUGGAAGCAGCCUGAAUGUCACGGUGGCGAUGCUUUCCUCUGUGUGGCCUCCAAGCGCCUCGACCUGCACUCAAAUCGGGAGAACGGGAGGCUGAGAUGAGAGUUAACAUCGAAGAAGGAAGAAGGAAAUAAAGUCCGAGCGGCGUCCGAGCGCAUCAACCUCAACAUCCAUCGCCUGCUCAUAGAGAUGGAAGGAGGCAGAUCUGGACGGAGGAAGAGGAACGACAGGUGAAGUCAUUGCUCGGUGGAAGAGAAUAUAGCUGGCCAAACGGGCCGGGAUAGUUGGGCCGGCCCGGUAGCACGGCCGGCACGGCACGGCACGUGCUAAACGGGCCAGGCCCGGCACGCAGCACGCCAUGGGCCGUGCCUGGGCCUGAAAGGCGAGCACGCGGGCUGGCACGGCACGGCCCGAUUAACUUUUUUAUAUUUUUUUAUGUAUCCUAAUAUGGGCCAACAGGUAAAAAUAGGCUAAAAACGCUCAAUGCGCAAAAUAGGAGGUAGAUUAGUGGGCCUGGCGUGCUGGUGGGCCGGCCCGAUUAGCAUAGGGGUCGUGCCUGGGCUGCAGGCUGCAGCACGCGGGCUGGCACGGCACGGCCCGUAUAAUAAUCGUGCCUAGGCGGGCCGGGCCGUGCCAGGCACGAUUAGGAUGGGCCGUGCCGUGCCGGGCCGGGCCGGCCCGUUUGGCCAGCUAUAGAAGAGAAGACGGCGGCGUGUGGGGUCUAGGAUAAAGGAGUGGAGACAGAGAGACCGUGUGCUCGCCGUCGGAUCUGCGAGAACGGGCGGCUAGGAUGCAUGAUCCGCAUGAUGCUCGGAUCAACCAAUCAGGAUAGAGCAUUUGUAUCACGCCGGAUCCACGCCUCCUCGGCUGGGAAACCCAAGUGGGCCGGCCAGGAAUUCUGAACAUUUUUAGUUUUGUGUUUUCUUUUUCCCUUUUCCCUUAUUUUCUAUACUCCCUUUUUCUUACUGAAUCAAUAACUCCUGAAAGUCAGAUUUUGAGAAUCUCGCCCUGAACGCCUUGUCACCACUGGUCCAGGCGCAUGCAACUUGGCGCAAGAAUAUCAGAGAUGUCACACAUUUUUCGUUCGGAAAAGAAACGAUACAUCAAGAGCACACACGUAUCCCCUUUGCCCACCACACACUCCCCCUCCCCCCUCGCUUCGUAUUUUUCUCUCCGGUGUCCACGACGACGUGUACCGUCUCGGAGCAAGGGACGGAGGCCAAAGCCCAGAGNNNNNNNNNNNNNNNNNNNNNNNNNNNNNNNNNNNNNNNNNNNNNNNNNNNNNNNNNNNNNNNNNNNNNNNNNNNNNNNNNNNNNNNNNNNNNNNNNNNNNNNNNNNNNNNNNNNNNNNNNNNNNNNNNNNNNNNNNNNNNNNNNNNNNNNNNNNNNNNNNNNNNNNNNNNNNNNNNNNNNNNNNNNNNNNNNNNNNNNNNNNNNNNNNNNNNNNNNNNNNNNNNNNNNNNNNNNNNNNNNNNNNNNNNNNNNNNNNNNNNNNNNNNNNNNNNNNNNNNNNNNNNNNNNNNNNNNNNNNNNNNNNNNNNNNNNNNNNNNNNNNNNNNNNNNNNNNNNNNNNNNNNNNNNNNNNNNNNNNNNNNNNNNNNNNNNNNNNNNNNNNNNNNNNNNNNNNNNNGUUUCACGGCGGUGGUGGCUGAGAGGAGAUGCGGUGAAGGGACUGCACAACACCGGAGCUUUGCGAGGUCCUACGUUGCCACUGGUGGUGGUGGUGGCAGGGUAUGUGGUUUGUUUGGAGCUCAUGUCAAGUUACAGAUAAAAAUGAGCCCCCCUCCCCCCAAAUGGCAAAUUUGUUUGCAGUGAUGGCAAGUUCACAUGGAGCCAUACUACAAAUUUUCCAUAUUUUUUAUUGAGGAAGAACAAUAUAUUGCCAUGGAAAAUUCAUACAUGGUUUCUUGACAUGUGUGGUAGAUGUGCUGGCAAGUUUUAAACCAAUAUUUGCCAUGGUUAAUUCAGUAUGUAGUUUUUGAUUUGGCGGUAGAGAUGUCAAGGCAAUUUUGCCUCCUCUAGUAUGCGGCGAUCGUCGCCCAAUUUUGGACGUAAGAACUCUCGAGGCCCAAUUUUCCAGCAAUUUUUAUCAGCUUCGCAACGUGGCUCUCAUUACACGCACGAGCUUUGCAACGUGGCCCGUGAAGUGGAGGUUGCUUUUGCAACACAUGUGGUGUUGCAUACCAAUCCCAUGACUAUGCAGCACGUGCCCGCGCCCCGGCUCGUUGCCUUGUCACUGUGUCGCGUUGGGACCCUCCCUAGCCACCACGCAUCAUCCAUCGCGACCUUGUCGCCGUCCGCCGCAUUGAUUCGGCCGGGGACGGAGAGAUCUACCGGCCCAGCCUAUCCACUGCCACGGUCAUCGGUGCCCCACCAAUGACAUGUGAACAACCACAACAAUCCCGGAGUCAACGACGACCACGUUUCUACACCACCAUCUCCGUUGAAAUUUUUUCUACAACAUCAUCUGUGUUGGAAAGGGUUAUGGAGCACUGCCUUUGUUGCAAUGGUGAGGGAGGGCAGGGCCACUAUAUUGAGCCAGAUCUAAUGGCUGCCGAGGCGGCAGAAAAGAUUUGCCGGCCGACGUGUAGUAUGUCCCACUAUUCUUUUCUGGAUUCGUUUUUCUGUUUUUUCCAGUUUUCUUAGAACUUUGUUUGGCAUUAUCUGAACUUUUUUUAAUAACACACGAAUUUUUCUUGUCGUGUAAUUAUAUAUUUUAAAAUGUAUGAACUUUAUAAAAAUACAUUCACAUUUCCUAUUAUAUUUGAAAUAAAAAAAUAAAAAAAGUUCAUGUCUACCUCGAAUUUGUUCAGCAUGUUUUUGGAAAAUGUUUCAUCGGUAUUAAAAAAUUGUCAACAUGUUUUUGAAAAAUGUUUGUCAUGCUUCAAAAAAUAGAAAACGUGUAUUUUAAAAAUAUUCAGUGUGUUUUAGAAAAUGUUCAACGUGUAUUAAAAAAAUAUUAUGUACAAUUAGUCUUACAUGUGUAUAGACUACAAACGUGUGUAACAUUUUUAAUACAUUUCCUAUGAUUAUUAUUAUUAAACAAUAAUUUUUAAUACAGGUUGAACAAUAUACAAUAAUUGUGUGCUUUUGGUCCUGAAUUAAGAUACGAAAUUUACAAAAUAAUAUUUAAUACAUGUUGAACUGUUUAAAUACAUGUAAAUUUUAGAAGAAGUUCACGUUCAUCCACAUAUGAUAAUAUUGUAUACACCGUUUUAUUAGAAUAAUAACAGUUGAGAUUUAAAGGUUCUUACGUAACAUCGUAAUAUAUAUGUGCCAGUAGUAUUGAACCGUCAUGUUGUCACGUUAUAUAUGAACAUAGGAGGCUGCAAAUAAUCAUGACGUACACACAUACCUUAAAAAAACAUGACGUACACACAUGUACACAAAUAAAAGCUCUAGGAAAAAAAAGUAGGAUGACGUAUGAAUUAGAAACGGAGACCUAGGGGAGGUAGAUCUAUUUAGUAUGAAAAAAUUCCAUACACACAUAGGACGUGAAGGCAGACUUCAACUUGGACACAUACAAGUAUUGCACAAGAAAGCACGCGUGAAGGAUAUUCAUUGGAAAAGAACCUGUACGUAAAUCUACCAACGAAAAGAAGGCAAUAAAUGUCUCCACAAUUAUUUCACUAAAAAUGUCUCCAUGACUUGGAUUUAUCUCCUUAUGCAAAACGAGAUCGAGUGACUACAAAAUUGGAAGUAAAAUAAAAUCAGCUAGAAGUUUCCUAAUCUCUUCACGGCUCUUUCUCUAAAAAGAAUUCUCCACGUACGACUCAGAUUUAUCUCUUUAUUAUAAGGAAAAAAAGAUUGACUGUCAAACGGUUGGAAAGAAAGAAAAAAUACGGCUAGAGGAUUUCCUAAUAUGAUUCGGAAAUUAAAUAAGGAAACACAUUUUUUUGCCGAUCUAUCUCCUUGUAGGGAAAAAAGAUUGAUUAUGAAUUUGAAAAAAAACGGCUAGAGAGUUUCCUAAUAUGAUUCGGAAAUUAAAUAAGGAAACGAAUAUUUCGGAUCUACUACCUCCGUCCCAAAAUAAGGAAACGAAUAUUUCGGAUCUAGUGUAGUGUUAAAAACGUAACUAGUGUAGUGUUAAAAACGUAGAAACGUUUUUAACACUACACUAGUGUUAAAAACGUUCUUAUAUUUUGGGACGGAGGGAGUACGUAUCUCCUUAUAGGAAAAAAAAGAUUGAUUAUGAAUUUGAAAAAGAAACUUAGGCUAGAGACUUGCGUACUACUAUGAAUAUUGGAAAUUAAUAAUUAAUUAAAUAAAGAAAUGAGUAUUGGCUAUUAUGCACGUUCGAUAGACUUCACACAAGACCAUCGAUCUCCGUGGAGACUAGGAGCAAAGGGCACAUUGGCUGGCCAGCUACGCAGAAAUAUAGUUGUUACUAAUGUUAACUGGACCAUUUCCUCAAAAAAGAAAAAGCUUAACUAGGCCAUGAAAGCACGUACAUGUGAGAGAGAAAACACUAGAUUAUCUAAUCACUGGCUAGACUUAGACUCACAUUAUACACCUGAGAUCAUCAUCGUUGGGCCAGAAUUUUGAGUGCCCUGCUGCACCUGUUGAUCAUGCUAGAGUAGAUCACCCAGAAACAUUGCAAUGCUAUUCGCUAAGGUAUUAAAAAAUAUUACGCACAAUUAAUCAUACAAGUGUAUAGACUACAAACAUGUGUAACAUUUUUAAUACAUUUCCUAAUAUUAUUAUUAUUAAACAAUAGUUUUAAAUACAGGUUGAACAAUAUACAAUAAUUGUGUGCUUUUGGUCCUGAAUUAAGAUACAAAAUUUAAAAAAUAAUUUUUAAUACAUGUUGAACUAUGUAAGUCCAUUUAAAUUUUAGAAAACGUUCAUGUCUACCUCUUCAAGGUACACAAUAAUGAAAAUAGAAUAGAGAUUUAAAAUACAAAAUAAUUGUAUACUACUACUUAUCGUAACUUUUUUAUGUGGGAAAAACUAAAUGCAAACUUGGACAAAAUAAAAAAGAAAACGAGUAGAAACUACUACAUGGUUGGCGUACAGGACCAGCCAAAUUAUAUGCGGUGCUAUAGGCGAGCGAUUUGCUCAAAAAAAAAGAGGCGAGCGAUACAUGGUAUAGUCUAUAUACGUUUCUAGCCCAUAGGUGGAUAAACACGGUUUGACCAGGUGGCUAGCUUGUUUGGUUUCAUAGCUGGAGGUCUUAGGUUCAAAACCCUUUGCUCACAAUUUAUCCUAGUCAGGACCUACAUGUUUCUUUUUGUUAUUUCUCUCUCUCUCUCUCUCAUACUAACAUGCGGGACCCACACUCUACUGCAAGCUGAUGUUAUUUCUCUCUCUCUCAUACUAACAUGCGGGACCCACACUCUACUGCAAGCUGACAUAGCAACAGUCUAGGCACCUCACGUAGCUUGGGACGUAGUGAGGACUGACAUGUGGGCCAAAGAAGUAAAAACGCACAACACAUUAGCACGAGCCAUCCAUGACGGUCCAGAUGAUGUAUAAGGGAAAUUUUUUGGUCCCGCUACUCAUUUCAUGACGGUUUUUGUGACGGUUCCUUUAUGUCUGUCAUAACGGGGGCUAUUGUUUUAGGAUCCAUUCUCAUCUUCCGGAUAUGUGACGAUUUCAGUGACGAACUCCGUAAACUGUCAUCGAUGGCACCCUAUAUGUGACGGAUUGUAGGAACGUCACCUGAAAUCCGUCAUGGAUUAACAGGUUUCUUGUAGUGUAUGGCACACUAUGGAUUCUUUGUAUAACACAUACUGUCGAUCAACAUGUGUUUACAACGUAGGGAGGAGCCGGGCGACAAGGCAGUCAGACCAAACUCUCUAUCCAUAUAUAUAGGUAGUCUGAUGUUAUGCCAUAGCCGAACCAUAUAUGUUUCGUGUACUGCUCUAUCAAUCUGGUCUUUUGGUAUAUUAGACUCUAUCCUUUGUAAUGAACUUAUUGUCAUGGGCGAUCAUUAUGACUGGAUCGUAUGGUAUGAAUCGGGUCUUUAUGCUUUGUGAUGAAAUAUCAUAUUAUCCUGUUCACCAGUUUGGUUUGGUUUUGAGCUAAAACGUAUAAAAAUACAUGGCUUACAACAAUGGAUAUAUGUGAUGAUAUAUUGAGUGAUUAAGCAUAAUUUUAGACUUUCGGUGCUGGACCAAUGGGAUGCAUGGGGUAAUUGAAUGUUUCUUCUUCACUUUAUUAUUAUCGGUUGGGAUCAGCACUCUCGCGCGAUCUAGUUAUGAUGAUGCUGCCUAUACAAAGCAAACCUACGUGGCUAUAAAGUGGAGCACCAUGCGAACAAGAAACUGGCGCUUGAGGACAAACACGAGUGGAACUGAUGUCUGAUGCAACACGGCGCUGCUGUACGCGUCAGGGCGGACAGCAACGACGUGUAACAGAUGGGAUGUCGGAUUGCACGCAAAACAAAGGAAUCCAAUGCAAUUUUGAUAGGUUUUUUUUCAGAUUAUGGACGAGCUUGCGGCGGAAACUAUGGUGGAGAAAAAAAAGUUUGAUCUAGUAGACAAAAUUUUCUCGUACAAAUCUAAACCAGCACUAUUUGUAGGAUGAUGCAACCAAAAAUUCAACUACGCAAGUACUAGAUGCAAAAAUUGCUAAAGGCUAAAAAGAUAGAUGCAAAGGAUGAACUAAUCUUUCUUUCUUUUUUGGCUUUUUUUGGGUUAUAGGACAUGAAAAAUAAACUAAUCUAACAAAACUGUAAAUCUCUCACCGAUGAAACUGAAAACUGACACCACUUAUGUGACGGCGGUCCGAUGUUUCGAUGAGAGUGAGGAUAACUAUCAAUUUGGUGGAUUCUGAUCUUGACGAUCCGGCUAUACAAUACCCGAUGAUAUGCCUCGACAAUCGCUAAACCAAUCUCCGAUGGUUAUUGACCUUGCCGUAGGCACGGUCAACCUGAACGACGAGGUUUGAGUUCCUGCAAGCAACUAAAGAGAAGAACAAAGGUGAAUUGCAAUCUGAAAUUGCGAAUGAAAAAUUAAGCACAUGAACUAGAUCAAAAGUUGGGGUUCCACUUUGGAUCUGAUAAGGCGGUAGUCCUACACGUCUCAUAGAUGCGAAAUUGUAGCAUGGCUAAACAAUACAAUAAAACCCACGUAAACCCUAGAAUAUGAUGACUAUUUAUUAAAGGCCGGCGUGGAGAACGCUUCAUCUAUUUUCUUGGAAGUCAAGACGGGCCUGCUAAUUGGCCGGACCCACACGCGAUCUGAUUUGAAAAUAAACUUCUCAUAUCAAUCUGGUGGCAAACUGCCUCGUCGGUACUAUAGGCCCAGAUGCGCAACACACAAGGCCAUGCAUGGGCGCAAAACCUAUCCGGCGCCCUCAGCGUCCGAUACCGUGUUAACGGUAAAGGGCGCAGAACGUCGUGAGAUACUUCGGUCCAUAUCCGGUGUGGGCGUUAGAGCAUUGAGAUAAGUACCAUGAUUCAAACCGGCAAUCGACUGGUUCAACACACACCACCUAACCAAUAGGCCACCUGCUGUUGACGUGGUUAGUUAUAGCUUUUCCUUCUUUUCUUCUUUGUACCUUCUUUUUUGUUUUUUUGUUGGAAUGAUUUUGUUAGUUUUUAUUAUUUUCCUUCUUAAUUUUUUUCAAUAAUACCAACAUUUUUCGUUUCAAUUUCGUGAAUUUUUUAAAAUUCGAUAUUUUUUUUCAAAAUUCAAUGAACUUAUUUGAAAAAAGAUGAACUUUUUACAAAUUGGAUGAACUUUUUUCAAAUUUGAUGAACCUUUUUUCAAUCUCGAUAUUUGUUUUCAAAUUUGCCAACUUUUUUGAAAAUUCAUGUACAAUUAUGAAUUCAUGAAUUUUUUGAUUUUUUUUAAUUUUGCAAAUUUUCCCUUUUUAGUUUUUUUAAACAGCAAUGGUUUUUUCGACAAGUGCUUGCAAGAGAAAAAAGGCUAGCAAAGGAGCGAGCAGCGACCGAUCGAGCCAGCAGCAGCGGUCGAGCGAGCAGUCGAGCGAUUAGCGAUCGAGCGAGCAGCGAUCGAGCGAGCCAGCAGCAGCGGCCGAGCGAGCAGUUGAGCGAUUAGCGAUCGAGCGAACACAUGCAUGUUGAUUCGAUAAUGCUCAAGUGUAAAUCUUCUGUAUUAAACUUCGCAUCUUCACCCGAGGUUUGUGCAUGUCUUCUUUAAUCCUGCAUAUAAAAUAUUGUGUUGUAUUUUUGUUUCGGAUAACAAAAUAAUAAUUCAUAUAAUUUCUAUUAGAAUUCAUCUGAUAAUUAUCUUUAAGCGUAAUAAUUGUUGUUAUAUCCGUACGGGCCAUGUUUAUAUCAGGUCGUUAAUCUUCUUCUUCUUGUCCGCAAGCCACUUCUUCACAUGCUCAUCCAAGAUGGUUUCGUCUGCCAACAUGAUCAUCGCAUCCACCACGUCCUGUGAGAGUUGCAAUCUCUCCUUCUCAAGCUCUAUGUAGCCAAAUGUCUUGGCCUUCUCGAGUUCCCAUUUGAUCGCCACCCCUUGGUGGUCCACCAUGUACGAAACUCCUUGCACCGCCGCCGCCUCCCUCUCUCGCUGCAGGCGUUGCCGCAACUACCGGGCGGCGUCCUCCGCCUUGCAAGUCGGAGCCGACGAAGGGUCGCCGACGGACAAGGUGGACUGCGUCUUCGUCGCGGUGGUGGAUCGGGACCGGUGGUGAGGAUUGGGAGCAAGGGUGGAGGACGGCGAGGGUUUGGGUGCGGCAAAAGUUGGAGGGCGGCGGGAGGAGGAGAAAGGGUUUGGUGCAUUUGGCACAAUUUUCGAUGGGGUCGGGCUGACGGGUCCGACGUGGCGGGCGCGCCCGGGCGCCCCAUAUUUGGGCUGGAUAUGAGGGGUGUCAGUCAGCCCAGGCGUUCGAGGCCCGUUUAAGGAGCCCGUCUGGAUCGAAAAAUCGUGACCGGGUGGCCCACCCGGGUGUAUGAGCCAGGCUUGAGGUGCCCGACUGUAGAUGCUCUAAUCAUCUAGAUCCGACGCUCAAAGGCUCCACCCUUCCCCACGGCUUGGGUUCGGGCGCCUCCCCAAAACUUCGUUGGGAUCCGCCACAACCGGCAACGGCGAGGCCAGAGGUGGCCGGAUCCGGCACAGGUUGGUCUCUCCCCUCCUUCUUCGCCCACCCUCUCCUCCUUACCUCACGCCACUUGUCUUCCCUUUUUCGCAGGUCGCCAUGGCGCGGACGGCGAUGACGGCAGGAGGGGCACACACAUCCGUGGAAUGGGACGCCGCCAUGGAGAUGGAGAUCGUUCGUCACACCACGCAGAGGCCCCAUGGAGCCUCCCUCCUUCGGUGACUUCUUCUCAGGCCCCACCCACUACCUCUGCCCUCCCCCCUCCCCUACUUUGAGUUGCACCAUGCUUUGUUUCAGAUUCAUCCACCCAUGGAUGAUACAUGGCAAGUUAGGGGUAGUUGCAGUUUGAGGUUAAUCCCUUGAUUGGCUGCUAUUUAGGGUUGAUUAGAUUAGUUAGCUCAGUUGGCUGCUAGACUUUAGGAGUGCAUACAUGGGUAUGACGUGCUCUGCACAUUUAGGAUUGAAGUAUUGUGCUGCAGCACUCAGUGACGUUAAUUUAGGGCAUUUCAGUGUCAGUUUCACUAUAUUUCGGGGGACAUUUAACAGUGCAAUUUCAUGGUUAUUACAGUGUAAUUUCAAGGUUCUUGCACUGUAAGUUCAGAGAAUUACAAUGUUAGUUUAUGUGAAUUCCCGUGCAUUUUACUGUGUAAUUUAAGUGCAAUGGAAAUUAUAGUGUAAAUUCAGUGUAAUUUACUAUGUAAAUUUACGGAAAUUACACUGUAAUUCGUGUGCAACUUUUAGUGUAAUUUACACUGUAAUUUCAACGGGUUUACAGUAGAGUAAUUUAAUUGUAAUUACAGUGUGCACUUUAGAGCAAUCAUACUAUAUAUUUAGUGAAUUUAAAGUAUCACUCCAUACCUUUCCGGUUUGUCUUUUUUCUCUACAAGUUACUGCUAUACUGUUGAUUGAUUCUACCCUUGCGUAAGAAACUUUGAUGAGCACAUAAUUUUCUACUAUGUAAUUUGAGCAGCUUGGUAACCGUAAUUUUCAGUUUCCUUUGACCCUAGGCCCUUGUGCUUUAGAAUUGCUAUUUUUUGUCAGUGUACAUGCUAGAUCAUGUGGUUUAUGAUACUUCUCUGGUCCUUAUAAACAAAGUGACAUGUUUGUGCU